rnacentral:lncRNA from 1 species
AAGAUUUUGAAAUGAUCAUUAUUACUGUGCUUUUCAAUACAUUGAUGGCUAUGUAAGUAUUAUAACAUGUCAUUUUAUAUGUUUUUCAAUUGAAAUAUUGCUUAAAGUAAGAGAAAUGUUGAAGCAGUUAUGUAGUUGUUUUAGAACAAAAAAAUAAUCGGGCAUGAUAAACUCCUGUAUACAUUUACUCUUUAUUCAAUAAUGAUAUGAUGUUGAUAGGUUAAUGCUGACAUUAAAGGCUGGAUUCUAUCAUCAGAGUAUUUCUUGUAUAUAAAUAGUAAUUUUGCAAUUAAUGCCUUAAUGCUGGCAUAGUAUAAUAGGACAUUUAGGACUUCCAUUUGGACUCCCCUGCUCUAAAUCGCAAGAUCAUUUUAGAAGGAUACUUAUCACCUCUUGUUUGUGUCCUGAGGUUAUUUGGUAUAAAGUAACUGUGUCAUUUGUUUUGUUUGCUCACUGUACAACACCGUGGAAUAAGCUGAUACAUGUAAUUAUAAAACCAACAAAUAUAAAAUAUAAGUAAGGUAUAAUAUUUACAAGGAAAUUCACCUCCAGGAAAUAAACAUAGUUUGCAGUUGCACUUUUUUAUUUGCUAAACAUUGAAUUGUAGUGAAGUAAAAACCCAACUUUAAAAUGUAGGUUUAAAUAGGUUGUGGCUAUAGCUAGGUUGAAAUUUGUAUUAUUAUUAUUAUUAUUAUUAUUAUUAUCAUCAUUAUUAUUAUUUUAUUUUUAUUUUAUUUUUUUAAAAUCUGGUUUUCAUUCACUGAAAUUUGGUAUUCAGUGAAUACAAUUGUUGGGUGAAAAGUCCUGUUGCUUUUCAAUUUACAAAUCAAUUUUAAUAUUAAACUGAUCUGGAGAUUUCUUGGUUUAAAUGCACUCUGUAACAGUAAAGAAACAUUUCCAUAACAACAAAUCCCAACAGCAGAAAAUCUUUGCCAUAUGUAAAGGGACUGGUGAUAGUCACAGACGACAAAGAGUAAAGCAACCACAAGCACAGCAGUUUGAAUCCAAUAAAGCUCUUUAUUACAAUUCAAAUGUACUAACAAUGUAAAAUGUACUAAACCAUAAUGGCAGAAGUAUCAUUCUGUUAUUGACAGCAUAGAGUUUAUCAUGAAACAAAAUGUAUCUAUCUACCGGGAAAAAAAAGUGCACAAAUAUAGCCUAAUGUAAAUAUAAAAAUAUUAUCCAACUGAACUGGUCAUUAUAUAAUGUGUUCCCUUCAAAAAGCAUGCACAAGAGAACAGCACAGCAUCCUGACAAUAUUCAACCACAGCAGCCUUUAUCGAUGGUUUCCUUAGCUUACAUCCCAAUGAACAGCAUGCUUGCUACAGCCCCUUGUGGCAUUGAAAUGGUUAAUAAAGCCAGUAUUUCCAUAGACACAGAACACAAACUAUAGCCAGCUGUCACAUAGCUGUAAUUUAAGACACAGAACAUUUUUUUGUUUGUCUCACAGGAAUAUCAUAUUGCCUUAUUGUUAACAUAUGGAAAUAUAAGUGAUAUUUGAAUAAAAUGUUUUCUUGUAUCAGCCCAUUGAGUUAAUAUAAAUCAGAAAUAUGUACUGCUCCUCCAAAAUAUUUCGCAAUAGAAAUAAAGAAUAUAUUAAAUGUUGAUUUCAGAAUAUAAAUUAAGUCUCAGCUAUAAUGUCAGUGUAUAAAGUUAGUCUGUUUUGUGAUACAUUUCUAUUUGCAAAAUUAGUGGCCAUCUGUUUGAAGUCUAGGGAAAUCAAUAUUUUUACUUCCUGUAAAAUAUUAUACAAUUAUUAUUAAUCGUCUAGAUGUUAAAUGUGAUUUAGUUUUAUCCUUUGGGCAUGACGAAGCCCUGUAUAAAUUCUCAUAACAGCAUAAUAUUUCCCGUUUAUUAUUUUACAACUAUCCUUAUCGCACAGUUUAUUUAAUUUCAUAUUUUUUUUUUUUUUAUCUCCUGUUCUGUUAAUUACCAACUAGAGCCUGCAGCAGCCUCCAAUAUCAAACUUUAAUGAACAGAGCAGGAAAUAAAAUGUGUGAAGUAAACACACUGAGGUGUACGAUCUGUUUUUUUUUUUAUUAACUUUUUUUCAUGGGCACUGUGUGAGUCACAGUUAGUGGAGGUGUUGCUAGGGCUACAUAAAGAAACUGUUUUUUUUUCAACGUAAAUUCAAAGUAAAUUUCAAAUUCAAGGUAAAAAUAACCAGACUGGAAAAGUUCUUUAAGUCAGCUAUACUUCUACUUCAGCUAUGUUUGCCUAAAUUGCAAUUUUCUUUGUAUUAAUGCUGAAUUCUCACAUUAGUCAAUAACUCAAAGUGAUUUAACUCCUAAAAGAGAUUUGAAAAUUGACAAUACAGGAGCAUUAAGAAAAAGUUGUUUUGGUGCUUAAAGCAUCCAUUUAAAAAAUAGAUGAUCUGCCAAACCAGCUGAAAUUAUACAAUAUCUAUGUGCUUAAAUUAGACCUAAAAUACUGGUGUAAAAACAGACAGGCAUGUUCACAAAUGUAAGCAUAUCAGGGGAAUUUAAAAUGUUUAUUUAGAUAGGACUAAUUAAUAAAGUGAGACUACAAAGAGAAUUACAAGUGGAUUUCAAAUGUAAGGUGAAAAUAGCCGAAAUGGAAAAAAAUUUCAGCAAUGCUUUCAGUUUGACUACUCUUGCUUUAAAAUUUGUAAUACAUUUUCAAUUUGUUUUAAAUUCUCACUUUACAAGGUUAUUCACUAAAGUGAGAAUUCAAAGUGAAUUUCAAAUUCGGCAUUUUGGAACUUUGGGACUUUUGUUGCAGCUGCUUAGUAGAUAACUCCCUAAUUCCCUAGGUAUUUCAAUUAACCAAUCAGAGUGUUGUUAUGAGUCAAAUUACACAGCGUGGGAAAAUGCCAAAGAACUUUCCCAAGCUGUGUAAAAUGACACAGAGCACUCUGAUUGGCUGGAUUUCAAGCUAACCAAUCAGAGUGCUAUGACAGGUAAAUGUAGAGACUUGCCUAUCAGUCUCUUCAUUUACCUGUCAGAGCACUCUGAUUGGAUGGCUUAAACCAACCAGAGUGCUCUGAGCAGGGCCGGCGCUACUUGUAAGGCGACCUAGGCAGCCGCGCCCGGAUCCCUGUGCCCGGAGUCACCGCGGAUUUGAGUGACCGGCAAAAGGGCUCUCAAUGUAGCAUGGCCGGGUGGCGCGGAAUGCGGGACAGGAACCUCUGUUUCCUGUACCCGGCCGCCGGCGGACUGACAGGAAGUGAUCACUGAGUGAGCACUUCCCUUCAGUCCGCCGGCGGCCGGGAACAGGAAACAGAAGUUCCUGUCCCGCGUUCCGCGCCGCCCGGCCACGCUACAUAGGCAGGAGGGGGGGGGAGUGUGAGUAAGGACGGGGAGUAAGGAACACAGGGGAGGGAAGGGUCCACCAGGGGAGGGGGGGGUCCUAGUAAGGACCUCCGUGGGGGAGAAUGGGGGGAGUAAGAACCACUGGGGGAGGAGGGGGGAGUAAGAACCACUGGGGAAGGGGGGGUGAAGGAACACUGGGGAGUAAGGACCACUGAGGGAGGAGGGGGGGUCCACUAAGGGGUUUGGGAGAGGGAGGACCACUAAGGGGGGAAAGGACCACUAAGGGGGGGUGAGAAAGAGGAUAAUGACCACUGGGGGGGGAUUACCACUAAGGGGGUGGGGGGAGGAGGGGAAUGUCUACUAAGGGGUUUGGGAGAGGGAGGGCCACUAAGGGGGAAGGGGGGAGUGAGAAGACCACCAAGGGGGGACUACAGGGGGCCAAGGGAGAGCACUAAGGGACAGAAGGGGAGAACACGGAGGGACAGGAGGGAAGGGGAAAUCAAUAAUUGACAGGGGGGGAGAGCACUAUGAAAAAAAUAAAAAAAAUAAAGAGCUGCUCCCCUCUCAGUCUCUAUCCUACCCCACAAACCCUCUCUUUUACACUACACACAUACACAAUGCAUCCCCCCCACACACACACACAGAAACAUACAAUGCAUUCCUACUCACACACAGACACACCCGAAACACACAAUGCAUCCCUUACAUUCACACAAACACUCAUUCUCUUACACACAGAAACAAAAUGCAUCUCUUACACAAUCAAUGCACCCCUUACAGACACACACUGCAUUCAAUUAAAUACACGGAAACACACCUUGCACCCCUUACACACACACACCCAGAAACAUUCAAUGCAUUCCUUACACACAAACACACACUGCAUCCCCUAUAAACACACUACAUCCCUUACAGAAAUUGGUAUCCCUAUACACUACAUUCUAUAAGAACACACACACACAUUGCAUCCUCUACAAUAACACAUAAACCAUCCCCUACACACAUACACUCCACUUCCUGUGAGAGAACUCACGGGUGGGCCAUGUAGCUGGAUUUAUGGGUGGGCAUUGUAGGCAUACUCACGGUCAAGCCCUGGGGGCCCAGACCUUGAGCUGUGUAAGGGGCCCUAAAAAAUGGAGCUGCUUCCUGUUUGUUAAUUGUUGUGAGCACUCUUAAAAACAGUCUCCUGAGAGCCUCUUCUACACCAGACCUGUGGACCCAGACAGAGCCCAUCAUCAGCCUCUUGUCCUCAUCUGGUGGUAAGUAGGCAAUCCAAUAUAUUAUUAGUGGCACUAAUCUCUAAUUUACCUCACAUUAAAUGGAUACUAUAGUCACCAGAAGCACUACAGCAUAAUGUAGUGGUUCUGGUGUCUAUAGCCUGCCUGUAGGCUUUUUAAUGUAAACACACUGUCUUUUCAGAUAAAAGACACUUUGUGAAGACUGGCGUUGGCUCAUAUGGCAGAGCAUAUGGGCGGGGCAUUGUGAUGUCACAUGGUGGGCAGGACAUAUGGAGGGGGGGCUGCAAAUUUUAUUUUUGCCUAGGGCGGCAAAAAUCCUUGCACCGGCCCUGGCUCUGAGCCUAAUUGCCGGGCGGGGCAAGGCUUUAUAAGCCUUCCCCCGCCCUGCAGAGCUCAGUCUGCGCAAAGCCCUCCAUGGGUGAAGAUAGAUAAAAAUCUUUGCGCUCUGUUUUUUUUUUUUUUUUUUCAAAGUGCGACGGUUAUUAUGGAUUUUUAUUUGGCCUUUUUUAAGGCUGAAAAAAGAAGAUUUUAGAAAAAAGAAGACAUCAAAUGGUAAGUUUUUUUUUUUUUUUUUUACAGGUACCUAGUUAUUGGUCCUCCCUCAUUACAGGUACCUAGUUAUUGGUCCUCCCUCAUUAUUUUUAGGGUGAGGGGAGUAGGUAGGGGUUAAUUUUUUUGGGAGGGGGAGACUAGGGGUUUGGGGAUCCCUAGUCACCUGGGGGGGUUACAUUUUUAUUUAGGGCCCCCACCCACCACUCAGGGGUGGAGGACAAUAGGUCGUCAUCCCUCAUUAUUUUUAGGGUGAGGGGAGUAGGUAGGGGCUAAUUAAUUUUUUUGGGAGAGGGAGACUAGGGGUUUGGGGAUCCCUAGUCACCUGGGGGGUUACAUUUUUAUUUAGGGCCCCCACCCACCACUCAGGGGUGGAGGACAACAGGUCAUCGUCCCCUUAUUUGUAUUUAGGGCCCCCACCCACCACUCAGGGGUGGUGGCCAGGGGGGAGUACAAUAGGUGCCCCCCCCUUAUUUUACUUUAGGGCCCCCAUCCGCCGCUUAGAGUUUGGGGCUGGGGUGGGGCAAUAGGUCCCCCCUUCAGGUUAGAAGCCCCCACUCGUACGGCACGGGUGGGGGCUCGGGAGGGGGGACAUGUCUUUUUUGUGAUACAUGGCUGUUCACUGUUUACUAGACAUGCCCCUACUCGUGGUAUAGCGAGUAGGGGCAUAAUUUACUAAUACUAAGUAAUCUUUACUUAGUAUGAGUAAAUUUGUCUGAAAGACCAAUUUAAGUCUUUCAGCCUUUUAGUAGAUAGCUCCCUAAUACCAUGGGAAUUAGGGAGUUAUCUACUUAUUCAUUCCUGUCAUUUCAUUGACUGGCUAAGUAACUAACAUUUUAUAUGACUGUGUGUUACUUGAAGUGUUGCAAACGCUUGCAGCUGAAUCCUGGCUAUGUUUGUAUACUUUUUAUUUAAACUUGUAUACAGUGUAACAUUCUUCAUUCUUCCACUGGGUAGGUAUAUUAGUACUUCGGCAAUACUGUGCUUUGGAACUUUGGCACUUCGGAAAUUCGGAACUUCGGCAAUUUGGAACUUUGGCAAUUCAGACAUUCGGAAGUAUCCGAAUGUCCGAAUUGCCCGAAAUGCAUCCGAAUUGACAUUUGGAACAAAACGAAUUUCACAUCUCUAAUAAUCACUGGAUCUUGCACAGCAACACUUUUUUGCUGUAUGUGCAUUUUUAGGGGUUCAUUUUAAAAAAAAAAAAUUUAUGUGACAUAUCACUAAAUAAAGUGAUUGUGAUCAUGUCACAGACGUCACAUAUGUAGUAUAGUGCUGAGGAGGUGUAUGCCAUCCUUGCGUUAGAGUCUGACACGUCUAUGUCUGAUUCCCACCCUGAUUUGGACCCUACCAGAUGCUCAGAUACAUUACUAGAUACAGUGUCUGCUGCUAGUGAUGUUGUAUCUGUGCCUGCUAGUCCCCCUACCAGAAGGAGACGUGCUGCUCCAGCUGGCAGUACUGCUGAGGAGUGGGCAGUGCCUCAUCGCCAGAAGCCAGAUAUCCCGCCCUUUACUGCAAAUCCUGGCAUCAAUGUGGAUGUUGCAGGAUUUAGCCCUCAGCAGUAUAUGCAGGUGUUUCUGGGCGAUAAUGUUUUGGGGAACAUUUUCGUCCAAACUAAUUUAUAUGCCCAUCAGUUCCGUGCUUCUAAGCAGGAGUUUUUUUUUGGCAAAGCAGCAAUGGGCCCCCAUCGAUGUGCCAGAAUUUAAAAAUUUGUGGGCAUUAACUAUGCUGGUGGGCAUCAUAAAGUAGCCCCAUCUGCUCUACCCCCAUUUACUGGCAUGGGUGUGCUCAGGAGGGCUUGCAGAAAACAGCCUGGAGUGUUUUCUUUCAAUGACCAACAGGCUCUGCUAAAUCACAGUCAAAAAGCAAUGUGUGUGUAAAAAUAAUUUAAAAAUAACCACCACACACUUUCUCUGAUUUUUUUUGGCUAAAACAAUUUCAUCAAAGGCAUUAAAACAAUCCAUAUACAAUACCGCGGGGUGUCAGUUUUUCAAAUAUAUGCACGCUCAUGGCAAGAAAAUAAAUUGGGAUAUCUAAAAAGGCCCCUCAAAAGAAGAUAUGUCAAAUUUGCGAAACACAUGUCAGAUGUUUGGCAUUGCACCCCCCAAACAACCCAACAGACCUAUGCAUAUGUGGUAUCACUGUACUCAGGAGAUGUUGCUGAACACAUAUUGGGUGAUCUUUGGCAGUAACACCUAACAGGAGCUGAGAAUUCAUACCAAAAGUACAAUGUGAGAGAAAAAUAACACAAAAAAAAUGACAACCCAAACGAUUGACAAAGACUAGUGGUAGAAUUAGUGCCUGGAAAGUGUUUAAAUACUAUUUGAAACACCCUAGGGUGUAAAUUACAUUGUCCAGCUUCAAAAAUGUCCCAAAUAGGACAUAGGUGCAUGAUGACCAGCUGUGAAAAUUCCAAGUUGGAAAACUGGAAUGCGCAACCUCCAAAUAAGGUCUUUUAGACCCAAGAGAACCCAAAACACAUGUGCGUGGAUGGUAUCACUGUACUCAGGAGAUGUUGCUGAACACAUAUUGGGGUGAUCUUUGGCAGUAACACCUAACAGGAGCUGAGAAUCCAUGCCAAAAGUACAAUAUGAGAGAAAAACCCCACAAAUGACUUACCAAAAGAUCGACAAAGACUGGUGGUGGCAAUAAUGAUCAAUCUGACAGAGUUUAACACGUAAAACAACUGAUGUUAGAGAAGGGGAGGGAGGUGGGUUGUCAAAAAUAUCAGAAGAUGUGCCUGAAAGUGAAAUGCGCAGGUUGGCUUGUAAUAGCCAGAAAAAGUAUAUAAACUACACUAUAUAUAUAUAUAUAUAUAUAUAUAUAUAUAUAUAUAUAUAUAUAUAUAUAUAUAUAUAUAUAUAUAUAUAAAAAAUAGGAACUGUACCUUGCACACUGGUUUCUGAGACUUCCAAGACCGGGUGCAUAGCCUGGGCUUCACAAUCAAUAUAGGCAAGUAGAAUGGCUGCACUCUCGGACUGAAACGUCGAUUUUAUGGAAACAUAAUAAAAGUUAUUUUUUAUAUGGAAAUCCGAGAGUGCAGCCAUUCUACUUGCCUAUAUAUAUAUAUAUAUAUAUGUAUAUAUAUAUAUAUAUAUAUAUAUAUAUAUAUAUAUAUAUAUAUAUAUACAAAACCAAGAGGGCUGCACUCACCUGAACAUGCAUACAUUACAGGGUGCUGCUGGGGCCAAAAUAUAUAAAAUACAGAAUCCAGCGCACUCGCUUAUUCACUAAACAAUGCUUUCAAAAUCUUAGAGAUUGUAAUAGUUUUAUUUAAAAACACCUCACCUAGGCAAAAAAUAAUGGGGGUUUAGUUACAUUAUAUGAUCAUAUAUUGCAUAAGCCUGCCACAACGUAAAUGUACCCCAUUCUUGGCAGGUCCUACUCUAGCAGCCUAAUGCUUACCCUUAAGGAAAUACUUCCUUACUGGGACUCUCUGCAAGUCAAGGCUGCCUGAGUAGGACCUGAAAAGAAUGGGGUACAUUGACAUUGUGGCAGGCUUAUGCAAUAUAUGAUCAUAUAAUGUAACUAAACCCCCAUUAUUUUUUGCCUAGGUGAGGUGUUUUUAAAUAAAACUAUUACAAUCUCUAAGAUUUUGAAAGCAUUGUUUAGUGAAUAAGCGAGUGCACUGGAUUCUGUAUUUUAUUUAUAGAUAUAGAUAUAGAUAUAGAUAUAGAUAUAUAUAUGUGUGUGUGUGUUGUGUAUGCAUAUGUGUAAAAUUAAAUCUUUAGGUACUCAGUUGUUUCAAUCAAUUAAGUGCAUCUAAUCCAUUAUGUAUAUUUUACAUUAAGUGUUCACUAGGUGUGGCCUACUCUAUAGUAGUUAGGGAAAUUCUUAUCUACAAUUAUAACUAGAUUUAUGAAACCAUGGGUGAAAAGACAUCACUUGUUAAAUCAACAUUUUAGUUAAUAAACCCCCAAUUGGUGAAAACCUAUAUUCUUGAUUAGAAAGGCCUAGUGGUGUUCUGGAUACAGAAUUGCUUCUAAAUAAAUAGUUAAUUGUGAAUUAUAUAGUACAACUGUAGCCCAUUGAUAGCCAGAUUAUAAUAAAAGAAUCCAGUAAUUCAAGCAAGCCAAAGAGUAAAAGUUGAAAAUGUAUUAUUAACCACUAGAUGCCAGACGAGAGCAUAUUUACUUAGACUCCAAUAUUUUGUAAAUUCAUGCUACACAUUGAGAUUUCUCUUGUUUUCAAGUAUGUCCUGGGUCUACAAACACUGCAUUGUUACAGUAGGGUACAAUAUAAUAUUACAAAAAAAUGCACAGAACAAUGUGGUUAUGCAGAAAUCUCUUCUUUCUAAUAUUCUUUCUGCCUGGAUCUGUAGGUGUGUGAAAUAGAAAAAAAAGAUAUUAGUAGAUAAUAAUAAUAAUAAUAAUAAAUAUAUAUAAUGCCAGAUUAAGUGCAUUUUUAUAUUAAUAUAUAUAUAUAUAUAUAUAUAUAUAUAUAUAUAUAUAUAUAUAUAUAUAUAUAUAUAUAUAUUAAUAUAAAAAAACACUUAGAAUUAAAUUCCAUAUGUAUAUAUGUUGUACAUAUAUAUUAUAAAAUAUAAAUAAUAAAUACAAAUAAAUUUAAAAAUGUAAAAAUAAUAAAAUAAAAUAAAUACAUGCAAUUUUAUUCUAACUGUAUUUUUAUGUUAAUAUAUAUAUAUAUAUAUAUAUAUAUUUAUAAGUGUAUUUUGAUAUAUAUUUAUAUCAAAAUACACUUAGAAUGAAAUUAUAUAUAUAUAUAUAUAUAAUAUAUAUAUAUUAUAUAUAUAUAAUAUAUAUAUAUUAUAUAUAUAUUAUAUAUAUAUAUAUUAUAUAUAUAUAUAUAUAUAUAUAUAUAUAUACAAAUAGGUAGCUGCACUCACGGCUAAUAAAAAGACUGAAACGUUGAUCGCUGGUUCUUUUACCUUUUUGCAAUUUUGACUUUUUAUUAGCCAUGAGUGCAGCUACCUAUUUGGAUAUAUGGAUGGACGGCUAUUUAUUGCUAGCACCCGGGCACCACGGGAGAUUUAAGCGUGAGUGCAGGAGCAUUUGGUAUUUUUUAUAUAUAUAUAUAUAUAUAUACAUAAUUGCAUAAACAGAAAUAUGCACGUAGACUUUAAAUAUAUAAAUAUGUAUAUAUAUUUAAAUUCUACGUGCAUAUUUAUUUAUGUAUUACUUUUAAAUAAUUAAGUAACUUUAUUAAUUGCAAUUCGAGGGACCUGCUUGACAACCCAGGCCGAAAGUCCAGAGAAUGUAAUUUGCUAGCACUAUGUUUAACCUUGUAAUUUUCUAAAACACCCUUAAACCUGUAUAUAGAGGGGGGGGGGAGGGGAUCUGUUUUACUCGGGAGACUUUGCUAAACACAAAUAUUAGUGUUUCAAAAACGUAAAACCUAUCACAGUGAUGAUAUUGUCAGUGAAAGUGAUGUUUUUUGCAUUUUUCACACACAUUCUAUGGAACCGUUUUGGGCAUGGGACCAUGCGUGCGGUCGGUAAAAACUAUGACUUUCAGGAAAUUCCUGAACCCCUGAACUGAUCUGGGUGAUUAAUUGAGAUAAUUGAGUUUAGUAAAGUGCUUGACUCAAUUAUCUCCUAAAUAAAAGGGAAGGCUUAUUGUAUUGUAUAUGGGAGUGUCAUGCAUUGUAACACUGGUAUUUUUGGUCUGUGACUUUGUAAUGGAGUUCUCCAUAAGGUCCAUGAGAGAGUGCCCCUUGAAUGGGGAUUGUUAUGAAAAGCCAAGUGUGGCACCAUUAAAAUCAGUUCCUCUUCACCCUCAACAUGGAGUCUUGUCUCAUGUGUGGAGGGGACAGCUCUGGGGAUUGCCAUACUCCUUAUACUCCCUGGAAUUAUAAUCACUAGCUCUUAUAAGAGCUGUUCCUGCUAUACUCUCUGGAGUAGGAGAGGUUCACCCACUGGAAGCCGGAUCCUGGUCUUGGGUCCAAGGUAGGUGGAAGGUGGAGGACGGUGAGAUCUCCAACCAAGCUGCGGCGGUUUGUGGGAGUCUACGGUGCUGAUUGAUGGUGUCUGGUGGAGUGCUUGGAGUCCUCGGUGAGCACUAGGAGCAUCGAUUGGUGGAGGCACCGGUCGGGAUGCCAGGCAGUCCAUCACACAGUUCAUGCAAAAACAAAGAGAACGUUACCUGCACUCUGGCCUAAAUCCCCAUGUACAUUUAAACAAAAUGGAGGCUCUUUAGUUUUAUUCCAAUUUUAUAAACCCUUUCACAUUAAACCCUUUAUAGGGCUUCUAUACAUUAAAAUAAAAUAAACUUUGCUGGUAUCAGACAAAGUGUAAACAUCUCUAAUGAGACAUGAAGGGGUAUUUUAUAAACCCCUACAUACUUACAGGGAGUGCAGAAUUAUUAGGCAAGUUGUAUUUUUGAGGAUUAAUUUUAUUAUUGAACAACAACCAUGUUCUCAAUGAACCCAAAAAACUCAUUAAUAUCAAAGCUGAAUAUUUUUGGAAGUAGUUUUUAGUUUGUUUUUAGUUAUAGCUAUGUUAGGGGGAUAUCUGUGUGUGCAGGUGACUAUUACUGUGCAUAAUUAUUAGGCAACUUAACAAAAAACAAAUAUAUGCCCAUUUCAAUUAUUUAUUAUUACCAGUGAAACCAAUAUAACAUCUCAACAUUCACAAAUAUACAUUUCUGACAUUCAAAAACAAAAAAAACAAAUCAGUGACCAAUAUAGCCACCUUUCUUUGCAAGGACACUCAAAAGCCUGCCAUCCAUGGAUUCUGUCAGUGUUUUGAUCUGUUCACCAUCAACAUUGCGUGCAGCAGCAACCACAGCCUCCCAGACACUGUUCAGAGAGGUGUACUGUUUUCCCUCCUUGUAAAUCUCACAUUUGAUGAUGGACCACAGGUUCUCAAUGGGGUUCAGAUCAGGUGAACAAGGAGGCCAUGUCAUUAGAUUUUCUUCUUUUAUACCCUUUCUUGCCAGCCACGCUGUGGAGUACUUGGACGCGUGUGAUGGAGCAUUGUCCUGCAUGAAAAUCAUGUUUUUCUUGAAGGAUGCAGACUUCUUCCUGUACCACUGCUUGAAGAAGGUGUCUUCCAGGAACUGGCAGUAGGACUGGGAGUUGAGCUUGACUCCAUCCUCAACCCGAAAAGGCCCCACAAGCUCAUCUUUGAUGAUACCAGCCCAAACCAGUACUCCACCUCCACCUUGCUGGCGUCUGAGUCGGACUGGAGCUCUCUGCCCUUUACCAAUCCAGCCACGGGCCCAUCCAUCUGGCCCAUCAAGACUCACUCUCAUUUCAUCAGUCCAUAAAACCUUAGAAAAAUCAGUCUUGAGAUAUUUCUUGGCCCAGUCUUGACGUUUCAGCUUGUGUGUCUUGUUCAGUGGUGGUCGUCUUUCAGCCUUUCUUACCUUGGCCAUGUCUCUGAGUAUUGCACACCUUGUGCUUUUGGGCACUCCAGUGAUGUUGCAGCUCUGAAAUAUGGCCAAACUGGUGGCAAGUGGCAUCGUGGCAGCUGCACGCUUGACUUUUCUCAGUUCAUGGGCAGUUAUUUUGCGCCUUGGUUUUUCCACACGCUUCUUGCGACCCUGUUGACUAUUUUGAAUGAAACGCUUGAUUGUUCGAUGAUCACGCUUCAGAAGCUUUGCAAUUUUAAGAGUGCUGCAUCCCUCUGCAAGAUAUCUCACUAUUUUUGACUUUUCUGAGCCUGUCAAGUCCUUCUUUUGACCCAUUUUGCCAAAGGAAAGGAAGUUGCCUAAUAAUUAUGCACACCUGAUAUAGGGUGUUGAUGUCAUUAGACCACACCCCUUCUCAUUACAGAGAUGCACAUCCCCUAAUAUGCUUAAUUGGUAGUAGGCUUUCGAGCCUAUACAGCUUGGAGUAAGACAACAUGCAUAAAGAGGAUCAUGUGGUCAAAAUAAUAAUUUGCCUAAUAAUUCUGCACUCCCUGUAUUAACCUUAAAUAGGGCUAUAAAACAUACAAAUCACCUUUCCGGUAUCAGCUAAAAAGCAAAUUUCUCUGUUGAGACAGGAAGGGGUGCUGCCCCUACAUACUUAUAAACUCUUAAUAAGACAAACAUGGGGUGACUGGCAGCAAUGUAACAUAGCUGUGUGAUACAAACAUCAUAUACAAACACAAAGGUAAAGCACCGCGCUUACAGCACCAGUACAGCACAGCACCUCAUAGACAACUAUUACAUAAGACUGCAAUAAAUCCCAUAAGAAAUAAAAGAAAUGUGUUUUGCCUGUCACUCAUAUUUUCUUCAAAAAAUAGUAUAUAUAUUUGUGGUCAGGGACAAUAAGCCGAGUUAUAGAAUUGGUGGAGUAAGUUGUGGAGUGCCGAAACCGACGUUCAGGUAGGCCUGUAAAAAGAGGGCAAAACAUGUAACACUUUAAUACAUGUUGACAUUAUGUAACCAAUAUUUUAAAUGCCUAAGUUAAUUACUUCUUAGGUUGAGGGAUGCAUCAAUGACAUGCACUGAGCUAUUCUACUAGAGACUGCAGAAACAGUGCCUAUUCUAAAAGAAUGAUUUGAAAAUGUUGAUGGUUGUUCCAAGUAGUUUUAUGGUGUUGCGAGCUAAUUUUAGGUUAAGGUGGCAAAAGGAUGUGAACGACAUCAUGGUAUUGACCGAGUACUGAUUAACAAUUAAAAUUUCUGAAACUAAUUUAUUGAAAAUCAUCAGAGCUCUAGUAUAUGAAUGGUUGGUAUUGGCAGAGAGUGAUGCGUGUGCCAGUAAUCUGCCGUGGCCAUGAGAUGAGCUAAUACAAUAUGAGAUCCUGAAAUGUUGGGGUUUUGUUAGGUCGUUUGGCAGCCGUGGGGUGUGCUUGAAAGAAUACCCGAAAAUGUGAUUUAGAGAAGGUUUCUGCCUAGUAUGUGUAUACAGGCAAGGUAAUAUUGCUGUGUUGCUGCCAUCCAAGUUAACUUCCUAAUUACAUAGUUACAUAGGCUGAAAAGAGACGUGUCCAUCAAGUUCAGCUUUCCUCACAUCUGUUUUUUGCUGUUGAUCCAAAAGAACGCAAAAAACAAAACAAAAACAAAAACCACAGUUUAAAGCACUUUUGCUUUAAAACAAACUAGAAAACAAAUUCCUACUUGACUCCAGAAUGAUAGUCAGAUUUAGUCUUGGAUCAAGAAGCUAUUGCCCUCAUUAUUGUUAGUUUAACAUUAUUGUUAGUUUAGUAUUUAUUUAAUAUGCUCAUGUGCUGUAUGAGUAGCAUUUGUCAUGCAACCCCCUCCAAAGAGACCCCCUGGCGUGUGUAGUGGCCAUGAUGGGGUAUAAUUCGAAGAGAGCUGAAGAUUAACUAAAAGAAGGUAGACUCUGUGACUCUGUGGGCCAUAUUUCAAUGAACCAGUUAUUUUUGAAAAUGGCUGCAUAUCCAGUGUUGUCAGCAGCGUCCGUACAGAUAAUGCGAGAUUAGUAGGAUAGUGGGGAAUGAACAUAACUUUCUCGUUCCAGUGGGAUAGGAAGUUGAACCCCAUGAAUGGGUCUGCUCAAGCCUGAGCAUCGAGUGUCUUAGUGCAAUUGUUGGUAGGUAACCAGAAGAAGGCUGAGUAAUCGGGUAUGAAGUUGUAAAACGCAUAUGGCAAAGUUCAGAGAACCACAGAGAGAAUAGAGAUCCAAGUGGGAAUAGGCAACUGUGCCCAGUAGGGACUCUACGUUUCCCUGAUAUGCUGGACCUUGCCCACAGGGAUAGGGGGUUACUGGACUGCAAUAUCGAGUCCAGUUGUAAACCCAGGAGAAUGAAACUGGAGUAGGGGACUACACUUUAUUUUUUCCAAUUUGACAAUUUUUAUUUUCUGUUUAAACUGGGGGUACAGAAGGAAAGAAGGGAUAGGAACGAUAACAGUUGCAUCUCAAAUACAUUUUUCAAUGUUGCUUUUUGUGCAAGUUACCAUCCUGUACAUAGUGUCUAUUAAGCUUGUGUUCCUUUACAUUUGUAUCUAGUACAUUUGUAGCCUGAUGCACCUUUGCGAGCUGUUCGACUGUAUGCGUUUUUUUUAAUAUGUAAGUUUUGAUUCGGUUUGGGGAACAAAGGGGAAAGUGGGGGGGAAGGGCGUAAAAUUUUGCCCUUCAUAAUACCUUGUGAACAUCUUUUGAGUAUACUCUUGACAUGCACAUAUUGCGUUUCGUUUGCUCAGUGGGGUGGGGAGGGGGUACAGAAAACAAAAAGGGAGGGGUAAGGGAUCUUAGGGGAGUGGGUUGCUAGUUUCCAUCCCUCUAUCGUCCUGUGCCAUAAGGGUCUCUUAUGCGCCAUUCAGGCGGUCAAUUCUCCCAUAGGUGUGGGGUUGCUAGGUUUGUGGUAGCUCGCCCUGUCGGAGCAGCAGGUGGUGUCUUUGUACUGGUGAGUCGCCUUUGCGCGGCUUGUUGUUAUGGCUUGCUAGAGUGCGGGUGAAUGGUCGGGUUGCCUGAGGAAGGCCAGUGCAGCCUCAAGGUCCCCCCAUGUGCAUAUGGGGAAAUGCCCACAGUCAAUGUUCUACCCACAUGGGAAUAGGGUGUUAUACAGGGCUGUAACUGGGGUAACCGAUAUGUCCUCUCUGGUUCUUGUGUAUCUUAUUGUGUGUCGCUAUGUUUCAAGAUAGCCUAGUGGGGUCAAUGGUUCCUUUGUUCUCAAUGUAAGUUGUCCACAGCUCUCGGGCCGCAGCACUCCCCCCACUCGUUUGUACCUGUUUCCACAUCAAUAUUUCAUAAUCUAGUGUGGGCGAUACUAGUGCGGAUACCUCCGGCAUUGAGGGAAUGAGCGGGGUCUUCCCGUUCUUAGCUAGUAGUGUGUUGGCCAAUGAGAGUGUGAGGAAUAUUAUCUUAGCUAUAUAAUGCGAGAGGCCUCUGGGAAUUAAUUUUAGUAAAAUGGUUUCAAUGUUGUGUUCUAGUAUGCACCCUGUGGCUCUCUUUAUGAGCUCUGCUAUUUGUUUCCAAAAAGGGUGUACUAGUUAGCACGUCCACCAAAUACCCUCUUGGGUCAGGCACCUCCAGCAUCUAUCGCUAGUGUUUGGGUAAAUGGCCUUAAGUCUUGUGGGAACCAUAUACCAUCUGUAUAACAUGUUUCUGGUGGCCUCCAGGUGAGAGGCACAUGAGGUGAGCCCAUGUGGUUUGCGUAAAUGCAGUCCCACUCUUCCUUUGUGAGGGGUCUGCCUAUAUCUCUGUUCCAGUCUGCUUUGAAGCGCCAGGUAGGUUCUGUUUUUUGUGAGGUGAGGUGCUUGUAGCUGAGUGUUCCAUGUGGGUGGGGGGGCAGUCCCAGCGGUGUCAGUGAGUAUCGCUUUCAGUUGCCAGUGCGAGAACAUGACAAGUUGUCUGCCGAGCAGAACAGGUCUCUGUGGUUGUCCUUACAGGUGUACAUGAGUUUGGUGGUUGGUAAAGUUUUGGGAGUUAUGGGUCUAAGUCUCUUGGGUGCCCAGACAGAUCCUGGCCUCAAUCUCCAUCCAUUGGGGAGUGUAUGUGGCAAAGUGCAUGGUGAUAAUGUUAGCUAUCUGAGUUGCUUGGUAAUAGGCCUUAAGAUUGGGGAAUCCCAGUCCGUCCUUGUCUGUCGGUCUCAUCAGCAGCGCUCUUUGGACUCUGGGGUGUUCCCCCCCCCCAGCUAAAUCUGAGCAGGAUUGACUGCAGUCUUUGUAAUUAUGUUUGGGGGAUGUGUGUGGCAAAACUUGCCACUUAAGACUAUACAUGUAUUGCAUGUGUGGAUAUCCUUGUUUUAGCUGUAAGAACCAAGUAUAAUACUGUUAUCCUUAUACUAAUCGGUAUUUUAACAGUGUGUUGAAAAUAAUAUGUAUUUCGUGCGGCGUUCGGUUAGUUAGACUGGGAGCUGAGCGGUAUUCUCACGAACUGUUCGCUCAGUCCCCAGCUAUCUACCGAAUGUUCAUUCGUGUAAAUCAGUGAAAUAUUAUGGAAGUUAUGUACUUUAGUGUAAAAUGUAAACUCUGCUGCACGGAGGGAUAAUCCCAAUGGUAUAUUCCAAUGGGAGUAUCCCUCUCGUACAGCAGUGCAUGAUGGGAGAAAUGUGUGUGUUGGUCAGUUCCCCAUGUAGUCCCCUACUGUCCCACCCCUGGAAUGUCAGUAGGGAAACCCCUUGCAUGGGGACUUGGAUAAAUACUGUGACCUGUGAAUAAAACCUUAGUUGACUCCUAGCCUAUGUGUCGUCUAGUUCUUGGGAUGGAAGGAUUCUUACAACGCUACUGGGAUUAUUGUAUGCUGUAUUCAUUUCCUUGGAUUAUUUUAUGCUAUUCCUGUUACCCAGCGGAGAUACUGUGGAUUAUACUACCUCUCCGCUACAAUGUGUAUAUGUAUGGAGCGAAACAUGUAUAACAUUUUGGGAAGUAUCGUCAUUUUGAUGGCCGCAAUGCACUCUAGCCAUGAUAGAAAUUUGUUCUGCCAUGUCUGCAGGAUGUGCUCCACUUCCCUUAGGAGUUUAACCCCUUAAUGACACAUGACAUGUGUGACAUGUCAUGAUUCCCUUUUAUUCCAGAAGUUUGGUCCUUAAGGGAUUAAUGUAAUUGGUGGCAUACAGGUCAUGGGGUCUUUUUGUCAGCUUUAUGCCCAAAAAUGUGAGGUGGUCGCCUCUCCAGUCAUACUAGAAAGUGCGUCUGUGUCUGUCUUCCAUCUCUCUAGUCAUAUUGAUGCACAUGGCUUGGGUUUUAGGUAGGUUGGGUUGGUAAUAAGACUGGGCACUGUAUUCUCAGAUCUCUUUAUGGAGAUUUGGUAAGGAUACUGUCGGGUUGGAGAGUGUAAGUAAGAUUUCAUCCGCAAAGAGGUUUAGAGUGUAUUCUUUGCCCCCAUGGCGAUUCCCUGUAUGUCUCGAUUGUUGCAUAUGGCUAUGGCCAGUGGUUCUAGAGCCAGCACGUAGAGCAGUGGGGAGAGGGGGCAGCCCUAUCGUGUGCCAUUGGUUAUUUUGAAUGUGUGGAAGCUAAACCCUGCAUUGAGGACCAUGGCUGAUGGUGUACUAUAGAGUGCCUUAAUCACGUGUAGGAACUCAGGUGGGAAGCCGUAUCUGAUUAGUGCCUCGUGGAGGAACCCCCAAUGUAACCGGUCAAACGCCUUUUCUGUGUCUAGCGAUAACAUCAUGCACAGUGUUUUGGAUUGGUUGAGGUAAUAUAGGAUAUCCAGUACGUUGUGUGAGUUAUCCGGGCCCUGUCUGCCCGACACAAACCCCACUUGGCUCGUGGCCACUAAGUCAGGUAGUAGAUUUUUUAGUCUCUCAGCAUAUAUUUUAGCGUAUAGUUUGGCAUCUGCGUUUAGAAGGGAGAUGAGCCUGAAGUUGGUUUCCUGGCUUCGGAAGGGUAAUGAUGUGGGCCACUAGGAAUUCUGGCGGCAAAGUGCCUUGCUUUGUGGUGUAGUUAAAGGCCUGUGCCACGCAUUGGCUGAGUAUAGUUUUGAAGGUGGCAUAAUAUUUAUUUGUGAGGCCAUCCGGUCCUGGGGCCUUCCCCUUCAGCAUGGCUUCGAUAAGUCGAGUUACCUCUUGGGACAUGAUAGGGUUUGUGAGUUGUGUAAUUUGGAGCAUGGGCAAGUCUAUCCUGUUCAGGUAUUCCCUUACUUAGUCUUUUGUCGGUUGCGCUACCGCUUUGUUGUCCUUCAAGUUGUAAAGGGAACUAUAAUAGGUAGCAAAUUAGUUACAAAUUUGCGUGGGUUGCGUCAGUUUGAGGUUCUGUGAGGUUUGGAGGUAGGGAAUUCAGGUUUGAGCUUGUCUGUCUAUAAUUCUGUGAGCCAGUGCUUUACUAGCUCUGUUACCCAGAACGAAAGUUGUGGCUUUCAGUUUUUUGAUGGCAUAGCCCGCUUUUUGGAAGUUGGUGGUGUUAAUCUGUCUCUGUAGUUCGGUAAUCUCUUUGUGUGUGGUCGUGGAUGGGGUGAGUUGGUUGGCUCUGUGAAGGUCAUGCAAUCGUUUUAGAUUUUGGAUGUGUGCGGUAGGAGACUCUGCGGAUUAGCAGUCCCCUAAUCACCGAUUUGUGGGCUAGCCACAGUGUCAUGGGAAAUAUGUCAGGGGUGGCGUUGUUGUCGAGGUAGGAUUUCAGGUCCUGCUGUAAUGUUUGUGCGGUGUUUAAAGUUGUACUGGUCUGUGAUCGUUAGCAUCACCGGGCAGUGGUCUGACCAGGUAGAGGACCCUAUGUCGCAUGCGGUCGCUCUGUUCAGAUGUGUUCCCUGCAAGAAGAAGCUGUCAAUCUUUGUAUACGUGUUGUGCACCUGUGAAAAGUGAGUUUAUUCCUUAUCUUGUGGGUGUAGUGCUCACCAGACGUCAUAGAGCCCAAAAGCGUGUAAGAGCUUUGUUAGGGGUUUGCAUUGCUUGUGAAGUGUUUUGGCUCUAUGUGUCGAGUGAGUUGCGGUUAAAUCCAUCCUUGGGUCUUGAAUCUGGUUAAAAUCUCCACAAAUAAUUGUGGUGCCCAUUUGGAGCUGUGCUAUGAGUGUCAAUAUAUUGUGUAGGUAGCCUCCUUGGUUUGCGUUAGGUAGAUAAGCAUUGACAAUAGUGUAGGUGGAGUUGUUUAUGGUGCAAAUCAAAAUGAGGUAUCUGCCUUGGGGGUCAUGUUUCACCGUUAUUUCCUCAUAUGCCAAAUGGCUGCUGAGGAGGAUGGAGACCCCUUUGCUUUUUGUGGGGGAUGUGGUGUGGUAUUAGUGGGGGUAGAGCGUUUUCCCUAGAAUUGGAUUGGAGUUGUGUUAAAAGUGCGUUUCCUGCAGGCAGACUAUGUCAGUCUGUGAGGUUUUGAGUUCUCUCAGUAGCAUGUGUCGUUUGUGUGGGGUGUUCAACCCCCUGAUGUUAUGUGUGUAUAUUUUCAUGCUUUGUUUGGUGGGGAGUUGUGCUAGUCUGAUGUCGUUGGCCAUCCCUACUAAGUGCGGGCAGUGUGGUAGUCUGAGGAUGCCCUGUUGAAUAGGGUAUUGCGAGGCAGAUUGAGGGUACCUCCUUCUUGGUGGGUCAGGUGCUUUGGGUGCUUGUGUGCUGGAGGUUGUUGUGUGAUCUGAGAGGAGAGUACACAUUAGCAUUAUCACAAUAAUAACUAUAAUACAAUUCUUAGACCGUGAGUGUUGUUCAGAGUGGCAUACCAACAUAUAACAUAACAUAUCAAACAGUAACUUAAAACAGUAAGUGAAAACAACCUUUGAGGUGUUCAUAUGACUUAAAGCGAAGGUAGUGACUUAACUUUCUUGUUUAGGGGGUAGGUGGACAGGUCAAGUCAGACCGGGCUCAGGUCUGGGCAGCGCAAGGGUCUGGGCUCUCUCUAAGUUGGUGCUAUGGGUUGUAUGUAUAUAUAUAUAUAUAUUUUUUUUUUUGCAAUAAUAUUUAAUGGGUUUGGGACCUUGGAGGCUUUUUGGUCAGUUUGUGGGGCGACUCUUGUUCUGGUCAUGCGUCAAGCAUAGCUCGGAUUUUGUAUAGGGGUUUGGGGCGCCCGGGACACGUGGGUCUGGCUGUGGGACCUGCGGUUUUUUUUGUUUUUUGUCUAGGUUUUUUUUUUUAGGUGAGUUUGCAUAGCAGUUGCUGCGAGUAGCGACAGAAGCCGGGGGGAGGGGGUAUGUUUCCAGCCUGGAUUUGCACCCUGUGUCCUCGUUAUCAGGUGUUGUCCCCUUCCUGAGUGUGUGAGUGGCCUAGGUGUUAGGCCUCAUGGACACUUUGGCUGUUUUCCAUUGGCACGGGUUAUGGCAAGAUGGGCUUGUUUCCCCCCACCACGCACCCGAACCCACCCCCCACUGGGUGCACCAUGUCCCCUGAAAAGGAUACCAGUAGGGAGGUGCACGUAUUGUCAAGCUCGGUCAGAGCUUUUGGUUGCUUGUCUCUGUAGGGGUGUUCACGUUAACGUCCCAUAAUUGGAGCCUGUGGUCUCACAAUCUAGCUGUCAAGGUUGGGGAGUCCCCAGUCUGUUUAAUGGUCCGGGCGGAAAGCGUUUCACUUCUGCUUGGCAGUUCUCCACUCCCCCUGCAUCUUGUUUCCACGGGCUUGCCCUGUCGAAGUUGCUUCCAUCGUAAUGCCCCACGAAUGCAGGAGGUCUGUGCUGUUUUGAGUAGAAACCGCCGUGUAUAUCUUUCUGCCUCUGGAGAUCAGGAGCUUCACUGGGUACCCCCAUCUGUAUGGUAUGGAGUGCUGCCGUAGUGUCUCCGUGACUUCCCGGUAUGCUCUCCUUCUUCUCAUAGUUUCCACGGAGAGGUCGGCAAAGGUCAUUAUAUCUUUAAACUUGUCUUGUAAGUCUUUCUUUGUGCGGUGGGUCUUCAUUAGGAGUUCCUUGAUAUGGAAAAAGUGCACUCUCAUAAGCACAUCUCUGGGGGCAGUUGAUGGGAGGUGUGUGGGUCUGGCCACUCUGUGGAUCCUGUCUAGGAUUAAUAUGUCUGCCAGUAUGUCAGGCCGUAUUCCGUUGAAAAACUCUGUCACAUAACCAGUGAGCUCAGGUUGGGGAACGUCUUCUGGUAUCCCCCGCAUCCGUAAGUUGUUCCGGCGGGAUCGGUCCUCCAGAUCCAUUAUUUUGUUUUCGUACCUCUCCAGCCUACUCUCCAUGUCCUCCAUUUUAUCCUCCAUGGAGUUGUGGGCCGUGACCAUUUCCUCCACCCUGUUCUCUAGGUGUGAGGUCCAGCUGCCCAGCCCCAUGAUGUCCUUUCUGAGCUCCUCUAUCGCCGACUUCACCGUUGCCUGCAUUUUGCCGGCUACAUCAUCCAGCAUGCAUUGCAGGAUUGCUGUGGUCACUGCACUGCUCUCCAUGUGAUCACUGUCUGCAUCUGACUCUGCGCCAUCUUGGGCCUGCUGGCUCGCAGCUUUGGAUGGCGUGCGGGCAGCAAAAAAGGCCGCCUUUUCUUUUGUGUCAGUCGACUUUUUGACCCGGUUCUGCGACAUUAUUGGGGCUCUCUUGGGACGUUUGUAGUGCAGAUGGAUGCUUUCAUUUGCCGUUUUAUGGGCCACUGCGACGGAGCCCGCUCAGUCUGCGUCCAUCCAUCUCGAGCUCCAGCCACGCCCCUACAGGGGGGACUACAUUUUAAUCUUAAAACAGCAGAAGGCUAUUGGAAGAAAACAGGUCUGGUGAAUACUUUGGGAUUUACUAUUCUGUUCCUCUACUAAUAGAAAAUUGUCUAGAUAAUGUAUUACUGUGGCCAGUUACAUACGUAGAGGACGGCUUUAGGUACUGAAAAUGUUGCAGAUUGCAACUUACCUAGGAACACAACAAGUCUGCCCAAUUUGUCUUGAGCUGUGUAACAGUUGCAGUUUACACCAAGUAAUGCAAAAUGGCAGACCUGUUCCAUAUGAUAACAUGUACAUAAACAUGACCCAUGAGAGACCCGUAAUGGUAGGACUGUUUAUUAGAGAUGAUAAUGAUGAAACAUUUAAGUAACAUGAUACAAGUGAUAACACACGUAUAAGUCAUAUGUUGAAGAAGGCCAAGUGAGGGCCUAAAAUAAACAUAUAUGUGUGAUGUUCAACAUCUAUCGUGGGUACUUCAUAAUUUCACCUUACAUGAAGAUUGACCACCAUAUGCAUUACUGAGCGUUAUACAUAGAGCCGAGGGUGUUCUCUAGUCUGUAAGUUACUUGCACACUUCAUUGGAGCCAUUGUCUACAAACUGUAUUUAGAUUGUGCAUAUGUAAUAAAUAAUUAUGAUUUUUAUUUUAUUUUUUGCAUGAAAGGCUUUUUUUUUUUUUACUUUCUCUGUUAGCUUACAGGUUGCACUAUGAUAUGUUUUUCCUUUUUUUCAUUACUCAUUUUCAAAUGUACUGUAUUUAUGUAUAUUUGAAUUUAAAAAGGAGAUAUCAGUUACCACUCCAUUUAUACGUAAAUAUUGAUUUCAUACUGUUUAGAUCAACCUCCACUCUCUUAUGAUAAUGGAAGCUGAAUGAGAGCCCAACACAACUAUACCUAGCGGCAGGGUGGCCAAAUCAGGGCAUAAUGAGAAGUUAUGGGUGAAUGAUACAAUUAAAUGGGGUAUGUAGAAAAUAUUUGAGUAGACUGCUUGCAAUUUAGUAUGAUUAUUGGUGACACCCAAGUGGCGGAUCUGGUUAUUGGCAUGUCUUGAUUUGAAGUGUGACAAUAACAUACUUAGAUGAAGGCUAUGUAUAUGGUCAUAUAACCACAGAACAGACAUAAUUAUGACCGACAAUUUUAAAGAACACUUGACUAGGCCUGUGUGGAGCCCAGUAAGUACUUAAAUCAAUAUAAGUAGUGACAGACAGUGAAAAAAGACAGAUGAUUAACAGGCAGUAUCAUAAAUGCCAAUUUCAUUUAUAGGCACAAGUUUGGGCCUGACAAAAUUUAUACCUUCAUUUGCAACAUGUAGCUAUAUAAUUACUAAACAAUGUGGGCCCACUGAGUGCCUGAAUACAUACAGAAUACAUAUAUGUACUGAGGCUGGAAGAGUCCUGGUGAACAUAAGUAACAAAUGCCGAUCUUUUUAGAGUUGAAAAGUAUAACGAAGGCUGUGUGGGCUGGCAACAAUAAGUUGCAAAUAUUAAAAACUGAAUAUGGCACAGCAUUAGGAUGACUAACUGAAUUGCAUAUGAUAAAAUUUAAAUGGCCGAAUAAGGGGCAAAUACAGUAAGCAGAAUGAAUAAACACAAUUGAGGUAUCAAGGUGAUGCUACGUAUGAUUGAAAUAGGACAGAUUUACAUUAGUAUGGAGAUUCGCUAUAUCCGAAUGAAGGUAGAAUACAGACUGAACUGCAACUGCUACGCGGAAAUGUUGAAUGUUGGGCGAAUACAUGUUGAAUGUCAGUGAUAGCAUAGCCAAAUGUGGGCUGCAUGAACAAACUUACGGUUUUGUUCAACUAAACGUGCGAACAGCAACAGGAAAAAAACACGACUGGGCUGGAUGCAGAAGUGCCCCAUGAGCUUCAAGGGAGGCGGCUGUUUUUUUCCUAGAGUAAGGUAAAAUGAAUACUUGUGUAGGCUGCACAAGGCCAAGACGAGCUUGGAGUUUAGAUAGUUUGUGUUGAUGACCUUUGAACUGAAAUAGAUGGUUCUGUACCAAGCCUGAGUAGAGCAAGGAGGCCUUCUCUGAAGCUAUGCCAUAAACUACAAAUGAUAAUUUCCUCUAAACCUAAAAUCUCUCUUGGUAAGGUCUCAGGCACAGGCAUAAAGAACACAAAGGAAGUACCUAAAUAUGUAUAAAAUAUUAGGGGACUACUGGGACUAAUUUAUACAAGUAAAUAAACUACAGUCUGUUCAAAACUAGCUUUACUGUUUUUCAUAUCAAUUUUUAAGUAAAAUAAAGAGGUUUAAUUACAAAAGUUGUAUAUAGAUGGCACUUAUAUCCUGAAAAAAUAUUUAAAUUUAAAGCCAAAGAUAACCCGCUAUGCUGGAGGUGUUACUUACAAAAUUUGGAAGAUUAAUAUGGAGUUUAUAACAACAUUAAUAUCCAAACUCUGAAAAAAAAAAUAAAUAUAUAUAUAUAUAUAUAUAUCUUUGAGCUAAGGUCUCCCUGACAAGUUGUCUGUUUUCUGUUUGUUGGUGUUAACUUAUUGUAUAUUUACUUUGUUGUUUGUCUAUCUAAGCUCGCUGUAAUAACUUAUUAGGGAACAACCUAAUGGAAGUGAGUAUCAACGAUUAUUAGGCUAAAUGUAAUUGGGAACAUUUGUUAAAGCUAAAAUAUGAUGAUUUUGUAAACAAAGAUAUACUGGAUGUAAUGAAUUUUUCUAAUAAAAAAAACAUAAAAAAACCAAAAACAAAAUAUCAACAUAUGUAACAUAAUCUUGACACAAUAUCAGUGUUUUCAUUUUAUGCCAUGUCCUAAACUUAUAAUUAGUCUUACAAUAUUAAUCCUUUAUGGCUCAGGUUUUCUGCAAUUAAACAUGUUAACAGGCUGUUGAAUGGAGACCUAUAACAGCCUUUUCCUUACUACAUUCUUUUAUCAUUGAAACGGUUUUAUUCUCUCUAGACCAAAUAGAAACUGAUCUGUGUCUAUUUCUUCAACAGAUAUAAACUUUUAAAAGUUCUGGCUAUCAUAUUACUCCUAUGUUCUGACUGUUCAGAUGCAGCACAAUUUUCAAAGACUUGGUCGAAGCCUAAUGUCGAAGACAUUGAUGGAUAUUUCAGAGAUGGAGAUGUGAUUUUGGGUGGAAUUAUUCUGUUAUUUAACUAUUACUACUCUAGUGAGUACACAUCUUAUACUCGUGCCCAUGUGUAUUCAACAACUAAACUAUGUGAUAUGUAAGUUACAAUAUUUGAAUACCAAAUUGUAAAGACAAAUUUAUAAUGAAUGUUUUCCUUUAUUUUUAAUGUGCAAGCUUAUGCCACAAUGUUGUAAAAUAAAUAAGAAAAUCAUACAGAUAAUUUAUGACAAACACAUUUAGGUGAAUAGAAACAAGAGAUGAGGAUCCUUCUCAAGUAAGCUUACAAUCAAUAGGAAGGGGGCAAAACUGCAUGAGAGGAUAGAUUUGAUUUAUCCAUGUGGGAUAAUAUAGAGAUUAUGAGAUAUAGUUGUAUAAGACACAUAGGCCUUAUUUUAAGAGUGAAUCAUGUUUAUCGACUUCCUGACAAGUAAUUUAUCAGUUAGGAUAGAUUAAAUUACUAUUGUUAAAGGCAUUUUGGGAGCCAAUAAAUAUUGGUUGGAAUAAUGAAACUGAUAUUUGAAAAUAUUGGAAUUUGCUUCGUUAAAAGAGCCUAUGUGGGUCAUUAUGACACCUACAUUACUAUAAUAGAGGUUUAACACCUCCCUUAUGCCCAUAAAUGGGAUGCUGUUUACUAAAUAGUGAGUAGCAAGUUUUCCAGCCUAGUCACUAAUAAAAUGCAGAGGGUACCUUUUAACUUUUGCAAAUUGAAAUUGUGGUUCGAAAGCAAGGGCAAAGUGUAGUGGCGAUAACAGACACGGUUAUCUGGUGCCAUUGUGUAUAGGGAAUGAGUCAGUUAAGGUGCCAUUUAAGCAAACCAUUGAGGUGGGAGUGACCUAUAAGGCACAUGCCCCAGGCAAACAUAUGUGGACCCAGGCCCAAACCAAAAGUGCUGGGAUUAGAAAGCCCCAGUUAACUCGAUCAAUGGACUUCUCCACUACAAACUCUACUGGGCUUGGUGUAUCUGUGCUAGAGCCCUUGCAUUGUCCCUGGCUUUCCUGCAGGCGAUAAAGCUCACCUGGUCUGAAUGAACUAGGGUUAGUAAGUACAGCUGUAGUCUAUCUGCAAGGAUCUUAGUGAACAAUAAUUAUGGAAGCAAUUGAACAAGUAGGUCUGUAGUUUGUAAGUGAAGAAGAGAGCCAGGAGACUCCAGACACUGUAACCACUUCAAUAUGGUGCCUAUAGUGACUGUUUAAUAUUAAUGUAGUGACGUUAUUUUGAUUGUAUAGGGACAAUAUAAACGUAAAUUUAAAUUACACAUGCAUUCACAUACCAGAAAAGAUAAAGAAAUUAAGAAAUUCUCAUGUGAGCUUUGUCAUUCUUUGAAUAUAGUGAUGUCUGGCCUAUGUAGGAUUUAGGAUUUUUAAUGUUUUCCUUUGAAUUCUGAUAAUAACUGGACCAUUGAAGUCUAGUUUAGGAACCAUUGAGCAGUCAAUCGCUAAAAAUUGUAAAUAGGAAAAAUACCACAAAAAAAACCCCAAAAACUGUUUUCUGAUUUGUAACUUACUUAAUAGAUAUUGGUAUACACUGUAUAUAUGUAUAGUAUUGAUUUGACAAAUGUUUAUUUAACAUAUAUCUUCAACUUUUCAGGCCAUCCCUUCGUUUCCUCCGUCAUUUUCUGGCUUUUGAUUUUGCUGUUCAAGAAAUUAAUAAUGACAGAAACCUUCUACCAAACACCACCCUGGGGUAUUCAAUCUAUGACUCUUGUUUCUUAGCCAAUAAAGCACAGGAAGCCACAUUAAAAAUUCUAUCAGGUGGAACAAAUCACCCUUUUAAUUACAGCUGCAAGAAGAAUUAUACAGUUGUGGGGUUCAUUGGACAUUUUCUCUCUUCAGUAACACGCUCAAUGGCAGACAUUCUCUCCAUCUAUGGCUACACACAAGUGAGAAACAUUAUUUUAUUUUGCCAUAUUAUAAAAUACUUCUUUAUAGAACAGAUCUAAAAAAUGUAAUGAUUGUACCCAAUAGUAAUUCCCAGAGGCACACAUUUUAAUGCUAGAAAUGUGUCUAGUGCAAACUAGACCUUAUGAAUGCAUCUCGUUAGUACAUAUCCCUCACACUCUAACCAGAGCUCAAUGUUUCUGCUAACCAAUGUUGAGUGAAAACUAAACUCUAGUGAGUGCUUUAGACUCUCCAAACUUGCAAUGGCAACUAAAAUUUAGGCCUGUGUGUGUAGUGGAAUAAGACUAGACAUUUUGAGCCCUGCUGUAACAAUCUAAAUUGUACUGAAAAAGAACUGAGUACUGAUCUUUGGGUCUGUUCUGUAUGGACCACAAAUAGCAGAAACAUGAGCUUUAGAAAAUGAAAGCAUUUCUCUGUGGAUUCUUUUAAAGGGACACUUGGCACCCAGAUCAUGCAUCUCAUUGAAAUUGUCUGGGUACAGUGAUCCGGUCUGUUUAACCCUGCAAUGUAAAACAUUGUAGGGUUAACUCCACCUCUAGUGGCUGUCUUCCAGAAAGUCACCAGAAUCGCAUCCAGGUCCCUGGUGAAGUUUAAUUUCACUAUCUGACAUUGGUCUAACAUCUUUGGUUCCCCACAGAAAAGCAAUGAUUCAAUGCUUUCCUAUGUGGAUGUGGAAGCUUGAAUGUGCACAUGUGCAUUAGGUCCCACCCCUGCUGUAAUGUUGCAGGAGGAGGAGACCUAGCUAGCGCUAAGGGAGUCUCAACACUAGAAAACGGUAAGUUAAAGCAUACAUUUUUACUUACCGUAAAUGUAUUUUUCCUGAAGAUUAGAGGCAUUGGUUUACAACAGGGAUUUCUAAUCUGGAGGGGGAAAAAAACAGGCAUUUGCCCCAAAUUUUAAGCACCUCACCCAAAUUACCUUUGGCACUAUAAAGUGUCUCUUACCUCUAGGAACCCCAAACAAUACAAAAGCCGGAUAACUGCAAAAUUUAGUUUAUUGGAAAAUCGGGGUGGGAAGUAAACACUGCAUCUAAUCUUCAGGAAAAAUAAAUUUACGGUAAGUAAAAAUGAAUGCAUUUCCCUUUAGAUUAGAGGCAUUGCUUUACAGCAGGGAUAACCAAAGAAAUCCCCUAAGGGCAGGACUCAUUUCACAACUGCUUGCAGCACCUUGCGCCCAAAAGUUGCGUCUUCCGAGGCCAGUAUGUCUAAUUUGUAAUGUUUAGCAAAUGUGUGAAGAGAUGAUCAUGUUGCUGCAAAACUAAUUUGAGAAGGUGUAGCUGAAGCCCUCAGGACCCAAGAUGUGGACAUAGCUCUGGUAGAAUGAGCUUUAAUGGAGAUAGGUGUAGGAACGUUAGAUGAAGAAUAUGCCAAACGAAUGGAGUCCAUUAACCAUCUGGCCAGAGAGCCUUUAGAUACCAUAAAACAAGACAAAACAUAUGUUUAUUUUCAGUGAUGUCCCGAACGGUUUGCUGGCGAAUAGUUCCUGGCGAACAUCGCUUGUUUGCGUUCGCCACGGAUGGCGAACAUAUGCGCUGUUCGGUCCGCCCCCUAUUCGUCAUCAUUGAGUAAACUUUGACCCUGUACCUCACAGUCAGCAGACACAUUCCAGCCAAUCAGCAGCAGACCCUCCCUCCCAGACCCUCCCACCUCCUGGACAGCAUCCAUUUUCCAUUCAUUGUGAAGCUGCAUUCUUAGUGAGAGGAGGGACAGUGUAGCUGCUGCUGAUUUGAUAGGGAAAUUGAUAGCUAGGCUAGUGUUUUCAGUGUCCACUACAGUCCUGAAGGACUCAUCUGAUCUCUGCUGUAAGGACAGCACCCCAAAAAGCCCUUUUUAGGGCUAGAACAUCAGUCUGCUUUUUUUUCUGUGUAAUGUAAUUGCAGUUGCCUGCCUGUCUGCCAGCCUGUGUGUCUGGCUCACAGCAUAUACUGUGCCCACUUGCCCAGUGCCACCACUCACUCACUGGUGUCACAAUAGCUUGCAUUUAAAAAAACAAAACUUUUUUGACUGUAAUAUAAUAGCAGUCAGUUUCCUUCACUAGUGUGCGUUUCAGGGCCUGCCCAGUGCCACCACUCACUCACUGGUGUCCCAAUAGCUUGCAUUUAAAAAAACCCAAAACUUUUUGGACUGUAAUAUAAUAGCAGUCAUUUUCCUUCACAAGUGUGCUUUUCCGGGCCUGCCCAGUGCCACCAUUGACUCACUGGUGUCCCAAUAGCUUGCAUUUAAAAAAACCAAAACUUUUUGGACUGUAAUAUAAUAGCAGUCAGUUUCCUUCACGCAUGUGCGUUUCAGGGCCUGCCAGGGCACAGUGUCGCACCAGUGCAACUCAUAUCUGGUGUAACAGUAGUGUACAUUUAAAAAAAAAAAAUACAAUUUUGACUGUAAUAGAUUGAAUAGCAGUUAGUUGUCUGCCAGCGUGUGUGUCAGGCUCACAGCGUAUACUGUGCCCACUUGCCCAGUGCCACCACUCAUAUCCGGUGUCACAAUAUCUUGCAUUUAACAAAAAAAAAACUUUUUGGACUGUAAUAUAAUAGCAGUCAGUUUCCUUCACAAGUGUGCGUUUCAGGGCCUGCCCAGUGCCACCACUCACUCACUGGUGUCCCAAUAGCUUGCAUUUAAAAAAAACAAAACUUUUUGGACUGUAAUAUAAUAGCAGUCAGUUUCCUUCAUGCGUGUGCGUUUCAGGGCCUGCCAGGGCACAGUGUCACACCAGUGCAACUCAUAUCUGGCGUAGUGUACAUAAAAAAAAAAUAAUUUUUGACUGUAAUUGUACAGUGCCACUCAUAUCUGUUGUCACAGUAGCUUGCACGCAUAGUACCACUAAUCGAAAAAAAAAUGACAAGUAGAGGCAGGCCACCCCGCAGGGGCCGUCGUGGUCAUGGUGCUGUGAUUCCCUUUGGCCCUAGAAUAAUGCCCAGUGUUCCGAGGCCACGUAUCCUGAACUCGAAAAGUUCUGAGGACAUAGUUGACUGGCUAAUACAGGACACCCAAUCUUCUACAGCUUCUGCUCGGUACCUUGACGCACCAUCCUCCUCCAGCUUAGCUUCGGGCACCUCUCAAGUUACCACUCGCCCGCCUGCCGCCACCACCAACACUAGCACCACAGCAGCUUCACUUGGUAUGUCAGAGGAGUUAUUUACACAUCAGUUGGAAGAAAUGAGUGAUGCGCAACCAUUAUUGCCAGAGGAUGUGUCUCAGUCAGGCAGCAUUACACACAGCAUUACACACAUGGACGUACGGUGUGAUGAUGAUGAUGUUGUACCCGCUGCUGCUUCCUUUGCUGAGUUGUCAGAUACAAGUGAACUGCAGUUGAUGAUGACGAUGCGUCCAUGGAUGUCACGUGGGUGCCCGCUAGAAGAGAAGAAGAACAGGGGGAAAGUUCAGAUGGGGAGACAGAGAGGAGGAGGAGGAGGAGAUGAGUUGGAAGCAGGGGGAGGUCGUCGCAAGGAGCUAGUGGCACAGUCAGACAAAAUGCAUCGGCACCCGGGGUCAGCCAGACAGCACGCCAAUCAACGCAUGCUGUUGCCACCACCAGAAUGCUGUCAUUGCAGAGCUCAGCAGUGUGGCAUUUUUUUUGUGUGUCUGCCUCUGACAACAGCGAUGCCAUUUGCAACCUGUGCCAAAAGAAACUGAGUCGUGGGAAGUCCAACACCCACCUAGGUACAACUGCUUUGCGAAGGCACAUGAUCGCACAUCACAAAUGCCUAUGGGAUCAACACAUGAGUACAAGCAGCACACAAACUCAAAGCCGCCAUCCUCCUCCUGGUCCAGCAUCUUCAGCCACGUUAACCACUGCUGUCCUCCUUGCCCCCUCUCAACCAUCCGCCCCUCCGUCUCUCGCCUUGAGAAGUUCCUGCUCACAAAGUCACCCCCUUGCCCGGCAGCUGGCUUGACUGAACUCUUAGCCCACCAGCUUUUACCAUACAAGCUGGUGGAGUCUGAGGCAUUCAAAAAAUUUGUAGCUAUUGGGACACCACAGUGGAAGGUACCCGGACAAAAUUUCUUUGCAAAAAAAGGCAAUCCCCAACCUGUAUUCGAUUUGUGCAAAAGGAAGUAAUGGCAUGUCUGGCACACAGUGUUGGGGCAAGGGUCCAUCUGACCACUGAUACCUGGUCUGCAAAGCAUGGUCAGGGCAGGUAUAUCACCUACACUGCGCAUUGGGUAAACCUGCUGACGGCUGCCAAGCAUGGAAUGCGUGGCUCUGCAGAGGAGUUGGUGACACCGCCACGACUUGCAGGCAGGCCUGCUGCCACCUCCUCUACUCCUCCUACUCCAUCCUCUUCCAUAACCUCCUCGGCUGAGUCCUCUUCUGCUGCUGCGUCUUGCUCCACAUCAACGGCACCCCCCCAGCUCCCCAGGUACUAUUCCACAUCCUGGAUACGGCAGUGUCACGCCGUCUUGGGGUUGACUUGCCCCACUUGCCUGAAAGCAGACCAGCACUCCUGUCCGCCCUGAACGCACAGGUGGAUCAGUGGUUGACUCCACACCAACUGGAGAUCGGCAAAGUGGUUUGUGACAACGGAAGAAAUUUGUUGACGGCAUUGCAUCAGGGCAAGUUGACACAUGUGCCGUGCAUGGCACAUGUGUGUAAUCUGAUCGUACAACGCUUUGUGCAUAAGUACCCAGGCUUACAGGACGUCCUGAAGCAGGCCAGGAAGGUGUGUGGCCAUUUCAGGCGUUCCUACACGACCAUGGCGCACUUUUCAGAUAUCCAGCGGCGAAAAAAAAUGCCAGUGAGGCGCUUGAUUUGCGACAGCCCGACACGUUGGAAUUCAACACUCCUAAUGUUCGACCGCCUGCUCCACCAAGAAAAAUCCGUUAACGAGUAUUUGUAUGACCGGGGUGCUAGGACAGCCUCUGCGGAGCUGGGAAUUUUUUUGCCAUGUUACUGGACGCUCAUGCACAAUGCCUGUAGGCUCAUGCGUCCUUUUGAGGAGGUGACAAACCUAGUCAGUCGCACCGAAGGCACCAUCAGCGACAUCAUACUAUUUGUUUUCUUUCUGGAGCGUGCCCUGCUAAGAGUGCUGGAUCAGGCCGUAGAUGAGCGUGAAGAGGAAGAGGAAGAGUUGUGGUCACCAUCACCACCAGAAACAGCCUUAUCAGCAUCGCUUGCUGGACCUGCGGCAACGCUGGAAGAGGAUUGUGAGGAAGAGGAGUCAGAGGAGGAAUGUGGCUUUGAGGAGGAGGAAGAGCAACCACAACAGGCAUCGCAGGGUGCUCAUUGUCACCUAUUUGGUACCCGUGGUGUUGUACGUGGCUGGGGGGGAAGAACAUACCUUCAGUGAGAUCACUGAGGACGAGGAACAGGACAUGAGUAGCUCGGCAUCCAACCUUGCGCAAAUGGGGUCUUUCAUGCUGUCGUGCCUGUUGAGGGACCCUCGUAUAAAAAGGCUGAAGGAGAACGACCUGUACUGGGUGUCCACGCUACUAGACCCCCGGUAUAAGCAGAAAGUGCCUGAAAUGUUACCGAAUUACGGCAAGUCGGAAAGGAUGCAGCAGUUCCAAAAUCAAUUAAAAAGUAUGCUUUACACAGUGUAUAAGGGUGAUGUCACAGCACAACGGGAAUCUAACAGGGGAAGAGGUGAAAGUAAUCCUCCUCCUCCCACGACCAUGCCGACAAGGGCAGGACGCUUUACAGACAUGUUGUUGAUGGAGGACAUGCGGAGCUUUUUAAGUCCUACGCAUCGCCACAGUCCUUCGGGGUCCACCCUCAGAGAAUGACUCGACCGACAGGUAGCAGACUACCUCGCCUUAACUGCAGAUAUCGACACUCUGAGGAGCGAUGAACCCCUUGACUACUGGGUGUGCAGGCUUGACCGGUGGCCUGAGCUAUCCCAACUUGCUCUCUGAGAAGAGAAGUCGCCUAGGUCAAAAAAGUCUAGAUUACCUCACCUUUAUUAAGAUGAAUGAGGGAUGGGUCCCGAAGGGACUGACAGUGGGCGACACAUUAGACUAAAAAAGGCCUGAUGAGGGGGAAGUAACAGGGUGUCGUGGCUGCCAGCCUGCUGCGUAAUAUUUAAAUCUAUAGCUCACCCCAGUACCUUGCCCUGUCGUGGUUUCCUGUUCCUGGUUUCCUGAGAGUGCUUUAUCAUUGUGAAUCUGAUUUCCUGGUAUCCUGAUCUUGGCUUUUCCCUGGUUAUUCUGAAUUCUGGUUUCCCUGACUUGGCUUGUGUAAAAGGUAUUGUGUAUUUUCUAGCUUCCUUGGCUUUCCCUUUGACCAUUCUCUGUCUCUAGCGUAUUAGUCCGGCCAUUCUAAGGUCCGGUUUACGCUCUGUCCUUUUAUUUUCCUUUUCUUGCCUACGUAUAUGUUUACAUAGUUUCUGCGUGGUGGACCACACUAGUAGUUGUGACAUUGGGAUUAAACUGAUAAGAAUAGUACUACUUAACACACCACUCCUAUCUAGUGGCACAUUAGAUUGCACGCGCAGUGCCCCAAAUUUGAAGUAGGAGGACCGACCAAGCAUCUUUUUCCAUCUACCGGUUCCUAAAAUCGAUGCCAUAUACACGUCCCCUGAUAGGGGACGUAACAGGGAUUAAACUGAUAGGAAUAGUACUACUUAACACACCUUAUAAUAACGCAGAGAGAGGCAACGCAGAGAGAGGAGUCUGAAGAAGAAAAGUCAGAGGAGGAAGGUGGCUUUGAGGAGGUGGAAGACCAAACACAGCAAGCGUCCCAGGGGGCUUGUUGUCACCUUUUGGGGACCCUUGGUGUUGUACGUGGCUGGGUGGAGGAAGAGACCUUCAAUGACAUCAGUGAGGACAAGGAACGGGACAUGGCUAGCUUGGUAUCCAACCUUGUGCAAAUGGGGAGUUUGCGGUUGUGCAAAUGGACUGUUUGCGUUUGUUUGCGGUGCGUUAAACGGGGAGUUUGGUCUGUCACUGUGAAGGGGGCGUAACCCUUACACUACCUGAUCGAUAAAACAUCAUACCUGAUGUUUUAAAGCACAUUAUUCCAAACAAUUUAGGAAUGUUAGGUGAUUUAUGCCCUUUAUCAAUUAAAACCAGACUCUGCAUCAACUAUGUAAUUUUCCAUGGGAGUUUUACCAUGGAUCCCCCUCUGGCAUGCCACAGUCCAGGUGUUUGUCCCCUUGAAACAACUUUUCCAUCACUAUUGUGGCCAGAAAGAGUCCCUGUGGGUUUUAAAAUUCGCCUGCCUAUUGAAGUCUAUGGCGGUUCGCCGGGUUCGCCCAUUCGCGAACAUUUGCGGAAGUUCGUGUUCGCCGUUCGCAAACUGAAAAUUUGAUGUUCGCAACAUCACUAUUUAUUUUUCUUAAAGGACCUUAUUAUUUCUUGAUUGAUGUUGAACAAACCUUGGCAAUAAAAGAAGGAUCCAGCUUUAAAACCACUUUGCCCUGAUGGAAACUAAAAAAGGAAAAAAACUGAAUUAAGAGCUUGAAGCUCUCCCAAUUUUUUUGCCGAGGUAAUUUCCACCAAAAAUAAAGUCUUGAACGAUAAAACAUUGAAAGAAGACUUUUCUAUAGGUUCAAAAGGAGGUUCACAGAGUGCUGAUAAAACCAAAUUAAGAUCCCAUGGUGGAAAGGUUUCCCUGAUGGCACGAACUAAACGAGACAAAGCUUUGAAAAACCUAAUGAUUACAAUAUUCAAAGCCAAACAUCUGAUUGAGAAGAAACUGAUAGAAACUUGGACCAUAAGUAGCACGUUUCAAUCAUUUUCGGAAAGCCCAUUUGAAGGAAUCUAAGGAUGUUUGGAUUGGAAGUGGUUACGGGAUUUUCUUUGAUCUUGACACACCAGAAACAAAAUUUCUUCCAUAUUCUGGAAUAAAUCCUGGAAGUUGCUUCUUUUUAUGGAGACAUUAAAAUCUCAAUAACUUCAGGAGACAAACCUUUUUCUUUUAAGAUCUGGUAUUCAGAAACCAGGCCGUCAGGUUGAAUUUCUUCAGAGUUGGAAGAGGUACCAUGGAGUGUGCCAGGAUUUCUACUGACAGGGGAGGUUUUCCAAUAGGUUGAUAUGGAUAUAUUUAGGAGAACGGUGAACCAACGCCAUCUCGGCCACCCUGGCAGAAUUAUGAUUAUUCUUACUCCUUCUAUCCUGAUCUUCUGUAGAAUCCUCGGAAUAAGAGAAAUAGGAGGAAAAUCAUAGGCUAGGCCGAAAUUCCAUGGAAUAGAAAGGGAGUCUAUGGUCUCUGGCCUGUUUGAAGGGUUUAAAUAUGCAAAUCUUGUUUUCUUGUUUGUUCUUGAGCCAUCAGGUCCAUUUCUCGAUAACCAAAUUUCUUUGGUCUCUUUCAUCCCAGAUCUUCAGUCAAAUAACUAUCUGCUUAUUGUAAAUGCUGAUGACUUAGAGCGUCUUCCAGAAUGUUGAAUUCUCCUUUUAUGUGUACUGCUGAAAUAGACAGAAGAGAUACUCUGACCAUAGCAUGAUUCUGGAAUACAGAUUUUUCAAACAAGCUGACCGUGUUCCUCCUUGUUUGUUGAUAUAUGCUACUGUUGUAGAAUUGUAUGACCAGAUCUGGACAUGAUUAUUCUGUUUCUGGAAAGCAAUGAGAGCCAGCCAGACAGCCUUCAGUUGUUUGUAAUUUGAUGAACUUCUUAAAUCUUUUCUUCUUUUCUCCCAUGUGAGCACCCCAGCCGAGACCUGAGACAUCUGUUAAAAUUCUGAAUGACUUCAUUUGGAAAGAAAGGCCUGACUGCAGGAAAUGUGACGAAGUCCACCAGAGAAAGCUCUUCAGGACACGACUGUUGAGUUUCAUAGGCAUGUCCAAGCUGUUCGUUUGUUCCAGAAGCUUAAAAUAUUUAUUUGAAUAAGUCUCAUUCUGGCCUUUGCCCAAUUGACUGCUGGAUUUGAGGCUGUGAAAAGACCCAGCAAACUCAUUGCUUCUCUGAUGGAGCAAAAACUUUCCUCUGAGGUUCUGAAUAACUCGAGCAAUUUUUGUUCUUUUUUCUUCAGGAAGAAAGAUCUUCAUACCGACUGUCUAUAAUCAGACCCUGAAACUAUUCUUUGGCUUGGUACCAAUUCCGACUUUACAAAAUGUAUUAACCAACCAUGCCUUAAAGGUCUUAAUAAAGUUGUUCUUUUGAGCCUGCAAUUAAAAGCCAGUCAUCUAAAUAAGGCAUGACAUUGAUGCCUCUUCCCCUUAAAUCUAUGGAAAUAGCUACCAGAAUAUUGGAUUCACUUGCGCAUGGACAAAGCGCGCCACAAUUCCACAGUGAAAAGCAUCGCAACCUGUACGUGAGUUCCACUGCCAGGACCUCCCAGCCCGUGCACACAUGUGCACCUUCGCCUUACCUGGCACCCGGCAUUUUUUUAAGUAGAACAGAUAAGAGUAGAUUGAAUGCAGGCGUCUGGUGUGCUUACAACUAGAAAGGAGUUCUAGCAAAAUCACCAGCUGUCAAAUGAAGAAGCAGAGCCUCAGCCCCCUCACCAUACUUCCUAAAAAAAACAAAAACCUAAUAUAAAGGGAAAAAAAAAGCGUUUUUAACCCUUAAAUCAUUAAAGGGUGGGGGACACCUACAAAACUAGUGACAGUGAAACUAACAUUACAAAUACAAGUUUGUAUUCCUAACACUAUGGUGUUCCUUUUAAGUCACAAUAACCACUGAUAAAAAUAUACACAAGAACAACUUAUGUCACACAUUGGGUGUACUUGUACAUUGGGUGUCAGGCUACUCACAUCAUAUACCUUUUAGCAUCAUAGAAAUUACGAUGAUCAGAAGUAUCCUACUUUACCCUGUUUUUAUCCAUUUCUCCAUUUAGCUCCUGACCUGUCAUAGUUCUUGUUACCAGAGAUUGUGUGUCUUAUCUAUUAUUCUGAGUUUCUUAACCAAAUCCUGUUUGACUGUUCUGGUUUUAAUGUGUACCGUGACUUUGGAUUGCCUUACUGUUCUGUAAUUCCUCUGUACUCCUAGAUGUUCACCUGUUCCUGAUUCUGCUUACCUGCAGGUGUUUUGUUUUCUCUUCUGAGUUUUACGUUCAGUCUAAGGAUUGAGAAUACAUAUCUAUCCUAUACUUUGCUUGUAGGGAUUUUUUUCAUAUUUUCUAUACUUUUGUUUUUAGGGUUUUCAACAAAGCAUAUGUACUACAAGAGCUCAAAAGAUUAAAGUAAACUGAAACAUUUUCUAAUUAAGGCCUUGUUAGGCUUGAAAUCACAACAGGGUCUGAAAAACCUUAUGCUACCAUGGUCUUAUGCACAAACAAAGAUGUUUCUGCUUUCCUUUAUUUCUGUAAUCAGUUGUAGGGAAAAUUUUGUGAAGUCACACCACUCAGCUGUAUCAAUAGGCAUUCAAACGUUUAAUGCUUCGUACAUCUUAUACAUAACACAGUUUGUUUAGGGGUGUAUACAUCAACGGAAACAUUAACCAAUCAUCGGAGUCUCAGAACCAAAAGUAUAUAUUUUCAUAUAACAUUUUGUAAUGCUGUUAGUUAGUCUCCUGUUCACUGAUGCAAUUGACAGUAUGAGAUUAGGAACCCAAUUAAAAAUUGCAGAUGCUAGAAAGAAUGUCAAUAUUUAAAGUGCAGGAUGUUUAUAAGAGAUAGCGAAAACUGGUGUCAGGCGCAAGAACAGAAAAAUAUUGCAUUUUUUUUUUAAAAUGCCAGUUUAACCCAUUCAAAACAUGAGUAUCUUGUAUUAUAAUCAGGCCUACUGACCAUUUUGUCUUUCAAGAUAUGUAUACAGUAAUACUUUAGCUACGUAAUAAGAAAUGCAGAAGUAGAAAGCAGGACAUUAGACUGACACCCUGUAUCAUAAAAUAUAUAGCUCUGUAUGUCUAGGGGAAUAUUCACUAAGCACUGCAUAGGUAAAAACAUUUUUUUCCAACAGGCCUUGAUUUAAUAUUUUUGGGCACGCUUUUAACAGUAUCAAAAAUGUAUCAUAAAAAAAAUAUAAAUUAAAAUAUGGUAUGAUUUUCAAAGUUUUUACAAAAAUUUAAAUUAUUUAAAAAGCUUAUUUAAAUAUAUUAAAUUGAGUCCUACGUUAAAGCAAAGUAUGAAAAGUAAUUCAUACUACUGUAAUCAACAUAACUUACCUGCUCAGAAUUUUAUGAAAAACAGCAUGAUGUAAACCAGCAGAAUAUUAAUGUCCACUACACAUUAUGUAAAUAAUUAAUUCACACAAAUAGUUUUGUUUUUUUAAUUUUUUUAUUUUAAACAAUUUUCAUAUUUAUCAUUAAAGAAUUUGAGUCAGUCAAUGACUUGACUGUUGCCUUGUCUGGGACUCUAACAAAGUAGAUGUGACUGAUCUAUUUUGUACAAUAUUCAUAGAUGAGGAUAUGGCAAGGGGAGCAUUGUCAUUCGCAGUCAAGGGCGACAGGGCCAGUGAAAAUUCAGUCCUGGUAAACCGAACAUCUCCUGUGUGCCAUGGAUCUUUCAGUGGAAGUUAACUUUUAAGCCUGUCUAGUAGCGUGGAACUUGAUAUUUUAGCCCUCUCUAUAUACAGAGAUCCUCAUGAGGGAACCGUUUCAAUGUGGGUAAAUCUCACAAGAGCAGUUAUUAGAGUGGUACAGAGUAGCAGUGGCGUGCUAAGAGGGGACGGAGGGAGCUGUCCGCCCCGGGUGCCACUCACUAGGGGGGUACCAGGGGCAGGCUGUGUCGGGUCCUGGGUCACUGACUGAGAACCUGACACCAGGAGGGGGCCUGGCGGUAUAUCGAACAAGUGUGAUGCCCCUCCUGCGCAAAUUGCAGACACCGGUCUGCAGCUCUGCAGUGUGCAGAGCUGCAGACCGUGUGUCUCGCGAGAUCUGAUCAAUCAAAGCAUUGCCGUAGGUUACCACAGCAAUGCUCUGACUGGGUCUCGCAAAAUUCAUGGUCUGCACUGCUGAGCUGCAGACUGGAUAUCGCCGGAUAUCAACACCGGACCACCAGGGAGCCCACACUGGACCAUCAGGGAAUAAAAUAAGGUAUUUAGUCCCUCUCACCAUCACACCAUCACUCCCCCCUCUCUCUCACCAUCACAACAUCACUCCCCCCUUCCUCACAGUAUGACCCUCCCCCUCUCACGUUCCCCCCUCCCUCAAACCAUCACUUCCCCCUCCCUCACAGUAUGACCCCCCUCUCACUUUCCACCCUCUCACCUCUGUGUGUGUAUAUAUCUGUGUAUGUGUUGUGACAGAGUCUGUGGGAGGGUAAUAGAAGGAAGGUAUUUAGGACCCAGACUCCUCCAUAGCCUGUACUCAUUCACCUUCCCAAUUAGCAACUGCUGAGGCUUUAAUUAGCAGGUCUCAGAGCAGAAAGGGGGAGAUACAAUCUGACCUGCAGAGAGAGAGCAGCACCAAACAAAGUGCUAAAGGUUGGUGAAACCAAUGUUUAUUUUGUUGAAUUGUGUAGUUUAUUACCCUGGUUUAGAAAGGGACAUUACUUGAUGUUUAGUUAGUGCUCAAAUUUGAGCUAGGAUUUUGUUUGUAAACUUUCCUUUCUGUUUUGCUGAAGUUUUGAACAAACGUAUUGCUGCAUGGAUUUUUGUGCACGAUUUAAAUAAACCACACCAUUUUUGUAUAAGAGACUGUUGUUCGGUACCUGUUACCCUAGAGGACUGUGUUGCUUUGCCCUCAAAAGGUCACAGUGUAUAUAUCUGUAUGUGUGUGUGCAUAUAUGUGUGUGUAUCUGUGUGCGUGUAUAUCUGUGCUUGUAUAAAUGUUACAUCCCCUGAUAGCCCUGAUCUGGGUGACCAAUAUAUCCAAAAAUCACCCAGAUCAGUUCAGGGGUUUUGGAAUUUUAUUGAAGUCCAAUUUUGACCGACCGAACACAAGGGCUCCUGCCCAGAAACCGUUCCAUGAAUUUAGGUUGAGCGGCCGGUCUAUUUCAACAAGUCUUAAAAAUGAACAAAAGCAUGAACUGCACUCCCUGGCUCAUAGUAGCGAUUGUUCCCCUGGUUCGUGGGAACAAAACUACAGAACAGCGCUCUCCUGUCUGUUCGGGAAAAGGAAGCAGUUCAUACAGUUUGACCAGUAAUCGGGAAGUUGAGUGUCCGAUUUUAGUUACAGACACUCAACGACCAAGUCCCGCUGCCUCCUUUUGUGCGAACAAGAUGGCCGCCAUUUUCUCCUGCACGUGGCGAUCAACUAUAUGAACGGCGGCCACACAGGGAGAGCACUUAAUUGACUGUUCUCUUUGAAAAUAAUGAGGCGGGGGGGAGCGGGGGUUGGUGUUCGGUAGUUACAGCUACCGAAUGAAAAAAAGUCAAAUAACCGAAAUACCACUGUAAUUUCUUCACACUGCCUUCUAUCAAUAUAAGUUUGUAAGUGCAAUACUUACCCAAUUCCCAGUUAUUGUUUUAUGCUUACAGUAUUACACUACUUUUUUUUUAUCUAUUGUAGAUAUGUGGUGUUUUAUAUGCUUUUGAAGCCUGAGAUGAGUCUUUUCUCUACAUUUUAACAAGGGGUAAUUACUAUUUUAUGCAUUGUAUAUUUUUUCACCGGUGGCGCUUAAUUGUUUGGUUUGCUUUUUGUGUUUGUGGUGUAACAAAAUAACCUGCCUGCUUUAGAGUGCGUCUAAUGGCCAGCAUGGUUUCCUCUUUUUGAUAGACACUGUUGGAGAAUAUCCAUCCUUACUGGCAACCAUGCUUGAUUGUUGCAGGAAGAUUGCAGGGUGUGACGGUCUGCCAAGGUAUUACCGCCAUGCAUACUCUUUUCCCAUAGUAAUCAUACUCCAGUAAUCCACAGGUUACAAUAUCGCUGGUAUCGCAUAAUAGCCCACACAUGAGCCAAAGCUUAAUGCUGGGACAAGACUGGUUUAAUGGAAAACAGACGUUCAAUUUAUACAGUGAAGAAACUCCUCCUCUGAGCCAGGGAGAUAAUUGAGUCAGAGGUCCUGGUACAGAAAAAGUUUAAAUUUUAUAACCCCCCAAAAGUACCCCAUAAAAUGCAUGGGAACCCCACAAAAGUCACAUCCCUGUGUAGCUUGAAUCUGGGGGAACAAUAUAUUCGAAAAUCAGCCAGAUCCAUUAGGUAGUUUGUGAUCGGCACCGCAGGGAAGAUUUGACCGGUCUGCCACGAGGUCGAAGUCCAGAAAAAGUUCCAUGAAAAGUGUGGCAAGAGACGGUCUCCAUUUGUGGGGUUUUGCAUGAAAACCACAUAAGAUUGAGUCUAGCUGAUUCAUGGAGAAUGCUCCCUGUGUUCGGUAUUCUGAAACUCCUGAACGCCAUUCAUCUAAGUGAAUGGGAAGGAGAAUGUAGAGUAGAUCCAUAGAGACCGGUGUUUGCGAGAGUGCCUGGCCGAAAUGAGUUCCAGGCCCUUGAUAACCGGGAGACAAGAUGACCUCCAUCCAUUGUUCCAACUACGUGUAUUUGUAUGGAUGAAAUGGCGGCAACCCUGUGGAGCCUUCAAUUAACGAUUUUCUCAGUGGUUUUCAUACAAGAUACACAACGUUCCAUGUUCUAAUUGGUCUCUGGGGUGGUCUCGGUUUGGGAACUGAACAAAAUAACGAACAAACUGGAACAGGAUGACAAAAACUAACGUAAGAAGCCGAACAGUGAUGGGGCAUUCCUUCACAUAGGGCAUAUCAACUGUAGUCAGGGCCGCCAUCAGAAAUUUUGGGGCCCCUAACACAGCUCAAGGUCUGGCCCCUUGGGUGCCUGCAUCCAAGCCCACCCACAGGGCCUGCCUCCAAGUCUGCAGUGUACAGGGUGUGUUUGCAUAUUGGAUGGUGUGUGUGCGCACAUGCGUACGUAAAUGCAAAAUACAAAAGUCCUUGCACACUUGCUUAAAUUAGUGAUGUUUGCCAGGUGCUCACUCUUGGCUUCAUCAUUGGCACUCACUGACUUAUGUAGAAGUUCCAGUAUUUCUUUAUUUCUUCAUAUUAAUAAUGAAAAUCCACUAUACUGUGUGGGAACAAAACGAGUUUAGGAGCCAGUCGACGUUUCAGUCCUCAGGUGGGACUGAAAUGUCGACCGGCUACUAAACUAAUUUUUGUUCCCACACAGUAUAGUGGAUUUUCAUUAUUAAUAUGGAGAAAUAAUGGAACUUCCACAUAAAAUGAGAGAGUGUGUGUGUGUGUGUGUGUGUGUGUUCCAAAACAUAGGACGAUCGUUACGAGGAGGGUAUAUAUAGGCUGGCAAAUGUUUUGUGAAAAAUUUUUUUUUUCUGUCUGGAGAUAAUGGAGUUAUUACAUUAUCUGGCUCAAUUAUCUCACAGGCAGAGAGGAGGGAAUUAUCUGUUUGUAUUUGGAGUGUCACACUUUGUCACUGUAUUAUUAUUGGCUGUAACCUUUGUGUCCCUGUCCCCCACAAGGUCCAUGUGGGAGUGCCCCUUGCAUGGGGACUUGCAUAAAAGCCAGUGUGGCACCCAUUAAAACCAUUCCUGUUACACCCUUCAUCAAGUUUCAGCUGAUGUUUGGGUACCUGCCUGCUUUACAGGGAGAAUAUACUUGGGAGACUGUCAUUCGUAUGGAGAAUCGUUCGACUCAGCACCCGAACUGCGAGCUAUAAUCACUCAGGCAGUUCGGGAGGAAAUAGACGAAUGGGUACCGGUUAUACCAGAGUUCGUUACAGGCAGUAUAAUCAUAAACAAAAGCAAUCUUCACUCUGAGGCUCCCAAUUAGCAGCACCACAUCUAGAGGGAGAUAAAAAUGGGACACAGAAUAGAUCUUAAGACAUAAAAUUACUAAAAAAAAUUCGGUUGCACUUACAACAUUUAAAAUAAAUGAUAGCUUGUCAUCAUCUCAACCAAAGAUCCCAAUGAAUUGGAAAAGCAAAAAGAUGAAAUGGCAUGAAAAACAGGAUAUAACACAACCAUAAUCAAAUAAUAGCCCGGCAGACUUUUAUUAUUGACUUAUUCUGUGUUUCAAAGUGUACAAAUGCUACACUGCAAGCAGCACACACACAAUAAAAUACAAAUAUGGUUUCAAAACUGAUUUUUUUUUUUUUUUUUUUUAGUGCAGCUGCUGCAGUACACUGAACUGAAAAUAUUAAAUACUUUCUGCAAACAAUUAAAAAAAAAAGCCCAGCCACACUGUAAAUCAGUGAAUUAAAGAUGGUGUAAGUGGUACUGGUAGUGCCUAGGUUCAGCAGUAACCUAAUCACCACACGAGGAUCAAUGACACAGGCGCAGCGAUGGUAAAACCAAUAACUGACUUCUGGUCUGAUCCCUUAAAGGGACAGUCCACUGCAAGUCCCCUCUCCCUCCCACCCCCCAUCCCAAGUUGCUGAAGGGGUUAAAACUCCUUCAGUGACUUGAUAUAGACAGUGGAACCAGCGCUUAUAUAUAGAAGUAAAUAUUAAAUACAAAUAUAACUUAUAGUAUUAAAUAGCUGCUAAACAUUCAUAGAUUCCUAUUAACUUAAACACACAAAACAAAUUUGGAAUGUAGCGCUUAUAAAUAAUAAAUUAAUCACCUUUGCAAUUUUAGAGUAAAAUGUCACUGGAAAUCAGCAAGGAAAAUUGUAAGCAGAGAGCUGUCGACUUAGCUCUAAUUUUAAUAGCUUCUGGGUCUAUACAGGUGACCCCAAACCCUUCUCACAGUAUGUUCCUGAGGUCUGUAAAUGAAUAAAAAUACACCCAAUAGUGCAAUAUCGUUUGUAUGUCUUAGAGAAAAAAUAUAUGUGAUCUUUAAGUGGGUACUCACAAGUAUAGAGUCAAAAUAAUUGACUCAAUUUCUAAGCGUUGUGCAAAUUCGGGACUGCACUCCCCAUACAAUGAAACGAUGUCGGGAACCAGGAUCAUUCGAAAAUAAAAGCAAUUAUUUAUUUAAUACACUCAUAAAUAAAAUAGCCACAAUGUGCUUAAAAAUACCGGGACGCGUUUCGCCACUACCGACGUGGCUUCUUCAAACCGGAUUGUAACAAAGCAACAAUAAUCCUGGGACCCCUCUUCUUAGGUUUAAAUAUACAAAAAACGGCGGGCAAAUUCCACAACACAUUAACCGUCGCACAUCGUUACCACCCACAGGUACGACGUGUGCGGUCCAUGCCUCCCUUUCAUGUUGAUAUCGGGAGUGAAGAUGUUUAUAUUCAUUCUUAUCCUUUCCAUUCAUCUUCAUUUUUCGAUAGCUGGUAUAAAUAUCUUAAAAGUUCGUUGUUGAAUAUAGAAAUUGAAUCCUUUAAUAUCCUCAAAAGUCCGUCCAACGAAAAAUAAUAUUUUUCUCAUAUGUAGAAAGGAAGCGAAAAAAUAAAAACAAAAAAACAACAAGGGACAGUAUCAGUUUUCUUAUUGUUACAAAUAUUUCAAUAUCUAUCAUCUGUAACAUUUUAUCAAUUCUAAUUCACAAUGAUACUGUAGUGAAUACAUAGUUAAUCUCAGUUAUUUCUCUACAUUUUAACCUUUUGAUCUUAAUAUAAUCCACAAUAAUGAAAACCCCAAAUAAAAUUGUAGUGUUAUUGCAUAUCCCCUUUCUUUUUCUUAAGAAUACACUGUGGAUAAAUAAAAUAAUGAUGGCUCUUCUUUAUGCUCUAUUCCUAGAUAUCCACAGUGAUUUAUCAAUUAUCUUCUAGACAGUGAAAUAGUUAACUAAUACGGAAAAAGAUUAAAAUAUUAUAAAAUAAUUAUUGUAAAAAGUGCUAUGAUUGUUAUUGUUUAAACUCCAAUAGGUUUUUUGGCAAUAUUAACAGGGUAGAUUUCUUUACCACAUACAUAUAAAUUACCAAACGAAAUAAUUCACAAUUCCUUGUAUGUUUAAUACAUAAAUCUUAUAUAUCUAUCUAUUCUAUACAAUUACCACUAAAAUCCAUUACCAAAUACUGAAACUUUUUUUUUUUUUUUAAAUUUCAUAAGAAAUGGCACAGCUCAAAGUCCGCAUUAAGACCAUAUGGAAUUAACGUAUUUAGUCUAUAAAUCCAUUCCAUCUCACGUUUGCCUAAAUCUUUUAUGAAGUCCCCUCCUCUCCAAUUUCUAUUUAUUUUAUUGAUCCCCAUAAACUGUAAGCCCUCUGGUUUUUGAUCAUGACAUAAUUUAAAGUGGCUCGAGACACUAUGUUGCUCGAAACCCGUCUGGAUUUUAUAUAUGUGUUCUCUGAUUCUAGUAUGUAGUGGUCUUAUUGUCCUCCCCACAUAUUUCAGUCCACAUGGACAAAUUAAAAGAUAUACCACAUUUUUAGUAUAGCAUGUUAUAAAUUGCUUAAUUUGGAUUUUUUUAUCCUUGUUCGAAGUUAUAUCUUUUAUUAUUCUUCGUUUGCAUCCUGACUUUUUGCAGGCAGAGCACUGACCACAACCAUAAAAUCCCUUCUCAUUAUUAAAUAUAGUGGAGGUGUGAUUUUGUUCUUUUAGAGAGCUCCGAACCAGGCUAUUCCUCAAAUUUUUUGCACCCCUAUAUAUUAUUCUAGGUUUCGCAGGGAGAAUUCGUUUAGUGCUGGGUCCUGUAAUAGGAUCGGCCAAUAUUUCUUAAUAAUUCGGUUUAUUUGAUGAUUAUUAUUGUUGUAAUUACAGAUAAAAGGGAUAUCUUGUAUAUUGGCAAUAGUUUUAGUUUUGUAUACUAAUAAGUCCUUCCUCUCCCUAUUUCUAAUUUCAUUUCUUGAUUUCUCUAGUUUUUCUGCAUCAUAGCCCUUCAUGACAAAAUCAGUUUUUAUCCGUGAUGAUUGUUCCUCAUAGACUUCCAAAUCGCUGCAGUUUCGUCUAAUUCUGAGGAAUUGUCCCUUUGGGGCAUUUUCCAACCACGAAGAGUAAUGGCAGCUUAUACUCUCUAUAAAACUAUUACAAUCAACUUUUUUAAAAUGAUUCUUAGUUUUAAUUUUUCCCCCUUCAAUAAAAAUAUCGAGAUCUAAAAAGGUUACUAUUUCUUUACUCCAAGUGCUGCUUAGUCUGAUGCCCCAAUCAUUGGUGUUUAAAAAUUCUAAGAAAGAGACUAAAUUGCUUUCUUCUCCCCUCCAGAUCAAAAAAAUGUCGUCAAUAUAUCGGCCAUAGAAGGCCAAGCUUUCCCCCCAGCCAUGUCCCCCAUAAACAUAAGAUUCUUCCCAAAAAGACAUGAAUAGGUUGGCAUAGCUGGGGGCAAACUUGGUCCCCAUGGCCGUCCCAUUAGUUUGUAGGAAGAAGGUAUCAUUGUACCAAAAGAAAUUAUUAUUUAAGAUAAGUUUUAUUCCUUCCACUAUAUAUUCUACCUGUUCUUGUUUAAAUUCUUUAGAUUCCAUUAAGAAAUGUUUUGCUGCUCUACAUCCAUAAGAAUGGGGGAUGUUACUGUAAAGGGCAGCUACAUCACAAGUGACUAAAAUACAGUCAUUAUCCCACGGCAUAUCUUCCAAAACUUGUAAGACCGUGAUCGUAUCCUUAAUAUGUGAUCUAGUUUUCAUGACUAAAGGUUGCAAUUGAACAUCUAUAUACUGUGAUAGUCUACUUGAAAUGGAGUCUAUACCUGCUAUAAUGGGUCUUCCUGGAGGUUUUUUCACAUUUUUAUGAACUUUGGGUAAAAAAUAAAAAACUGGUAUUUUGGGAAAUUUCAUAUUUAAAAACUGGAAUUCUUUUAAGCUUAAAAUAUUUUCAUUAAGUCCUUUAUUAAAAAAAGUUAAAAAAAGAGAAUUAAUACUAUCACUUGGAUUCAUCCCUAAUUGUUGGUAAGUAUUAGAAUCUUUUAAAAUAUUAUUUGCUUCCGUAUCAUAAAACUGUUAAGACAUAAGCACUAUCCCCCCUCCCUUAUCUGCCGGUUUAAUAACUAAAUUUUUGUCUGUUUGGAGAUCUUUAAGUGCCUUUUUUUCCAAUAUUGUCAAGUUAUCUCGAAACUUGUCUUUAGGGAUAAUUUUAUUCAUUUCUGUUGUGACCAUAGUCUCAAAUGUUAUUAUUUCGUCUGAUAACAUUUGUCUGGGGUAAAAAGAAGAUUUAUUUUUAAGGGAGGUGUGUUUAAACCCAGACUCAUCUUCUAAAUUUAUAUUUUGGUUAAUUAGUUCCCUAUUAAGCGGGUCUCCCCAAAAAAAUUUUUUUAAACAUAAGCUACGUUUAAAGCGGUUUAAAUCUAUAUACAUAUCAAAAUGAUUUAACCCUAUGCUAGGGGCAAAUUUUAACCCUUUAUUGAGUACUGAUUUAUGAUGAUUAUCAAGAAUUUUAUCACUUAGAUUAAAAAUGCCUUUUAUUAAUUCUGUAGAUUUAGGUCCCUUCUUUUUGAUCUGUACUCGUUUUCCUCCCCUUGUUCCUCUAUAUCUGAGGCUCUCCUUUUCCUUGAAUUUGUUGGAAUAUUUUGCUCUUGGUCUAACUUGUGUCUUUCCUUGAUUUUGGAUUGUCGAAAAACCUCUUCUUCCCUAUAGUCUGACAGAGUUUCAUAUCUGUUAUAAGUGGGAAUUCUUUCUUGGUUACUCUGGUAUUGUCUAUAUGGUCUCUGUUCUCUAUAGUUCUGAAAAUCUUUCCUAGAAUUUCUUCUCUCCCCUUCUGAAUUUUUCCUUGUAUUAGUAUAAUUAUCCCUAAUGAUGUUUAAUUUUGGUCUCCACUUUUCUCUUGUUUCAUUAUGAAAAAACCUCCUAGGAUAGUUGGAUUUAUAAUGGUUCUCCCUAUAUAUUCUAUUACUUUGGUCUUCAUUAAUUUCCUCUAAUUGAUUAUUAUGCCUUAAUCUCAUAGGAGUAGCUUGUUUAGUCACUUGGUACUUUUGGGCAUAUUUGGAGAAAGAUCUCACUUGUUUCUGUUCAUAGUCCUGUACAUCUCUGAGAUAUUUAUUCUUUUUUACUCCUAUAACUUCUACUUCAAGUUUAUCUAAAUUUCUUUCAAUAUGGGAGGUAAUAUUCUCAAAUUGCUCCUCAUUGGUAGAAUUGAGUAAGAUAUCUUGACAUUUAUUGAUCUCUUUAUCUAUCUCUUUUAAAUUCUCUUUCCUUCUUUUGAUAAUUAGAUGCAUACUGGUAAAAGAAAAACCUUCUAACAUUUCGUUCCAUUCUUCCAUAAAAUUAUCAUUAUCCCUAUCAAAAGUAGGAGUUUUGAAAUAUCUCAACCCCCUUGGGGUGAUUUUCUCCUGAAUAUAUUUCUCUAAAGUAGCUAUUUCCCAUUUUAUUUUUAAUUCUUUUUCCAAAAGUUUUUCUAAUUCAUUACUAGUCUUAGUUUUGGUAUUUAAUGGUCUUGUACUAUUUUUAUUUGACCAAUUUGCUAAUUCUUGCUCCAUACUGGCAUAAAUAUUUUUUCUUUUAUCAAAAAGUGACAUGAUAUAAAAAUUAGCUGCUGGGUUACCUUGGAUUUAGACGGAAAAGGCUAAAGAUAAAACAAUUGAUAUAGACAGUGGAACCAGCGCUUAUAUAUAGAAGUAAAUAUUAAAUACAAAUAUAACUUAUAGUAUUAAAUAGCUGCUAAACAUUCAUAGAUUCCUAUUAACUUAAACACUUUUGUAUAUUUAAACCUAAGAAGAGGGGUCCCAGGAUUAUUGUUGCUUUGUUACAAUCCGGUUUGAAGAAGCCACGUCGGUAGUGGCGAAACGCGUCCCGGUAUUUUUAAGCACAUUGUGGCUAUUUUAUUUAUGAGUGUAUUAAAUAAAUAAUUGCUUUUAUUUUCGAAUGAUCCUGGUUCCCGACAUCGUUUCAUUGUAUGGGGAGUGCAGUCCCGAAUUUGCACAACGCUUAGAAAUUGAGUCAAUUAUUUUGACUCUAUACUUGUGAGUACCCACUUAAAGAUCACAUAUAUUUUUUCUCUAAGACAUACAAACGAUAUUGCACUAUUGGGUGUAUUUUUAUUCAUUUACAGACCUCAGGAACAUACUGUGAGAAGGGUUUGGGGUCACCUGUAUAGACCCAGAAGCUAUUAAAAUUAGAGCUAAGUCGACAGCUCUCUGCUUACAAUUUUCCUUGCUGAUUUCCAGUGACAUUUUACUCUAAAAUUGCAAAGGUGAUUAAUUUAUUAUUUAUAAGCGCUACAUUCCAAAUUUGUUUUGUGUCCUUCAGUGACUUACCUGUAUCCAGCACCGAUGUCCCUCGGUGCUGGUUCAGGGUCCGCCCACGCUCCUCCCCAUCAUCCGGCGGGGGAGACCCAUUGCGCAUGAGCUUAAAUGCCACGCACUAGACCUCCCCAUAGGAAAGAAUUGAAAAAUGCUUUCAAUGCUUUCCUAUGGGGAUUUCAAAGACGCUGGAGGUCCUCACAUAGUGUGAGGAUGUCCAACGAUGCUAUAGCACAGAUAAUCUGUGCUUUAAACCCGGACGUGCACUCUAGUGGCUGUCUAGUAGACAGCCACUAGAGGAGGAAUUAACCCUGCAAUGUAAAUAUUGCAGUUUAUAAAAUAAAUAUUUACAUUGCAGGGUUAAGGGUAGUGGGAGUUGGCACCCAGACCACUCCAAUGGGCAGAAGUGGUCUGGGUGCCUGAAGUGUUCCUUUAAUGACUGAAGUCAAAGUGCUUUGAAGAAUCCUGCUUGGAAACAUAUGUACUCUUUACUACUCCCCUAUUUCCCCUUUCGUGCACUUCUUACUUUAUCUGUGUAUAGUAUGUAAAUGUUGUGGCUAUCCCUUAAACAAACAGAUGCAUCUGGUGUAAUAUUCAUUUAUUAUUAUUUAAUCACUUUCAUGGUUAAUACUUUGCAGAUUAAUAUAUUCUUGCUAGUUUACAACACUUUGCAUUUUAUAUUGAUUAGUACUUAAAUUAUUGUAGGUAUGUAAUUUGUGUUUCUGAUCUUACUGUUAAUUUUAAUUAGUAAAUAAAUAGAUAUUUACUAUGUCAGUUUUUUAAGGACUUUCUUCAAAUUGCAAAAUAACAGUCUGUCUCCAAACAACAAUCUUCAAACCAGGGUGACUCGAGCUCAUAUUAACCUUAUUGAUCCAUUGGUGGUAACUGCAAUCCCAAAAAUCUUGGAAUUAGGGUCUUCUUCUGGCAUAGUAAUGAGAGGUCUGGUGAAGCCAUGGGCAUGGAUAUGACAUCAUACCUCUAAGCACAAAUUCACAAGGUCCUUUUGCAGUGACUUGGUGGCAUUUUGUUUGUCAAUAACUGCUGUGUGUACCUCUCUGCAUAUACAUUUACCCCAUGUGCUGCUGGAUGAAGAAUAGUAUACAGAGCAGAGGCUAUGGAGGUGCACCCCACUUCACCUCCCAUCCCAUGGGCUCUGUGUUUCAAACCUAAUACUUAGCAAUCAUCUUUUUAUUCACCUCUUACUUGGACAAGAGAUACUUUCCCCAUAAUUGGCCAACGCUCUUGUCCAUUAGGCAAAAAUUAUGAUAUACUGCAACUAAGGCCUUUAUUUAAUAAACUUUCCAAAUAAUUCAAUACUAUUAGAAAACAUUUCCAAAUUAUUUAUCUGCAGCAGUCAUGAUUAAAGCCUAUGGAAAUGUUUGUAGAUAAUUCAUUUAUAAAGUUUUUCUAACUGUAAUAAAUAAUUAAGGUUUUUUUUCUACGCUGUAUUUAUUUGUAGCAGCUGUGCUCUUUUAAAUUAUGGAUGAUAGGGUGAACGUAGCUUUUCUCUUUUGUGUUGUAUUUAUAUGUCUAAAUCUAGAUUAUGACGUGUUCCAUUUAACUUCCAUUGAUUACUUUUCUGUAUUUCGUAGAUCAGUUAUGGAGCUGUAAAUGACAACUUCUAUGACCAAGCUACUUAUCCAUUAGUUUUCCAUACCGGCCAUGGGACAAAUGCUUAUAAUAAGGCCAUUAUUGCANNNNNNNNNNNNNNNNNNNNNNNNNNNNNNNNNNNNNNNNNNNNNNNNNNNNNNNNNNNNNNNNNNNNNNNNNNNNNNNNNNNNNNNNNNNNNNNNNNNNUGUUUUUCAUAAAAUUCUGAGCAGGUAAGUUAUGUUGAUUACAGUAGUAUGAAUUACUUUUCAUACUUUGCUUUAACGUAGGACUCAAUUUAAUAUAUUUAAAUAAGCUUUUUAAAUAAUUUACAAUUUUUGUAAAAACUUUGAAAAUCAUACCAUAUUUUAAAUUAUAUUUUUUAUGAUACAUUUUUGAUACUGUUAAAAGCUUGCCCAAAAAUAUUAAAUCAAGGCCUGUUGGAAAAAAAUGUUUUUACCUAUGCAGUGCUUAGUGAAUAUUCCCCUAGACAUACAGAGCUAUAUAUUUUAUGUUACAGGGUGUCAGUCUAAUGUCCUGCUUUCUACUUCUGCAUUUCUUAUUAUGUAGCUAAAGUAUUACUGUAUACAUAUCUUGAAAGACAAAAUGGUCAGUAGGCCUGAUUAUAAUACAAGAUACUCAUGUUUUGAAUGGGUUAAACUGGCAUUUUUUAAAACAUGCAAUAUUUUUCUGUUCUUGCGCCUGACACCAGUUUUCGCUAUCUCUUAUAAACAUUCUGCACUUGAAAUAUUGACAUUCUUUCUAGCAUCUGCAAUUUUUAAUUGGGUUCCUAAUCCCAUACUGUCAAUUGCAUCAGUGAACAGGAGACAAACUAACAGCAUUACAAAAUGUUAUAUGAAAAUAUAUACUUUCGGUUCUGAGACUCCGAUGAUUGGUUAAUGUUUCCGUUGAUGUAUACACCCCUAAACAAACUGUGUUAUGUAUAAGAUGUACGAAGCAUUAAACGUUUGAAUGCCUAUUGAUACAGCUGAGUGGUGUGACUUCACAAAAUUUUCCCUACAACUGAUUACAGAAAUAAAGGAAAGCAGAAACAUCUUUGUUUGUGCAUAAGACCAUGGUAGCAUAAGGGUUUUCAGACCCUGUUGUGAUUUCAAGCCUAACAAGGCCUUAAUUAGAAAAUGUUUCAGUUUACUUUAAUCUCUUGAGCUCUUGUAGUACAUAUGCUUUGUUGUCAGGAUUGAAAACCCUAAAAACAAAAGUAUAGAAAAUAUGAAAAAAAUCCCUACAAGCAAGCAAAGUAUAGGAUAGAUAUGUAUUCUCAAUCCUUAGACUGAACGUAAAACUCAGAAGAGAAAAAAAAAAAAAAACACCUGCAGGUAAGCAGAAUCAGGAACAGGUGAACAUCUAGGAGUACAGAGGAAUUACAGAACAGUAAGGCAAUCCAAAGUCAAGGUACACAUUAAAACCAGAACAGUCAAACAGGAUUUGGUUAAGAAACUCAGAAUAAUAGAUAAGACACACAAUCUCUGGUAACAAGAACUAUGACAGGUCAGGAGCUAAAUGGAGAAAUGGAUAAAAACAGGGUAAAGUAGGAUAAUACUGAUCAUCGUAAUUUCUAUGAUGCUAAAAGGUAUAUGAUGUGAGUAGCCUGACACCCAAUGUACAAGUACACCCAAUGUGUGAUAUCAGUUGUUCUUGUGUAUAUUUUUGUGACUUAAAAGGAACACUAUAGUGUUAGGAAUACAAACUUGUAUUUGUAAUGUUAGUUUCCCUGUCACUAGUUUUGUAGGUGUCCCCCACCCUUUAAUGAUUUAAGGGUUAAAAACGCUUUUUUUUCCCCUUUAUAUUAGGUUUUUGUUUUUUUUAGGAAGUAUGGUGAGGGGGCUGAGGCUCUGCUUCUUCAUUUGUCAGCUGGUGAUUUUGCUAGAACUCCUUUCUAGUUGUAAGCACACCAGACGCCUGCAUUCAAUCUACUCUUAUCUGUUCUACUUAAAACAAUGCCGGGUGCCAGGUAAGGCGAAGGUGCACAUGUGUGCACGGGCUGGGAGGUCCUGGCAGUGGAACUCACGUACAGGUUGCGAUGCUUUUCACUGUGGAAUUGUGGCGCGCUUUGUCCAUGCGCAAGUGAAUCCAAUAUUCUGGUAGCUAUUUCCAUAGAUUUAAGGGGAAGAGGCAUCAAUGUCAUGCCUUAUUUAGAUGGCUGGCUUUUAAUUGCAGGCUCAAAAGAACAACUUUAUUAAGACCUUUAAGGCAUGGUUGGUUGAUACAUUUUGUAAAGUCGGAAUUGGUACCAAGCCAAAGAAUAGUUUCAGGGUCUGAUUAUAGACAGUCGGUAUGAAGAUCUUUCUUCCUGAAGAAAAAAGAACAAAAAUUGCUCGAGUUAUUCAGAACCUCAGAGGAAAGUUUUUGCUCCAUCAGAGAAGCAAUGAAUUUGCUGGGUCUUUUCACAGCCUCAAAUCCAGCAGUCAAUUGGGCAAAGGCCAGAAUGAGACUUCUUCAAAUAAAUAUUUUAAGCUUCUGGAACAAACGAACAGCUUGGACAUGCCUAUGAAACUCAACAGUCGUGUCCUGAAGAGCUUUCUCUGGUGGACUUCGUCACAUUUUCUGCAGUCAGGCCUUUCUUUCCAAAUGAAGUCAUUCAGAAUUUUAACAGAUGUCUCAGGUCUCGGCUGGGGUGCUCACAUGGGAGAAAAGAAGAAAAGAUUUAAGAAGUUCAUCGAAUUACAAACAACUGAAGGCUGUCUGGCUGGCUCUCAUUGCUUUCCAGAAACAGAAUAAGCAUGUCCAGAUCUGGUCGUACAAUUCUACAACAGUAGCAUAUAUCAACAAACAAGGAGGAACACGGUCAGCUUGUUUGAAAAAUCUGUAUUCCAGAAUCAUGCUAUGGUCAGAGUAUCUCUUCUGUCUAUUUCAGCAGUACACAUAAAAGGAGAAUUCAACAUUCUGGAAGACGCUCUAAGUCAUCAGCAUUUAAAAUAAGCAGAUUGUUAUUUGACUGAAGAUCUGGGAUGAAAGAGACCAAAGAAAUUUGGUUAUCGAGAAAUAGACAUGAUGGCUCAAGAACAAACAAGAAAACAAGAUUUGCAUAUUUAAAGCCUUCAAACAGGCCAGAGACCAUAGACUCCCUUUCUAUUCCAUGGAAUUUCGGCCUAGCCUAUGAUUUUCCUCCUAUUUCUCUUAUUCCGAGGAUUCUACAGAAGAUCAGGAUAGAAGGAGUAAGAAUAAUCAUAAUUCUGCCAGGUUGGCCGAGAUGGCGUUGGUUCACCGUUCUCCUAAAUAUAUCCAUAUCAACCUAUUGGAAAACCUCCCCUGUCAGUAGAAAUCCUGGCACACUUCAUGGUACCUCUUCCAACUCUGAAGAAAUUCAACCUGACGGCCUGGUUUCUGAAUGCCAGAUCUUAAAAGAAAAAGGUUUGUCUCCUGAAGUUAUUGAGAUUUUAAUGUCUCCAUAAAAAGAAGCAACUUCCAGGAUUUAUUCCAGAAUGUGGAAGAAAUUUUGUUUCUGGUGUUUCAAGAUCAAAGAAAAUCCCGUAACCACUUCCAAUCCAAACAUCCUUAGAUUCCUUCAAAUGGGCUUUCCGAAAUGAUUGAAACGUGCUACUUAUGGUCCAAAUAUCUAUCAGUUUCUUCUCAAUCAGAUGUUUGGCUUUGAAUAUUGUAAUCAUUAGGUUUUUCAAAGCUUUGUCUCGUUUAGUUCGUGCCAUCAGGGAAACCUUUCCACCAUGGGAUCUUAAUUUGGUUUUAUCAGCACUCUGUGAACCUCCUUUUGAACCUAUAGAAAAGUCUUCUUUCAAUGUUUUAUCGUUCAAGACUUUAUUUUUGGUGGCAAUUACCUCGGCAAAAAAUUGGGAGAGCUUCAAGCUCUUAAUUCAGUUUUUUUCCUUUUUUAGUUUCCAUCAGGGCAAAGUGGUUUUAAAGCUGGAUCCUUCUUUUAUUGUCAAGGUUUGUUCUACGUCUAACAUCAAUCAAGAAAUAAUAAGGUCCUUUAAGAAAAAUAAAUAGUGAUGUCGCGAACAUAAAAUUUUCGGUUCGCGAAUGGCGAACGCAAACUUCCGCAAAUGUUCGCGAAUGUGCGAACCUGGCGAACCGCCAUAGACUUCAACAGGCAGGCGAAUUUUAAAACCCACAGGGACUCUUUCUGGCCACAGUAGUGAUGGAAAAGUUGUUUCAAGGGGACUAACACCUGGACUGUGGCAUGCCAGAGGGGGAUCCAUGGCAAAACUCCCAUGGAAAAUUACAUAGUUGAUGCAGAGUCUGGUUUUAAUCGAUAAAGGGCAUAAAUCACCUAACAUUCCUAAAUUGUUUGGAAUAAUGUGCUUUAAAACAUCAGGUAUGAUGUUGUAUCGAUCAGGUAGUGUAAGGGUUAUGCCCCCUUCACAGUGACAGACCAAACUCCCCGUUUAACGCACCGGAAACAAACGCAAACAGUCCAUUUGCACAACUGCAAACUCCCCAUUUGCACAAGGUUGGAUACCAAGCUAGCCAUGUCCCGUUCCUUGUCCUCACUGAUGUCAUUGAAGGUCUCUUCCUCCACCCAGCCACGUACAACACCAAGGGUCCCCAAAAGGUGACAACAAGCCCCCUGGGACACUUGCUGUGUUUGGUCUUCCACCUCCUCAAAGCCACCUUCCUCCUCUGACUUUUCUUCUUCAGACUCCUCUCUCUGCAUUGCCUCUCUCUGUGUUAUUAUAAGGUGUGUUAAGUAGUACUAUUCCUAUCAGUUUAAUCCCUGUUACGCGUGUAUAUGGCAUCGAUUUUAGGAACCGGGAGAUGGAAAAAGAUGCUUGGUCGGUCCUCCUACUUCAAAUUUGGGGCACUGCGCGUGCAAUCUAAUGUGCCACCAGAUAGGAGUGGUGUGUUAAGUAGUACUACUCUUAUCAGUUUAAUCCCUGUUACGUCCCCUAUCAGGGGAUGUGUAUAUGGCAUCGAUUUUAGGAACCGGGAGAUGGAAAAAGAUGCUUGGUCGGUCCUCCUUCUUCAAAUUUGGGGCACUGCGCGUGCAAUCUAAUGUGCCACCAGAUAGGAGUGGUGUGUUAAGUAGUACUAUUCUUAUCAGUUUAAUCCCAAUGUCACGACUACUAGUGUGGUCCAGCACGCAGAAACUAUGUAAACAUAUACAUAGGCAAGAAAAGGAAAAUAAAAGGACAGAGCGUAAACCGGACCUUAGAAUGGCCGGACUAAUACGCUAGAGACAGAGAAUGGUCAAAGGGAAAGCCAAGGAAGCUAGAAAAUACACAAUACCUUUUACACAAGCCAAGUCAGGGAAACCAGAAUUCAGAAUAACCAGGGAAAAGCCAAGAUCAGGAUACCAGGAAAUCAGAUUCACAAUGAUAAAGCACUCUCAGGAAACCAGGAACAGGAAACCACGACAGGGCAAGGUACUGGGGUGAGCUAUAGAUUUAAAUAUUACGCAGCGGGCCGGCAGACACGACACCCUGUUACGUCCCCCUCAUCAGGCCUUUUUUAGUCUAAUGUAUCGCCCACUGUCAGUCCCUUCGGGAUCCAUCCCUCAUUCAUCUUAAUAAAGGUGAGGUAAUCUAGACUUUUUUGACCUAGGCGACUUCUCUUCUCAGUGAAAAUACCUCCUGCUGCACUGAAGGUCCUUUCUGACAGGACACUUGAAGCGGGGCAGGCCAGAAGUUCUAUCGCAAAUUGGGAUAGCUCAGGCCACAGGUCAAGCCUGCAUACCCAGUAGUCAAGGGGUUCAUCGCUCCUCAGAGUGUCGAUAUCUGCAGUUAAGGCGAGGUAGUCUGCUACCUGUCGGUCGAGUCGUUCUCUGAGGGUGGACCCCGAAGGGCUGUGGCGAUGCGUAGGACUUAAAAAGCUCUGCAUGUCCUCCAUCAACAACACGUCUGUAAAGCGUCCUGUCCUUGCCGGCGUGGUCGUGGGAGGAGGAGGAUUACUUUCACCUCUUCCCCUGUUAGAUUCCCGUUGUGCUGUGACAUCACCCUUAUACACUGUGUAAAGCAUACUUUUUAAUUGAUUUUGGAACUGCUGCAUCCUUUCCGACUUGCCGUAAUUCGGUAACAUUUCAGGCACUUUCUGCUUAUACCGGGGGUCUAGUAGCGUGGACACCCAGUACAGGUAAUUUUCCUUCAGCCUUUUUAUACGAGGGUCCCUCAACAGGCACAACAGCAUGAAAGACCCCAUUUGCACAAGGUUGGAUGCCGAGCUACUCAUGUCCUGUUCCUCGUCCUCAGUGAUCUUACUGAAGGUAUGUUCUUCCCCCCCAGCCACGUACAACACCACGGGUACCAGAUAGGUGACAACGAGCACCCUGCGAUGCCUGUUGUGGUUGGUCUUCCUCCUCCUCAAAGCCACAUUCCUCCUCUGACUCCUCUUCCUCACAAUCCUCUUCCAGCGUUGCCGCAGGUCCAGCAAGCGAUGCUGAUAAGGCUGUUUCUGGUGGAGAUGGUGACCACAACUCUUCCUCUUCCUCUUCACGCUCAUCUACGGCCUGAUCCAGCACUCUUCGCAGGGCAUGCUCCAGGAAGAAAACAAAUAGUAUGAUGUCGCUGAUGGUGCCUUCGGUGCGACUGACUAGGUUUGUUACCUCCUCAAAAGGACGCAUGAGCCUACAGGCAUUGCGCAUGAGCGUCCAGUAACAUGGAAAAAAAAUUCCCAGCUCCGCAGAGGCUGUCCUAGCACCCCGGUCAUACAAAUACUCGUUAACGGCUUUUUCUUGGUGGAGCAGGCGGUCGAACAUUAGGAGUGUUGAAUUCCAACGUGUCGGGCUGUCGCAAAUCAAGCACCUCACUGGCAUGUUUUUUCGCCGCUGGAUAUCUGAAAAGUGCGCCAUGGUCGUGUAGGAACGCCUGAAAUGGCCACACACCUUCCUGGCCUGCUUCAGGACUACCUGUAAGCCUGGGUACUUAUGCACAAAGCGUUGUACGAUCAGAUUACACACAUGUGCCAUGCACGGCACAUGUGUCAACUUGCCCUGAUGCAAUGCCGCCAACAAAUUUCUUCCGUUGUCACAAACCACUUUGCCGAUCUCCAGUUGGUGCAGAGUCAGCCACUGAUCCACCUGUGCGUUCAGGGCGGACAGGAGUGCUGGUCUGAUUUCAGGCAAGUCAACCCCAAGACGGCGUGACACUGCCAUAUCCGGGAUGUGGAAUAGUACCUGGGGAGCUGGGGGGGUGCUGUUGAUGUGGAGCAAGACGCAGCAGCAGAAGAGGACUCAGCCGAGAAGGUUAUGGAAGAGGAUGGAGUAGGAGGAGUAGAGGAGGUGGCAGCAGGUCUGCCUGCAAGUCGUGGCGGUAUCACCAACUCCUCUGCAGAGCCACACAUUCCAUGCUUGGCAGCCGUCAGCAGGUUUACCCAAUGCGCAGUGUAGGUGAUAUACCUGCCCUGACCAUGCUUUGCAGACCAGGUAUCAGUGGUCAGAUGGACCCUUGCCCCAACACUGUGUGCCAGACAUGCCAUUACUUCCUUUUGCACAAUCGAGUACAGGUUGGGGAUUGCCUUUUGUGCAAAGAAAUUUCGGCCGGGUACCUUCCACUGUGGUGUCCCAAUAGCUACAAAUUUUUUGAACGCCUCAGACUCCACCAGCUUGUAUGGUAAAAGCUGGUGGGCUAAGAGUUCAGUCAAGCCAGCUGCCGGGCAAGGGGGUGACUUUGUGAGCAAGAACUGCUCAAGGCGAGAGACGUAGGGGCGGAUGGUUGAGAGGGGGCAAGGAGGACAGCAGUGGUUAAUGUGGCUGAAGAAGCUGGACCAGGAGGAGGAUGGCGGCUUUGAGUUUGUGUGCUGCUUGUACUCAUGUGUUGAUCCCAUAGGCAUUUGUGAUGUGCGAUCAUGUGCCUUCGCAAAGCAGUUGUACCUAGGUGGGUGUUGGACUUCCCACGACUCAGUUUCUUUUGGCACAGGUUGCAAAUGGCAUCGCUGUUGUCAGAGGCAGACACACAAAAAAAAUGCCACACUGCUGAGCUCGGCAAUGACGGCAUUCUGGUGGUGGCAACAGCAUGCGUUGAUUGGCGUGCUGUCUGGCUGACCCCGGGUGCCGAUGCAUUUUGUCUGACUGUGCCACUAGCUCCUUGCGACGACCUACCCCUGCUUCCAACUCGUCUCCUCCUCCUCCUCCUCCUCCUCUCUGUCUCCCCAUCUGAACUUUCCCGCUGUUCUUCUUCUCUUCUAGCGGGCACCCACGUGACAUCCAUGGACACAUUGUCAUCAUCAACUGCAAUUCACUUGUAUCUGACAACUCAGCAAAGGAAGCAGCAGCAGGUACAACAUCAUCAUCAUCACACCGUACGUCCAUGUGUGUAAUGCUGCCUGACUGAGACAUAUCCCUGUUCUCUACAUCCUCUGGCAAUAAUGGUUGCGCAUCACUCAUUUCUUCCAACUGAUGUGUAAAUAACUCCUCUGACAUACCAAGUGAAGCUGCUGUGGUGCUAGUGUUGGUGGUGGCGGCAGGCGGGCGAGUGGUAACUUGAGAGGUGCCCGAAGCUAAGUUGGAGGAGGAUGGUGCGUCAAGGUACCGAGCAGAAGCUGUAGAAGAUUGGGUGUCCUGUAUUAGCCAGUCAACUAUGCCCUCAGAACUUUUCGAGUUCAGGGUACGUGGCCUCUGAACACUGGGCAUUAUUCUAGGGCCAAAGGGAAUCACAGCACCAUGACCAGGACGGCCCCUGCGGGGUGGCCUGCCUCUACCUGUCAUUUUUUUUUCGAUUAGUGGUACUAUGCGUGCACGCUACUGUGACAACAGAUAUGAGUGGCACUGUACAAUUACAGUCAAAAAAUUUUUUUAUUUUUUUUUAAAUGUACACUACUGUUACGCCAGAUAUGAGUUGCACUGGUGUGACACUGUGCCCUGGCAGGCCCUGAAACGCACACGCAUGAAGGAAACUGACUGCUAUUAUAUUACAGUCCAAAAAGUUUUGUUUUUUUUAAAUGCAAGCUAUUGGGACACCAGUGAGUGAGUGGUGGCACUGGGCAGGCCCUGAAACGCACACUCAUGAAGGAAACUGACUGCUAUCAUAUUACAGUCCAAAAAGUUAUUUUUUUGUUAAAUGCAAGAUAUUGUGACACCGGAUAUGAGUGGUGGCACUGGGCAAGUGGGCACAGUAUAUGCUGUGAGCCUGACACACACGCUGGCAGACAACUAACUGCUAUUCAAUCUAUUACAGUCAAAAUUGUAUUUUUUUUUUUUUUAAAUGUACACUACUGUUACACCAGAUAUGAGUUGCGCUGGUGUGACACUGUGCCCUGGCAGGCCCUGAAACGCACACGCGUGAAGGAAACUGACUGCUAUUAUAUUACAGUCCAAAACGUUUUGGUUUUUUUAAAUGCAAGCUAUUGGGACACCAGUGAGUGAAUGGUGGCACUGGGAAGGCCCUGAAACACACACUUGUGAAGGAAACUGACUGCUAUUAUAUUACAGUCCAAAAAGUUUUUUGUUUUUUUUUAAAUGCAAGCUAUUGGGACACCAGUGAGUGAGUGGUGGCACUGGGCAGGCCCUGAAACACACACUAGUGAAGAAAACUGACUGCUAUUAUAUUACAGUCAAAAAAGUUUUGUUUUUUUUUAAAUGCAAGCUAUUGUGACACCAGUGAGUGAGUGGUGGCACUGGGCAAGUGGGCACAGUAUAUGCUGUGAGCCUGACACACAGGCUGGCAGGCAGGCAACUGCAAUUACAUUACACAGAAAAAAAAGCAGACUGAUGUUCUAGCCCUAAAAAGGGCUUUUUGGGGUGCUGUCCUUACAGCAGAGAUCAGAUGAGUCCUUCAGGACUGUAGUGGACACUGAAAACACUAGCCUAGCUAUCAAUUUCCCUAUCAAAUCAGCAGCAGCUACACUGUCCCUCCUCUCACUAAGAAUGCAGCUUCACAAUGAAUGGAAAAUGGAUGCUGUCCAGGAGGUGGGAGGGUCUGGGAGGGAGGGUCUGCUGCUGAUUGGGUGGAAUGUGUCUGCUGACUGUGAGGUACAGGGUCAAAGUUUACUCAAUGAUGACGAAUAGGGGGCAGACCGAACAGCGCAUAUGUUCGCCAUCCGUGGCGAACGCGAACAAGCGAUGUUCGCCAGGAACUAUUCGCCAGCGAACCGUUCGGGACAUCACUGAAAAUAAACAUAUGUUUUGUCUUGUUUUAUGGUAUCUAAAGGCUCUCUGGCCAGAUGGUUAAUGGACUCCAUUCAUUUGGCAUAUUCUUCAUCUAACGUUCCUACACCUAUCUCCAUUAAAGCUCAUUCUACCAGAGCUAUGUCCACAUCUUGGGUCCUGAGGGCUUCAGCUACACCUUCUCAAAUUAGUUUUGCAGCAACAUGAUCAUCUCUUCACACAUUUGCUAAACAUUACAAAUUAGACAUACUGGCCUCGGAAGACGCAACUUUUGGGCGCAAGGUGCUGCAAACAGUUGUGAAAUGAGUCCUGCCCUUAGGGGAUUUCUUUGGUUAUCCCUGCUGUAAAGCAAUGCCUCUAAUCUAAAGGGAAAUGCAUACAUUUUUACUUACCGUAAAUGUAUUUUUCCUGAAGAUUAGAUGCAGUGUUCACUUCCCACCCUGAUUUUCCAAUAAACUAAAUUUUGCAGUUAUCCGGCUUUUGUAUUGUUUGGGGUUCCUAGAGGUAAGAGACACUUUAUAGUGCCAAAGGUAAUUUGGGGGAGGUGCUUAAAAUUUGGGGCGUAUGCCUGUUUUUUUCCCCCUCCAGAUUAGAAAUCCCUGUUGUAAAACAAUGCCUCUAAUCUUCAGGAAAAAUACAUUUACGGUAAGUAAAAAUGUAUGCUUUAACUUACCGUUUUCUAGUGUUGAGACUCCCUUAGCGCUAGCUAGGUCUCCUCCUCCUGCAACAUUACAGCAGGGGUGGGACCUAAUGCACAUGUGCACAUUCAAGCUUCCACAUUCACAUAGGAAAGCAUUGAAUCAUUGCUUUUCUGUGGGGAACAAAAGAUGUUAGACCAAUGUCAGAUAGUGAAAUUAAACUUCACCAGGGACCUGGAUGCGAUUCUGGUGACUUUCUGGAAGACAGCCACUAGAGGUGGAGUUAACCCUACAAUGUUUUACAUUGCAGGGUUAAACAGACCGGAUCACUGUACCCAGACAAUUUCAAUGAGAUGCAUGAUCUGGGUGCCAAGUGUCCCUUUAAAAGAAUCCACAGAGAAAUGCUUUCAUUUUCUAAAGCUCAUGUUUCUGCUAUUUGUGGUCCAUACAGAACAGACCCAAAGAUCAGUACUCAGUUUUUUUUCAGUACAAUUUAGAUUGUUACAGCAGGGCUCAAAAUGUCUAGUCUUAUUCCACUACACACACAGGCCUAAAUUUUACUUGCCAUUGCAAGUUUGGAGAGUCUAAAGCACUCACUAGAGUUUAGUUUUCACUCAACAUUGGUUAGCAGAAACAUUGAGCUCUGGUUAGAGUGUGAGGGAUAUGUACUAACUAGAUGUAUUCAUAAGGUCUAGUUUGCACUAGACACAUUUCUAGCAUUAAAAUGUGUGCCUCCAGAAAUUACUAUUGGGUACAAUCAUUAAAUUUUUUAGAUCUGUUCUAUAAAGAAGUAUUUUAUAAUAUGGCAAAAUAAAAGAAUGUUUCUCACUUGUGUGUAGCCAUAGAUGGAGAGAAUGUCUGCCAUUGAGCGUGUUACUGAAGAGAGAAAAUGUCCAAUGAACCCCACAACUGUAUAAUUCUUCUUGCAGCUGUAAUUAAAAGGGUGAUUUGUUCCACCUGAUAGAAUUUUUAAUGUGGCUUCCUGUGCUUUAUUGGCUAAGAAACAAGAGUCAUAGAUUGAAUACCCCAGGGUGGUGUUUGGUAGAAGGUUUCUGUCAUUAUUAAUUUCUCGAACAGCAAAAUCAAAAGCCAGAAAAUGACGGAUGAAACGAAGGGAUGGCCUGAAAAGUUGAAGAUAUAUGUUAAAUAAACAUUUAUCAAAUCAAUACUAUACAUAUAUACAGUGUAUACCAAUAUCUAUUAAAUAAGUUACAAAUCAGAAAACUGUUUUUUUUUUUUUUUGUGGCAUUUGUCCUAUUUACAAUUUUUAGCGAUUGACUGCUCAAUGGUUCCUAAACUAGACUUCAAUGGUCCAGUUAUUAUCAGAAUUCAAAGGAAAACAUAAAAAAUCCUAAAUCCUACAUAGGCCAGACAUCACUAUAUUCAAAGAAUGACAAAGCUCACAUGAGAAUUUCUUAAUUUCUUUAUCUUUUCUGGUAUGUGAAUGCAUGUGUAAUUUAAAUUUACGUUUAUAUUGUCCCUAUACAAUCAAAAUAACGUCACUACAUUAAUAUUAAACAGUCACUAUAGGCACCAUAUUGAAGUGGUUACAGUGUCUGGAGUCUCCUGGCUCUGUUCUUCAAUUACAAACUACAGACCUACUUGUUCAAUUGCUUCCAUAAUUAUUGUUCACUAAGAUCCUUGCAGAUAGACUACAGCUGUACUUACUAACCCUAGUUCAUCCAGACCAGGUGAGCUUUAUCCCCUGCAGGAAAGCCAGGGACAAUGCAAGGGCUCUAGCACAGAUACACCAAGCCCAGUAGAGUUUGUAGUGGAGAAGUCCAUUGAUCGAGUUAACUGGGGCUUUCUAAUCCCAGCACUUUUGGUUUGGGCCUGGGUCCACAUAUGUUUGCCUGGGGCAUGUGCCUUAUAGGUCACUCCCACCUCAAUGGUUUGCUUAAAUGGCACCUUAACGGACUCAUUCCCUAUACACAAUGGCACCAGAUAACUGUGUCUGUCAUUGCCACUACACUUUGCCCUUGCUUUCAAACCACAAUUUCAAUUUGCAAAAGUUAAAAGGUACCCUCUGCAUUUUAUUAGUGACUAGGCUGGAAUAACUUGCUACUCACUAUUUAGUAAACAGCAUCCCAUUUAUGGGCAUAAGGGAGUUGUUAAACCUCUAUUAUAGUAAUGUGGGUGUCAUAAUGACCCACAUAGGCUCUUUUAACAAAGCAAAUUCCAAUAUUUUCAAAUAAAAUAUUUAGGUAUCAGUUUCAUUAUUCCAACCAAUAUUUAUUGGCUCCCAAAAUGCCUUUAACAACAGUAAUUUAAUCUAUCCUAACUGAUAAAUUACUUGUCAGGAAGUCGAUAAACAUGAUUCACUCUUAAAAUAAGGCCUAUGUGUCUUAUACAACUAUAUCUCAUAAUCUCUAUAUUAUCCCAAAUGUGUAAAUCAAAUCUAUCCUCUCAUGCAGUUUUGCCCCCUUCCUAUUGAUUGUAAGCUUACUUGAGAAGGAUCCUCAUCUCUCGUUUCUAUUCACCUAAAUGUGUUUGUCAUAAUUAUCUGUAUGAUUUUCUUAUUUAUUUUACAACAUUGUGGCAUAAGCUUGCACAUUAAAAAUAAAGGAAAAAAUUCAUUAUAAAUUUGUCUUUACAAUUUGGUAUUCAAAUAUUGUAACUUACAUAUCACAUAGUUUAGUUGUUGAAUACACAUGGGCACGAGUAUAAGAUGUGUGCUCACUAGAGUAGUAAUAGUUAAAUAACAGAAUAAUUCCACCCAAAAUCACAUCUCCAUCUCUGAAAUAUCCCUCAAUGUCUUCGACAUUAGGCUUCGACCAAGCCUUUGAAAAUUGUGCUGCAUCUGAACAGUCAGAACACAGGAGUAAUAUGAUAGCCAGAACUUUUAAAAGUUUAUAUCUGUAGAAGAAAUAGACACAGAUCAGUUUCUAUUUGGUCUACAGAGAAUAAAACCGUUUCAAUCAUAAAAGAAUGUAGUAAGGAAAAGGCUGUUAUAGGUCUCCAUUCAACAGCCUGUUAACAUGUUUAAUUGCAGAAAACCUGAGCCAUAAAGGAUUAAUAUUGUAAGACUAAUUAUACGUUUAGGACAUGGCAUAAAAUGAAAACACUGACAUUGUGUCAAGAUUAUGUUACAUAUGUUGAUAUUUUGUUUUUGUUUUUUUGAUGUUUUUUUUUAUUAGAAAAAUUCAUUACAUCCAGUAUAUCUUUGUUUACAAAAUCAUCAUAUUUUAGCUUUAACAAAUGUUCCCAAUUACAUUUAGCCUAAUAAUCGUUGAUACUCACUUCCAUUAGGUUGUUCCCUAAUAAGUUAUUACAGCGAGCUUAGAUAGACAAACAACAAAGUAAAUAUACAAUAAGUUAACACCAACAAACAGAAAACAGACAUUAUUUAUUUUUUUCAGGGUGAAUGCAUGUGUAAUUUAAAUUUACGUUUAUAUUGUCCCUAUACGAUCAAAAUAACGUCACUACAUUAAUAUUAAACAGUCACUAUAGGCACCAUAUUGAAGUGGUUACAGUGUUAUAAACUCCAUGUUAAUCUUCCAGAUUUUGUAAGUAACACCUCCAGCAUAGUGGGUUAUCUUUGGCUUUAAAUUAAAAUAAUUUUUCAGGAUAUAAGUGCCAUCUAUAUACAACUUUUGUAAUUAAACCUCUUUAUUUUACUUAAAAAUUGAUAUGAAAAACAGUAAAGCUAGUUUGGAACAGACUGUAGUUUAUUUACUUGUAUAAAUUAGUCCCAGUAGUCCCCUAAUAUUUUAUACAUAUUUAGGUACUCCCUUUGUGUUCUCUAUGCCUGUGCAUGAGACCUUACCAACAGAGAUUUUAGGUUUAGAGGAAAUUAUCAUUUGUAGUUUAUGGCAUAGCUUCAGAGAAGGCCUCCUUGCACUACUGCAGGCUUGGUACAGAACCAUCUAUUUCAGUUCAAAGGUCAUCAAUACAAACUAUCUAAACUCCAAGCUCGUCUUGGCCUUGUGCAGCCUACACAAGUAUUCAUUUUACCUUACUCUAGGAAAAAAACCAGCCGCCUCCCUUGAAGCUCAUGGGGCACUUCUGCAUCCAGCCCAGUCGUGUUUUUUUCCUGUUGCUGUUCUCGCGUUUAGUUGAACAAAACCGUAAGUUUGUUCAUGCAGCCCACGUUGGGCUAUGCUAUCACUGACAUUCAACAUGUAUUCGCCCAACAUUCAACAUUUCCGGGUAGCAGUUGCAGUUCAGUCUGUAUUCUACCUUCAUUCGGAUAUAGCGAAUCUCCAUACUAAUGUAAAUCUGUCCUAUUUCAAUCAUACGUAGCAUCACCGUGAUACCUCAAUUGUGUUUAUUCAUUCUGCUUACUGUAUUUGCCCCUCAUUCGGCCAUUUAAAUUUUAUCAUAUGCAAUUCAGUUAGUCAUCCUACAUUUUAAUGUAUAAUGCUGUGCCAUAUUCAGUUUUUAAUAUUUGCAACUUAUUGUUGCCAGCCCACAUAGCCUUCGUUAUACUUUUCAACUCUGAGAAGAUCGGCAUUUGUUACUUAUGUUCACCAGGACUCUUCCAGCCUCAGUACAUAUAUGUAUUCUGUCUGUAUUCAGGCACUCAGUGGGCCCACAUUGUUUAGUAAUUAUAUAGCUACAUGUUGCAAAUGAAGGUCUAAAUUUUGUCAGGCCCAAACUUGUGCCUAUAAAUGAAAUUGGCAUUUAUGAUACUGCCUGUUAAUCAUCUGUCUUUUUUCACUGUCUGUCACUACUUAUAUUGAUUUAAGUACUUACUGGGCAGCACACAGGCCUAGUCAAGUGUUCUUUAAAAUUGUCGAUCAUAAUUAUGUCUGUUCUGUGGUUAUAUGACUAUAUACAUAGCCUUCAUCUAAGUAUGUUAUUGUCACACUUCAAAUCAAGACAUGCCAAUAACCAGAUCCGCCACUUGGGUGUCACCAAUAAUCAUACUAAAUUGCAAGCAGUCUACUCAAAUAUUUUCUACAUACCCCAUUUAAUUGUAUCAUUCACCCAUAACUUCUCAUUAUGCCCUGAUUUGGCCACCCUGCCGCUAGGUAUAGUUGUGUUGGGCUCUCAUUCAGCUUCCAUUAUCAUAAGAGAGUGGAGGUUGAUCUAAACAGUAUGAAAUCAAUAGAAUUGACUGGUAUGCCUAAUGCAACACACAGGUAUGAGGGAAUCGGACUUAGAUAGAUUGCUCAAAACUGGAUAAACACAGGAGUUCACCAGACCUGUCUUGGAAAAUUUGUAAUGAAAGAUGAUAUAACAACCUUGGUUGAUAUAGAUAUUCCAGGAGCUGAUCCACCUAAAAUGGCUUUGGAUGUUCUUGUGCCUGCUACGACCAAGCUUGACAAUAAGUGCACCUCCCUACUGGUAUCCUUUUCAGGGGACAUGGUGCACUCAGUGGGGGGUGGGUUCGGGUGCGGGGUGGGGGGAAACAAGCCCAUCUUGCCAUAACCCGUGCCCAGGGCAAACAGCCAAAGUGUCCAUGAGGCCUAACACCUAGGCCACUCACACUCAGGAAGGGGGCAACACCUGAUAACGAGGACACGGGGUGCAAAUCCAGGCUGGAAACAUACCCCCUCCCACUCCCCCGGCUUCUGUCGCUACUCGCAGCAACUGCUACACAAACUCACCUAAAAAAAAAAACCUAGACAAAAAACAAAAAAAAACGCAGGUCCCACAGCCAGACCCACGUGUCCCGGGCGCCCCAAACCCCUAUACAAAAUUCGAGCUAUGCUUGACGCAUGACCAGAACAAGAGUCGCCCCACAAACUGACCAAAAAGCCUCCAAGGUCCCAAACCCAUUAAAUAUUAUUGCAAAAAAAAAACAUAUAUAUAUAUAUAUAUAUACAUACAACCCAUAGCACCAACUUAGAGAGAGCCCAGACCCUUGCGCUGCCCAGACCUGAGCCCGGUCUGACUUGACCUGUCCACCUACCCCCUAAACAAGAAAGUUAAGUCACUACCUUCGCUUUAAGUCAUAUGAACACCUCAAAGGUUGUGUUCACUUACUGUUUUAAGUUACUGUUUGAUAUGUUAUGUUAUAUGUUGGUAUGUCACUCUGAACAACACUCACGGUAUAAGAAUUGUAUUAUUGUUAUUAUUGUGAUAAUGCUAAUGUGUACUCUCCUCUCAGAUUGCACAACAACCUCCAGCACACAAGCACCCAAAGCACCUGACCCACCAAGAAGGAGGUACCCUCAAUCCGCCUCGCAAUACCCUAUUCAACAGGGCAUCCUCAGACCACCACACUGCCCGCACUUAGUAGGGAUGGCCAACGACAUCAGACUAGCACAACUCCCCCACCAAACAAAGCAUGAAAAUAUACACACAUAACGUCAGGGGGUUGAACACCCCACACAAACGACACAUGCUACUGAGAGAACUCAAAACCUCACAGACUGACAUAGUCUGCCUGCAGGAAACGCACUUUUAACACAACUCAAAUCCAAUUCUAGGGAAAACGCUCUACCCCCACUAAUACCACACCACAGCCCCCAGCAAAGGGGUCUCCAUCCUCCUCAGCCGCCAUUUGGCAUAUGAGGAAAUAACGGUGAAACAUGACCCCCAAGGCAGAUACCUCAUUUUGAUUUGCACCAUAAACAACUCCACCUACACUAUUGUCAAUGCUUAUCUACCUAACGCAAACCAAGGAGGCUACCUACACAAUAUAUUGACACUCAUAGCACAGCUCCAAAUGGGCACCACAAUUAUUUGCGGAGAUUUUAACCAGAUUCAAGACCCAAGGAUGGAUUUAACCGCAACUCACUCGACACAUAGAGCCAAAACACUUCACAAGCAAUGCAAACCCCUAACAAAGCUCUUACACGCUUUUGGGCUCUAUGACGUCUGGUGAGCACUACACCCACAAGAUAAGGAAUAAACUCACUUUUCACAGGUGCACAACACGUAUACAAAGAUUGACAGCUUCUUCUUGCAGGGAACACAUCUGAACAGAGCGACUGCAUGCGACAUAGGGUCCUCUACCUGGUCAGACCACUGCCCGGUGACGCUAACGAUCACAGACCAGUACAACUUUAAACACCGCAGCCCCUGGAGACUGAACGAACAACUUCUGACUAACCUCCUGUUUGUCCAAACAUUACAGCAGGACCUGAAAUCCUACCUCGACAACAACGCCACCCCUGACAUAUUCCCCAUGACACUGUGGCUAGCCCACAAACCGGUGAUUAGGGGACUGCUAAUCCGCAGAGUGUCCUACCGCACACAUCCAAAAUCUAAAACAUUUUGCAUGACCUUCACAGAGCCAACCAACUCACCCCAUCCACGACCACACACAAAGAGAUUACCGUAUUAGCUCAUCUCAUGGCCACGGAAGAUUACUGGCACACGCAUCACUCUCUGCCAAUACCAACCAUUCAUAUACUAGAGCUCUGAUGAUUUUCAAUAAAUUAAUUUCAGAAAUUUUAAUUGUUAAUCAGUACUCGGUCAAUACCAUGAUGUCGUUCACAUCCUUUUGCCACCUUAACCUAAAAUUAGCUCGCCACACCAUAAAACUACUUGGAAACAACCAUCAACAUUUUCAAAUCAUUCUUUUAGAAUAGGCACUGUUUCUGCAGUCUCUAGUAGAAUAGCUCAGUGCAUGUCAUUGAUGCAUCCCUCAACCUAAGAAGUAAUUAACUUAGGCAUUUAAAAUAUUGGUUACAUAAUGUCAACAUGUAUUAAAGUGUUACAUGUUUUGCCCUCUUUUUACAGGCCUACCUGAACGUCGGUUUCGGCACUCCACAACUUACACCACCAAUACUAUAACUCAGCUUAUUGUCCCUGACCACAAAUAUAUAUACUGUUGUGCUCAUAAGUUUGCAUACCCUUGGAGAAUUGGUAAUAUUUGUACUAUUUUUUGAAGAAAAUAUGAGUGACAGGCAAAACACAUUUCUUUUAUUUCUUAUGGGAUUCAUUGCAGUCUUAUGUAAUAGUUGUCUAUGAGGUGCUGUGCUGUACUGGUGCUGUACCUUUGUGUUUGUAUAUGACGUUUGUAUCACACAGCUAUGUUACAUUGCUGCCAGUCACCCCAUGUUUGUCUUAUUAAGAGUUUAUAAGUAUGUAGGGGCAGCACCCCUUCCUGUCUCAACAGAGAAAUUUGCUUUUUAGCUGAUACCGGAAAGGUGAUUUGUAUGUUUUAUAGCCCUAUUUAAGGUUAAUAAGUAUGUAGGGGUUUAUAAUAUACCCCUUCAUGUCUUAUUAGAGAUGUUUACACUUUGUCUGAUACCAACAAAGUUCAUUUUAUUUUAAUGUAUAGAAGCCCUAUAAAGGGUUUAAUGUGAAAGGGUUUAUAAAAUUGGAAUAAAACUAAAGAGCCCCCAUUUUGUUUAAAUGUACAUUGGGGAUUUAGGCCAGAGCGCAGGUAACGUUCUCUUUGUUUUUGCAUGAACUGUGUGAUGGACUGCCUGGCAUCCCGACUGGGUGCCUCCACCAAUCGAUGCUCCUAGUGCUCACCGAAGACUGCAAUCACUCCACCAGACACCAUCAAUCAGCACCGUAGACUCCCACAAACCGCCGCAGCUUGGUUGGAGAUCUCACCGUCCUCCACCUUCCACCUACCUUGGACCCAAGACCAGGAUCUAGCUUCCAGUGGAUGAACCUCUCCUACUCCAGAGAGUAUAGCAGGAACAGAUCUUAUAAGAGCUAGUGAUUAUAAUUCCAGGGAGUAUAAGGAGUAUAGCAAUCCCCAGAGUGAAUAUAGCUGCCCCUCCACACAUGAGACAAGACUCUACGUUGAGGGUGAAGAGGAACUGAUUUUAAUGGUGAAACACUUGGCUUUUCAUAGCAAUCCCCAUUCAAGGGGCACUCUCUCAUGGACCUUGUGGAGAACUCCAUUACAAAGUCACAGACCAAAAAUACCAGUGUUACAAUGCAUGACACUCCCAUAUACAAUACAAUAAGCCUUCCCUUUUAUUUAGGAAAUAAUUGAGUCAAGCACUUUACUAAACUCAAUUAUCUCAAUUAAUCACCCAGAUCAGUUCAGUGGUUCAGGAAUUUCCUGGAAGUCAUAGUUUUUACCGACCGCACGCAUGGUCCCAGGCCCAAAACGGUUCCAUAGAAUGUGUGUGAAAAAUGCAAAAAACAUCACUUUCACUGACAAUAUCAUCACUGUGAUAUGUUUUACGUUUUUUGAAACACUAAUAUUUGUGUUUAGCAAAGUCUCCCGAGUAAAACAGACCCCCCCCCCCCUCACCCCCCCAUAUACAGGUUUUAGGGUGUUUUGGAAAAUUACAGGGUUAAAUAUAGUGCUAGCAAAUUACAUUCUCUGGACUUACGGCCUGGGUUGUCAAGCAGGUCCCUCGAAUUGCAAUUAAUAAAGUUACUUAAUUAUUUAAAUGUAAUACAUAAAUAAAUAUGCACGUAGAAUUUAAAUAUAUAUACAUAUUUAUAUAUUUAAAGUCUACGUGUAUAUUUCUGUUUAUGCAAUUAUGUAUAUAGAUUUCAUAUUAUUUAUUUAUAUAUAUAUAUAUAUAUAUAAAAAUACCAAAUGCUCCUGCACUCACGCUUAAAUCUCCCUUGGUGCCCGAGUGCUAGCAAUAAAUAGCCGUCCAUCCAUAUAUCCAAAUAGGUAGCUGCACUCACGGCUAAUAAAAAGUCAAAAUUUUAUUGCAAAAAGGUAAAAAAAAAAACAGCGAUCAACGUUUCAGUCCUGUAAGGACUUUCUUCAGGAUAAAAAGUAAAAACCUUUUUACUUUUGAUCCUGAAGAAAGUCCUUACAGGACUGAAACGUUGAUUGCUGUUUUUUUUACCUUUUUGCAAUAAAAUUGUGACUUUUUAUUAGCCGUGAGAGCAGCUACCUAUUUGGAUAUAUAUAUAUAUAUAUAUAUAUAUAUAUAUAUAUAUAUAUAUAAUUUCAUUCUAAGUGUAUUUUGAUAUAAAUAUAUAUCAAAAUACACUUAUAAAUAUAUAUAUAUAUUAACAUCAAAAUACAGUUAGAAUAAAAUUGCAUAUAUUUAUUUUAUUUUAUUAUUUUUACAUUUUUAAAUUUAUUUUUAUUUAGCAUUUAAAUUUUAUAAUAUAUAUGUACAAUAUAUAUACAUGUGGAAUUUAAUUCUAAGUGUUUUUUUAUAUUAAUAUACAUAUAUAUAUUAUACUAUACACUUAUAGUUAUAGUAAUAUAAUAUAUAAUAAUAUUAGUGUAAUAUUAUACACUAAUAUUAUAUAUUAUAUAUACACUUAAUCUGGCAUUAUAUAUAUUUAUUUUAUUAUUAUUAUUAUUAUUAUUAUUAUUAUUAUCUACUAAUAUCUUUGCUUUCUAUUUCACACACCUACAGAUACAGGCAGAAAGAGUAUUAGAAAGAAGAGAUUUCUGCAUAACCACAUUGUUCUGUGCAUUUUUUUGUAAUAUUAUAUUGUACCCUACUGUAACAAUGCAGUGUUUGUAGACCCAGGACAUACUUGAAAACAAGAGAAAUCUCAAUGUGUAGCAUGAAUUUACAAAAUAUUGGAGUCUAAGUAAAUAUGCUCUCGUCUGACAUCUAGUGGUUAGUAAUACAUUUUCAACUUUUACUCUUUGGCUUGCACGAAUUACUGGAUUCUUUUAUUAUAAUCUGGCUAUCAAUGGGCUACAGUUGUACUAUAUAAUUCACAAUUAACUAUUUAUUUAGAAGCAAUUCUGUAUCCAGAACACCACUAUGCCUUUCUAAUCAAGAAUAUAGGUUUUGACCAAUUGGGGGUUUAUUAACUAAAAUGUUGAUUUAACAAGUGAUGCCUUUUCACCCAUGGUUUCAUAAAUCUAGCUAUAAUUGUAGAUAAGAAUUUCCCUAACUACUAUAGAGUAGGCCACACCUAGUGAACACUUAAUGUAAAAUAUACAUUAUGGAUUAGAUGCACUUAAUUGAUUGAAACAACUGAGUACCUAAAAAUUAAAUUUUACACAUAUGCAUACACAACACACACACAUAUAUAUAUAUAUAUCUAUAUCUAUAUCUAUCUAUAUAUCUAUAUAUAUCUAUAUAUAUAUUGUUAAGACACCCCUGGUGUCUUUAAGAGAAACCGCCGUUUAGUUCACCUUCCCCUUUCACAAUAUCAGUAAUCCAUUCGCAUAAACUGUAAUCCACGAACCAUAACCAGGGGAAGCGGCAAUCUCCCGACCGGGAUCCGUGAAAGGCUCCAAACUCCCGAACAGAAAUCCACGAACUGCUGCUAGCUGCCGAACAACGAUAUCCACCAAGCGGCUUUCGGUUCCAAUCAGCAGUCUCUAAGCGCAAAGAAGAAAUCCCCCCAAUAACGAGACAGAAGCUCCGCAUUGAGGGUCAAACAGGAUCUGGCUUUACUGUGGGCUACCUGCCCGUAUUUAUGCAGGUCUCCCACUUGGUGGACACUCCCCUAGGGGACCAAAUGGGAGACUGUAAUUACAGAUGGACAUGAGGACAUAACAGACAUACAGUCACAAGCUUUUCCCACAAUGCAAUAUGGUCUCCUCCCCUCUGCUCUGGAGAUAAUUGAGAAGUAAUUCAAUUAUCUCCAGGACAAAGACAAAUCGCAAUCUUAGAUACAAAACCAGAAAAUACAUAAAAAUACAUCAUUUGAAAAUAACCGAACAUUUCUCAUUCACAUCACAUAUCCCCAGAUAGCCUGGAUCUGAGUGCAUAUUAUUGGCGAAUAGCGCUCAGAUCCCACACACAUAGUUCAAUCGCCAUGGAGUCAAAGUUCUUACAGUCUUUCGGUAUGCGAAUGACUCCAUGGGAAGGCUGUCUGGGUUAAGUCUUUUCAUGUGCUGUAAAACUCCCGAACGGCCGGUGUUCGUACGUUUUCGUGGAGGUUGCCAGGCGUCCCGUUGUUUCAGCGGUGUUCAGCAGAAAAAGUGUCCGUUUUUAGUUCCAUGAAAAUAGAGCCGAACACCACUGGGCUUUCGUGUGUUUUAAAAUGGCCGCUGCUUCGUGGUCGACAUACGAAUGACGACCACCUUGAAUUCGGUUCUGUCUGCGGUUAACCACAAUGUUCUGAUUGGGAUCAAUAGGUUAACCAGCAGCACACUUCUAUCCUGGGUGGCCGUCCGUUCGGUAGUUUUGUUCGGGAAAAACAGUCAUUCGUAUGGCUGGGCUAUAGGAAACAGCCAUUUACACGAAAGUGCAGGAAACAGACGAAUCCACCACAAUAGUCAGAUGAAUGGUUCUGUCACAUAUAUCUAUAUAUAUAUAUAUAUAUAUAUAUAUAUAUAUAUAUAUACAGUGUAGUUUAUAUACUUUUUCUGGCUAUUACAAGCCAACUUGCACCUUUCACUUUCAGGCACAUCUUCUGAUAUUUUUGACAACCCACCUCCCUCCCCUUCUCUAACAUCAGUUGUUUUACGUGUUAAACUCUAUCAGAUUGAUCAUUAUUGCCACCACCAGUCUUUGUCGAUCUUUUGGUAAGUCAUUUGUGGGGGUUUUCUCUCAUAUUGUACUCUUGGCAUUCUCAGCUCCUGUUAGGUGUUACUGCCAAAGAUCACCCCAAUAUGUGUUCAGCAACAUCUCCUGAGUACAGUGAUACCAUCCAUGGACAGGUGUGUUGGGUUCUCUUGGGUCUAAAAGACCUUAUUUGGAGGUUGCGCAUUCCAGUUUUCCAACUUGGAAUUUUCACAGCUGGUCAUCAUGCACCCAUGUCCUAUUUGGGACAUUUUUGAAGCUGGACAAUGUAAUUUACACCCUAGGGUGUUUCAAAUAGUAUUUAAACACUUUCCAGGCACUAAUUCUACCACCAGUCUUUGUCAAUCUUUUGGGUUGUCAUUUUUUUGUGUUAUUUUUCUCUCACAUUGUACUUUUGGUAUGAAUUCUCAGCUCCUGUUAGGUGUUACUGCCAAAGAUCACCCAAUAUGUGUUCAGCAACAUCUCAGUGAUACCACCUAUGCAUAGGUCUGUUGGGUUGUUUGGGGGGUGCAAUGCCAAACAUCUGACAUGUGUUUCGCAAAUUUGACAUAUCUUCUUUUUGGGGGCCUUUUUAGAUAUCCCAAUUUAUUUUCUUGCCAUGAGCGUGCAUAUAUUUGAAAAACUGACACCCCGCGGUAUUGUAUAUGGAUUGUUUUAAUGCCUUUGAUGAAAUCGUUUUAGCCAAAAAAAAUCAGAGAAAGUGUGUGGUGGUUAUUUUUACAUUUUUAUUUUUACACACACAUUGCUUUUUGACUGUGAUUUAGCAGAGCCUGUUGGUCAUUGAAAGAAAACACUCCAGGGUGUUUUCUGCAAGCCCUCCUGAGCACACCCAUGCCAGUAAAUGGGGGUAGAGCAGAUGGAGCUACUUUAUGAUGCCCACCAGCAUAGUUAAUGCCCAGAAAUUUUUAAAUUCUGGCACAUCAAUGGGGGCCCAUUGCUGCUUUGCCAAAAAAGACUCCUGCUUAGAAGCAUGGAACUGAUGGGCAUGUAAAUUAGUUUGGGCGAAAAUGUUCCCCAGAACAUCAUCGCCCAGAAACCCCUGCAUAUACUGCUGAGGGCUAAAUCCUGCAACAUCCACAUUGAUUCCAGGAUUUGCAGUAAAGGGUGGGAUAUCUGGCUUCUGGCGAUGAGGCACUGCCCACUCCUCAGCAGUACUGCCAGCUGGAGCAGCACGUCUCCUUCUGGUAGGGGGACUAGCAGGCACAGAUACAACAUCACUAGCUGCAGACACUGUAUCUAGUAAUGUAUCUGAGCAUCUGGCAGGGUCAAAAUCAGGGAGGGAAUCAGAUAUAGACGUGUCAGACUCUAACGCAAGGAUGGCAUACACCUCCUCAGCACUAUACUACAUAUGUGACGUCUGUGACAUGAUCACAAUCACUUUAUGUAGUGAUAUGUCACAUAAAAAAAGAUUUUUAAAAAAUGAACCCCUAACAAUGCACAUACAGCAAAAAAGUGCUGCUGUGCAAGAUCCAGUGAUUAUUAGAGAUGUGAAAUUCGCUUCGUUCCAAAUGUCUAUUCGGACGAAUUUCGGGCAAUUCGGACAUUCGGAUACGUCUGAAUGUCUUAAUUGCCAAAGUUCCAAAUUGCCAAAGUUCCGAAAUUGACGAAUUUCUGAAGUGCAGAAGUGCCAAAGUUCCAAAGCACAGUAUUGCCGAAGUACUAAUAUACCUACCCAGUGGAAGAAUGAAGAAUGUUACACUGUAUACAAGUUUAAAUAAAAAGUAUACAAAAUAGCCAGGAUUCAGCUGCAAGCAUUUGCAACACUUACAACAAUCAAGUAACACACAGUCAUAUAAAAUGUUAGUUACUUAGCCAGUCAAUGGAAUGACAGGAAUGAAUAACUCCCUAAUUCCCAUGGUAUUAGGGAGCUAUCUACUAAAAGGCUGAAAGACUUAAAUUGGUCUUUCAGACAAAUUUACUCAUACUAAGUAAAGAUUACUUAGUAUUAGUAAAUUAUGCCCCUACUCGCUAUACCGCGAGUAGGGGCAUGUCUAGUAAACAGUGAACAGCCAUGUAUCACAAAAAACACGUGUCCCCCCUCCCGAGCCCCCACCCGUGCCGCACGAGUAGGGGCUUCUAACCUGAAGGGGGGACCUAUUGCCCCACCCCAGCCCCCAACUCUAAGCAGCGGGUGGGGGCCCUAAAGUAAAAUAAGGGGGGGCACCUAUUGUUCUCCCCCUGGCCCCCACCCCUGAGUGGUGGGUGUGGGCCCUAAAUACAAAUAAGGGGACGACGACCUAUUGUCCUCCACCCCUGGCCCCUACCCCUGAGUGGUGGGUGGGGGCCCUAAAUAAAAAUGUAACAAACCCCAAACCCCUAGUCUCCUUCUCCCAAAAAAAUUAAUUAACCCCUACCUACUCCCCUCACCCUAAAAAUAAUGAGAGAGGACCAAUAACUAGGUACCUGUAAAAGAAUAAAUAAAACUUACCAUUUGAUGUCUUCUUUUUUCUAAAAUCUUAUUUUUUUCAGCCUUAAAAAAGGCCAAAUAAAAAUCCAUAAUAACCGUCGCACUUUGAAAAAAAAAAAACAGAGCGCAAAAAAAUGAUCUAUCUUCACCCAUGGAGGGCUUCGCGCAGACUGAGCUCUGCAGGGCGGGGGAAGGCUUAUAAAGCAUUGCCCCCCCCUGCAAUUAGGCUCAGAGCCAGGGCCGGUGCAAGGAUUUUUGCCGCCCUAGGCAAAAAAAAAAUUUGCAGCCCCCCCCAUAUGUCCGGCCCACCAUGUGACAUCACAAUGCCCCGCCCAUAUGCUCUGCCAUAUGGGCCAACGCCAGUCUUCACAAAGUGUCUUUUAUCUGAAAAGACAGUGUGUUUACAUUAAAAAGCCUACAGGCACAGGAUAUAGACACCAGAACCACUACAUUAUGCUGUAGUGCUUCUGGUGACUAUAGUAUCCAUUUAAUGUGAGGUAAAUUAGAGAUUAGUGCCAGUAAUAAUAUAUUGGAUUGCCUACUUACCACCAGAUGAGAACAAGAGGCUGAUGCUGGGCUCUGUCUGGGUCCACAGGUCUGGUGUAGAAGAGGCUCUCAGGAGACUGUUUUUAACAGUGCUCACAACAAUUAACGAACAGGAAGCAGCUCCAUUUUUUAGGACCCCUUACACAGCUCAAGGUCUGGGCCCCCAGGGCUUGACCGUGAGUAUGCCUACAAUGCCCAUCCAGCUACAUGGCCCACCCAUGAGUUCUCUCACAGGAAGUGGAGUGUAUGUGUGUAGGGGAUGGUUUAUGUGUUAUUGUAGAGGAUGCAAUGUGUGUGUGUUCUUAUAGAAUGUAGUGUAUAGGGAUACCAAUUUCUGUAAGGGAUGUAGUGUGUUUAUAGGGGAUGCAGUGUGUGUUUGCGUGUAAGGAAUGCAUUGUAUGUUUCUGGGUGUGUGUGUGUGUGUGUGUGUGUGUGUGUGUGUAAGGGGUGCAAGGUGUGUUUCUGUGUAUUUAACCCCUUAAGGACCAAACUUCUGGAAUAAAAGGGAAUCAUGACAUGUCACAAAUGUCAUGUGUCCUUAAGGGGUUAAAGGACCACUCUAGGCACCCAGACCACUUCAGCUUAUGAAGUGGUCUGGGUGCCAGGUCCAGCUAGGGUUAACCCAUUUUUUCAUAAACAUAGCAGUUUCAGAGAAACUGCUAUAUUUAUGAAUGGGUUAAGCCUUCCCCCUAAUCCUCUAGUGGCUGUCUCAUUGACAGCCACUAGAGGCGCUUGCGUGCUUCUCACUGUGAUUUUCACAGUGAGAGCACGCCAGCGUCCAUAGGAAAGCAUUAUGAAUGCUUUCCUAUGUGACCGGCUGAAUGCGCGCGCAGCUCUUGCCGCACGUGCGCAUUCAGCCCAGGAGGAGGAACGGAGGAGGAUCGGAGGAGGAGAGCUCCCCGCCCAGCGCUGGAAAAUGCGGGACAGGAACUUCUGUUUCCUGUUCCCGGCCGCUGCCGGCCACGCUACAUUGAGAGACCGGCGGGAGGGAGCGCUCUGCACUUCCCUCCUGACGGUCACUCAAAUCCGCGGUGCCAUCCAAUCAGAGUGCUCUGACAGGUAAAUGAAGAGACUGAUAGGCAAGUCUCUACAUUUACCUGUCAUAGCACUCUGAUUGGUUAGCUGGAAAUCCAGCCAAUCAGAGUGCUCUGUGUCAUUUUACACAGCUUGGGAAAGUUCUUUGGCAUUUUCCCAUGCUGUGUAAUUUGACUCAUAACAACACUCUGAUUGGUUAAUUGAAAUACCUAGGGAAUUAGGGAGUUAUCUACUAAGCAGCUGCAACAGAAGUCCCGAAGUUCCAAAAUGCUGAAUUUGAAAUUCACUUUGAAUUCUCACUUUAGUGAAUAACCUUGUAAAGUGAGAAUUUAAAACAAAUUGAAAAUGUAUUUCAAAUUUUAAAGCAAGAGUAGUCAAAUUGAAAGCAUUGCUGAUAUUUUUUUCCACUUCGGCUAUUUUCACCUUACAUUUGAAAUCCACUUGUAAUUCUCUUUGUAGUCUCACUUUAUUAAUUAGUCCUAUCUAAAUAAACAUUUUAAAUUCCCCUGAUAUGCUUACAUUUGUGAACAUGCCUGUCUAUUUUUACAACAGUAUUUUAAGUCUAAUUUAAGCACAUAGAUAAUGUAUUAUUUCAGCUGGUUUGGCAGAUCAUCUAUUUUUUAAAAUGGAUGCUUUAAGCACCAAAACAACUUUUUCUUAAUGCUCCUGUAUUGUCAAUUUUCAAAUCUCUUUUAGGAGUUAAAUCACUUUNNNNNNNNNNNNNNNNNNNNNNNNNNNNNNNNNNNNNNNNNNNNNNNNNNNNNNNNNNNNNNNNNNNNNNNNNNNNNNNNNNNNNNNNNNNNNNNNNNNNACCACUAAUCCCAACAAAAAUGACGGGCAGAGGCAGGCCACCCCGCAGUGGCCAUCGUGGUCGUGGUGCUGUGAUUCCCUUUGGCCCUAGAAUAAUGCCCAGUUUUCAGAGGCCACGUACCCUGAACUUGAAAAGUUCUGAGGACAUAAUUGACUGGCUAACACAGGACACCCAAUCUUCUACAGCCUCCGCUCAGAACCUUGACGCACCAUCCUCCUCCAGCUUAGCUUCAGGCACCUCUCAAGAUACCACUCACUCGCCUGCCGCCACCACCAAAACUAGCACCACCAGCGCUUCCGGUUGGUAUAGCCAGAGAGUUAUUCACACAUCGUUUGAAAGAAAUGAGUGAUACUUAAUACAUUGUGCCAGGAUGUAGAUAACGGGGAUAUGUCUCAGGCGGAGCGGCAUUACACACUUACAUGGGUGUCGCGAUUGUGAUGAUGAUGAUGAUGUUGUACCACAUGCUGCUUCCUUUGCUGAGUUUGUCAGAUACAAAUUGAGAGGCGGUUGAUGAUGGCUUGAUCGUCCAUGGAUUAUCACGUGGGUGCCAUUUCGUCAAGAAGAAGAACAGGGUGAAAGUUCAGAUGGGGGAGACGGGGAGGAGGAGGGAGGCGAGUUGGAAGCAGGGGAGGUGCGUCGCAAGGGAGCUGGCGUGGCUGUUGGUCGAGACAGCGUAAAUGAGCACCGGGGUCAGCCCGACAACGCCAAUCAGCGCAUGCACAACAUUACCACUUAGAAUACCGUCAUUGCAGAGCUCAGCAGUGUGAAUUUUUAUUGUGUCUGCCUCUGACAACAGCGUGCCAUUUGCAACCUGUGCCAAAGAAACUGAGUGGGUGGGAAGUCCAACACCCACCUAGGUACAACAACUGCUUUAGCGUGGGCACAUGAUCACAUCACAGGCCUAUGGGAUCCAACACAUGAGUACAAGCAGCUUCGCCUACUCUAAGCAUGGCUUCCUCCUGGUCCAGCAUCUUCAGCCGUCAACCACUGCUGUCCUCCUGUCCCUCUCAACCAUCUGCCAACUCCUUUCCAUGCUUAGAGCGUUCACGCUCAUCUUCCCACAGUCAUGUGUCUGUCAAGGACAUGUUUGAGAGCGUGAAGACAAUGUCAGAAGUCACCCCCUUGCCCAGCGUCUGACUGCUGGCUUGUCGAACUAUUAGCCCGCCAGCUUUUACCAUACAAGCUGGUGGAGUCUGAGGCGUUCAAAAAAUUUGUAGCUAUUGGGACACCGCAGUGGAAGGUACCCGGCCGAAAUUACUUUUCGCAAAAGGCAAUCCCCAACCUGUACUCAAUUGUGCAAAAGGAAGUAAUAGCAUCUCUGGCACACAGUGUUGGGGCAGGGGUCCAUUUGACCACUGAUACCUGGUCUGCAAAGCAUGGUCAGGGCAGGUAUAUCACCUACACUGCGCAUUGGGUAAACCUGCUGACUGCUGCCAAGCAUGGAAUGCAUGGCUCUGCAGAGGAGUUGGUGACACCGCCACGACUUGCAGGCAGUCCUGCUGCCACCUCUCUACUCCUCCUACUCCAUCCUCUUCCAUAACCUCCUCGGCUGAGUCCUCUUCUGCUGCUGCGUCUUGCUCCCAUCAGCAGCACCAGCUCCCCAGGUACUAUUCCACAUCCCGGAUACGGCAGUGUCACGCCGUCUUGGGUUUGACUUGCUUGAAAGCAGAGAGUCACACCGGACAAGCACUCCUGUCCGCCCUGAAAGCACAGGUGGAAAAGUGAAAACGACUCGCACUUGUUGACUGGAUGGCAAAGUGGUUUUGUAACCUUGGAACAAAUUUGUUAGCGGCAUUGAAGUUGGGCAAGUUGUCACAUGUGCCGUGCAUGGCACAUGUGUGUAAUCUGAUCGUACAACGCUCUGUGCAUAAGUACACAGGCUUACAGGACGUCCUGAAGCAGGCCAGGAAGGUGUGUGGCCAUUUCAGGCGUUCCUACACGGCCAUGGCUCCCUUUGCCGAUAUCCAGCGGCGAAACAACAUGCCAGUGAGGCGCUUGAUUUGCGACAGCCCGACACGUUGGAAUUCAACACUCCUAAUGUUCGACCGCCUGCUCCAACAAGAAAAAGCCGUUAAUGAAUAUUUGUAUGGCCGGGGUGCUAGGACAGCCUCUGGGGAGCUGGGAAUUUUUUUGCCACGUUACUGGACGCUCAUGCGCAAUGCCUGUAGGCUCAUGCGUCCUUUUGAGGAAGUGACAAAUUUAGUCAGUCGCACCGAAGGCACCAUCAGCGACAUCAUACCAUUUGUUUUCUUCCUGGAGCGUGCCCUGCGAAGAGUGCUGGAUCAGGCCGUAGAUGAGCGUGAAGAGGAAGAGGAAGAGUUGUGGUCACCAUCACCUCAGAAACAGCCUUAUCAGCAUCGCUUGCUGGACCUGCGGCAACGCUGGAAGAGGAUUGUGAGGAAGAGGAGUCAGAGGAGGAAUGUGGCUUUGAGGAGGAGGAAGAGGAGGAGCAAGACCAACCACAACAGGCAUCCCAGGGUGCUCGUUGUCACCUAUCUAGUACCCGUGGUGUUGUACGUGGCUGGGGGAAGAAAAAUACCUUCGUGACAUCAGUGAGGAGGAAGCGGGAAAUGAGUAGCUCGGCAUCCAACCUUGUGCAAUGGGGUGCUCAUGCUGUCGUGCCUGUUGAGGGACCUGGUAUACAAAGGCAGGAGAAACGACCUGUACUGGGUGUCAAGCUACUAGACUGGGUAUAAACACAGAAAGGGUGAGAGUAUUUUGGGUACAACAAGUAUGAAAGGAUGCAGCAUUUGCAAAAUAAAUUUAAAGUAUGCUUUACACAGUAUAAGGGGUGAUGUCACAGCACAACGAGGAAUCUAACAGGGGAGAGGUGGAAGUCACCUCUCACUCCUCCCCAUAUGACCACCACACCGGCAAGGACAGGGCGCUUUAGAGAGGCGUGUUGGUGAUGGAGGAGGGACAUGCGGACACCCAAGUCCUAAAAAACGCAUACAACCCGCCGGAUCACCCUCAGAAGCUGACUCGACAGGCAGGUGGCAGAACUGUAUAACUUGCAGAUAUAAAACCUCUGAGGAGCGAUGAACCCCUUGACUACUGGGUGUUCAGGCUUGACCUGUGGCCUGAGCUAUCCCAAUUUGCGAUAGAACUUCUGGCCUGCCCCGCUUCAAGUGUCCUGUCAGAAAGGACCUUCAGUGCAGCAGGGGGUAUUGUCACUGAGAAGAGAAGUCGCCUAGGUCAAAAAAGUCUAGAUUACCUCACCUUUAUUAAGAUGAAUGAGGGAUGGAUCCCGAAGGGACUGACACUGGGCGAUACAUUAGAUUAAAAAAGGCCUGAUGAGAUGAGCUGCCUUGGGCUAAAAAUGGUCCACACGCUGCUGUAUUUUGGCUCUGAAUGCCUGUUGACUUGCGUGACUGAUCCGCCACCAACUUGGGUUCAAGCCGCCAUCUUUUAGGGCACUUUCUGCCUGUGAAACAAACAUCAGUUAUAGAUUGAAUAGCGGUUAGUUGUCUCAAAGCGGGUGUGUCAGCCCUACAGCGUGUACUCUGCCAGUACGCUGCCACCUCCUCUACUCCUCCUACUCCAUCCUCUUCCAUAACCUCCUUGGCUUAGUCCUCUUCUGCUGCUGCGUCUUGCUCCACAUCAACGGAUAGGGGGCGUAACAGUGAUUAAACUGAUAACAGUAGUACUAAACACACCACUCACUCACUGGUGUCACAAUAGCUUGGAUUUAAAAACAAAAAAAUUUUUUCACUGUUAUAGAUUGAAUAGCAGUUAGUUAUCUUCAAGCAGAUGUGUCAGCCCUACAGCGUGUACUCUGCCAGUACGCUGCCACCUCCUCUACUCCUCCUCUAAACCACUCUUCCACCGCCUCCUCGGCUUAGUCCUCUUCUGCUGCUGCGUCUUGCUCCACAUUAGCGGAUGAGGCGUAACAGUGAUUAAACUGAUAACAAUAAUUUAAACACACCACUCACUCUGUUGUCUGUAAGCUUGGAUUUAAAGAAACAGUAUUUUUUUUCACUGUAUAGAUUGAAUAGCAGUUAGUUAUCUUCAAGCAGGUGUGUCCAACCCUGGCGUGUGCUGCUAUGGCUGCCACCUCCUCUCUACUCCUCCUACUCCAUCCUCUUCCAUAACCUCCUCGGCUGAGUCCUCUUCUGCUGCUGCGUCUUGCUCCACAUCAACGGAUAGGGGAAGUAACAGUGAUUAAACUGAUAACAAUAGUACUAAACACACCACUCCUAUCUGGUGUCCUGGUAAGCUUGGAUUUAAAAACGAGAAUUUAUUUUUUCCACUGUUAUAGAUUGAAUAGCAGUUAGUUAUCUUCAAGCAGGUGUGUCAGCCCUGGCGUGUACUGCCAGUGCGCUGCCACCUCCUCUACUCCUCCUACUCCAUCCUCUUCCAUAACCUCCUCGGCUUAGUCCUCUUCUGCUGCUGCGUCUUGCUCCACAUCAACGGAUAGGGGGCGUAACAGUGAUUAAGCUGAUAACAAUAGUACUAAACACACCACUCCUAUCUGGUGGCACAUUAGAUUGCACGCGCAGUGCCCCAAAUUUGUUGUGAUCUGUGAGUAAGGUAAACGGUUGUCCAUACAAGUAGGUUGCAGCUUUUUGAGGGCCCACACCACCGCUAUGCACUCCCUUUCAAUGGCAGUGAAUAUACUUCGCUGUGCAAAAGUUUACGGCUUAGAUAAGCCCCGGGUUGCUAGCCACCAUCUGCUCCGACUUAGCUCAAUACUGCUCCCAAUCCAAGCAUAGAAGCGUCUGUAUGGACGAGAAAGUGUUUAGUUGGAUCAGGAGAAGAAAGUACAGGUGAUUUAAUGAGCGCCGUCUUGAGCUGUUGGAAGGCCUGUUCACAUUCUGGGGCCAUACUACUAUCUUGGGGAGGUUUUUACACGUUCCUAUAUGGCACUUACUGGGCUUUAGGGUCAGUCCGGACUCCCUAAUCCGGUCUAUUACGGCUCCUAUGUGGGUCAGGUGUUCGGGCCGGGAGCUGCUAAAAAUGUCUAUACCAUUCAAGUAGGUGUGUAUCAGUGUGUAUCAGGGGAUCCUUAGGACGGGUGUCAAUCCAUAUGCUGCCAAGAGUGACCCUAUGUUGGGGUAACAUUCCCUAUUCUGAUCUGUGUCGGUGUGUAUCAGGGAUCCUUAGGACAGGUGUCAAUCCAUAUCUGCCAAGUGACCCGAUGUUGGGGUAACAUUCCCUAUUCUGCUCUGUGUCAGUGUGUAUCAGGACCACUGAUAGGAGACGCGGAAGGUAUUAAACUGAUAAAAAUGGUACUAAACACUCCACUCCUAUCUGGUGUCACAUUAGCUUGACAGCGCAGUGCCCCAAAUUUGCAGUAAGAGGACCGACCAAGCCUCUUCUUCCAUCUCCCUAUUACAAAAAUCAAUGCCGUGUACACGACCACUGAUAGGAGACGCGGAAGGUAUUAAACUGAUCAGAACAAUACUAAACACACCACUCCUAUCUGGUGGCACAUUAGCUUGACCGCGCAGUGCCCCAAAUUUGAAUUAAGAGGACCGACCAAGCAUCUUCUUCCAUCUCCCUGUUACAAAAAUCAAUGCGGUGUACACGACCACUGAUAGGAGACGCGGAAGGUAUUAAACUGAUCAGAACAAUACUAAACACACCACUCCUAUCUGGUGGCACAUUAGCUUGACCGCGCAGUGCCCCAAAUUUGAAUUAAGAGGACCGACCAAGCAUCUUCUUCCAUCUCCCUGUUACAGCAAUCACUGCCAUAUCCAUACAAAUUGUACAGAAUGUCCAGGAUAGUUUUCCAGGGACAAAUGUUGUCGCCUGUUGAGCGAGGUGACCUUGCUCGGGUCCCAGGUGUGCGGUUCCUAAAAUGGCUGCCAUAUACACGUCCACUGAUAGGAGACGCGAAAGGUAUUAAACUGAUCAGAACAAUACUAAACACACCACAAAUAAGGUUUCUCUCCUGUAUGGCUCCUCAAAUGAUGCUUAAGAUUAGAAGUGGCUGAAAAGCAUUUCUCACACUCCGAACAAAAAUAUAAUUUUUUAACAUUCUCUCCACUUUGAACGAAAUGACGUUUGGGAAGAGAUUAACAUAAUUAAACACAGGCAGUAAAAAUACAGUUUUUAGCCAUACCCUGUAACUUUAAAACUACACAUCCAUCUUCAUAAUUACAUAUUUGGAAUCAGCACACUUAAAACAUAAACAUAACCAAAAAUCAGCCAAAUCCAUCCAGGGGUUAAAAAGUUAGCUGGAGGUCCCUUUAUGACCGACCGCAAGCAAAUUUUCAUGCCCAAAACAGUUCCAUAGAUUUGGGCUGUGAGGUCAGUCUAUUUCAGGCUGAAAAAACGACUAAGUCCCAUCGCGAAUAGGACUUAGUCUCUGCAGCUGAAAUAAGGCUGAAAAAAACGGCUGAAAAAAAGACUAAGUCCCAUCGCCGAAUGGGACUUAGUCUCUGCAGCUGAAAUAAGGCUGAAAAAACGGCUGAAAAAAAGACUAAGUCCCAUCGCUGAAUGGGACUUAGUCUCUGCAGCUGAAAUAAGGCUGAAAAAAGCGGCUGAAAAAAAGACUAAGUCCCAUCGCCGAAUGGGACUUAGUCUCUGCAGCUGAAAUAAUUUCCCAUUUACUGAACCAAGUGGGAAAUAGCAAGGCAGGCACAAAGGGUUUGCACCAGGUCUGGGGACACAGGGGACACCGUCUUAAAGGGGGCGUGUCCCCAACAAGUCUGGGGACACGGCCUUAAAGGGGCAGUGUCCCAAUCUUCCUGAUGUCCCAAAAAAGGUGUUUAAAGGGCCAGCACCAGUCACAUAAAGAGUCCAUAAGCCCCAAUAUGCCCACCGACAGUCUUAAAGGCCAUACACACCAAAUAAAAGUGCAUACAUUUUCACAAUCUCCCAGGGGCCAUAGUCAUGCGGGAGGAGGCUGGCAAAGAGGCUUCUCCACAACCCAGGGAAACAGGGCAAUUUGCCAUUUAAAGGGCCCGUUACAAAUAGCAGUUUGUAACAAGGUGUCAAUCCAUAUCUGCCAAGUGACCCGAUGUAGGGGGAACAGUCCCUAUUCUGCUCUGUGUCAGUGUGUAUCAGGGGCUCUGAGGACAGGUGUCAAUCCAUAUGUCAAGGUGUCAAUAUGUCAUAUGUCAGGUGUCAAUCCAUAUUGAUUGUGAUUUAGGAAUGUUAGGUGAUUUCUGCCCUUUAUGGAUUAAAACCAGACUCUGUAUCAACUGUGUAAUUUUCCAUGGGAGUUUUGCCAUGGAUCCCCCUCCGGCAUGCCACAGUCCAGGUGUUAGUCCCCUUGAAACAACUUUUCCAUCCCUAUUGUGGCCAGAAAGAGUCCCUGUGUGUUUUAAAAUUCGCCUCCCCAUUGAAGUCAAUGGCGUUUCGGGCGGUUCGCCGGUUCGCGAACAUUUGCGGAAGUUCGCGUUAGCCGUUCGCGAACCGAAAAUUUCGGGUUCGCGACAUCACUACUGAUCAAUUGGGGGUCCCCAGCAAUGAAUAACUCCCAUAAUUUUUGUUGUCCUCUACAUCUGUAUGUAUGUUUGUUUUUUCUUUUGUUUCUAUAUUUUAUCUGUCUCACCAUUAUCUCGUAACACUCCAGUUUAAAGAGGACCUUAGUAUGUAUUGUUAUAUAUAUGUAUAUAUAUAUAUAUAUAUAUAUAUAUAUAUAUAUAUAUUUUUAGUCAUACUAAGGAUAAGCCUCUAAAUUCAUUCAUUACAGUCAGGUGGGCCAAAUUCCAAAUAAUUUUUGUUUUUAUUAGUUUAGCACGCCUGCACUGCCAGCUAUGUUUUAUUUUUUGAUGCUGGAUUAAUAAUUAUAAAUUCAUAGAUUAAGUGAAUUGUUGCCAACGUGAGGCUUAUAUUUGAUCACACUGGAGAGAUGUGAUAGUGUAACUUUCUGUUGGUUUACAACAGUAAAAACUUUAAAAGCAUUUUUUUUUAAAUUUGGUUCCCAACAAAUAUAACCUCAAGUUGAUUUUUUAUUUUGAUUUUUGAAUAGCAACAGACAGUUUUCUAUAGAUUGCACGCUGCCAAACUGUGUAAUGGUAGCAUUCAAUCUACUUUUUUUUUCUUCUCUCUCCAUCUUUGAUGCUUUGGUUUUUUUUUUGUCAUUAAGAAUAUAGGGAAAUUAGAUUGCUUUGAGUGAAGAUGGCAUAAAUAAUAAAGUGAAAAUGUAUGCUAUUUGUUCUAAUUGGCUAUCCGCAGGGGGUUAAAUAGUUAUGGGUAUGAGAAUUUGCACCUACGUUCAAUUGCGAAUACAUUUUUCACCCUUAGAUCUUUCCCACUCACAUUCAUGUAUAAUAAUUUACGGUUUAAACUAUGUACAUUUUGUGAUUAUUGCAUGUAUUCAUCAGUAAAUUAUAAAAUAACUAAUAUGGUUUUGUGUUCAACUCUCCAUCAGGUGUGGAGUAAAUGUCUAAAUUAAUCAAAAUUUCAGGAGACAUUUGUGGGUCUUUUACAUACCUCUAAAAUGUAAACAUAGCCUUAAGACACCACAACCAAAUAGAUUUUAUUAGACAAAACUAGUUAAGCCUUUGACACAAGACAAUAUGCUGAUUACUGUUGUACAUAUUUCAUUGUCUGUGUUUGAUUCAAAGAACAUUUUAAUUGGAAGGCCCAGAGAGGCGAAGGUAACUGACAUGUCCUGUCACAGUUUACUAUACAGAUGAAGAGGUGCUGGGAUUACACGUCAAACUAUUAUCCUGAAAAUGGAUACUAUACAAAUGAAGAAGUGCUGAGAUUACCAAGUCAAACUAUUAACACAGCCCAGAAUGAGGGUAAAGUAACAGCAAGAAGCAGGAAUUUGUGUCAUUUCAAGGUGGUCACAGAAUGAGUUUACCCUACACUCAUGAACUUGCAUGUGUCAUUAAACCUACAAACCUCAAGCUUUGUAAUGGAUUGGCAAAGACAAUAUUCAAGGAGAGUUCAUUCUAAAAUCACAGCUAUCAAGCACACAGAUCAGUCACAGUCUUCAGAUUCCAGUCCCAGGCGAAAUUAAACAUCAUAUUGUGUCAUAAACUAGUGAUAAUUACUGUAUGGGGUUGAUUGCGUCUAGAUAUUACUACUUCACAUGAACACAUUACCAUAUAAUAUUAAUGAACAACUACCAGGGUUCUUACCAACCCACUUGGGCAGUGGUUAAUUUAAAAACGGAACAACUGAAAACAAUUGAAAUUGGGGGAAUGUGGGGUGAUGCAACCCCUGUUUGACUAUAUUCUCUCACUUUUAAAUGUGCUCAACAUAAGAGAAAAAAAAGUGAGGGAAUGUGGUGACAUUCUGUCAUCAAACUAAUAUGGUGACCAGGGAUCAUGUGACCAAGCUCUUACAGUGGGAUAAGCUUUACCCUUUUGAAAUGUUAAUUGGUAAUUCAAUACCUUUACUAGUCAGGAAAGAGAUAACCACUUCCCCCUAUCUCCAUUCCUCUCUGUUCCUUCUUGGCUGUGCUACUGAGCAGUCCUUUAAGCAGACAUGGCCUUAUUUCUAUCAUGGUGAACUGUGAGUGGGAUUUUAUAAGAUGUAGUUGUUAUUGUUAGUUAGGUUGUUGUUGCUGUUGUUGGUGGUAUAGUUAGUUAGAUUGUGUGUCAUUAUUUGUAUGUUGUUGUUGUUUUGUCUCUGAAUAAAUAUUUGUUAAAGUAGACGGACCAGAGUUUAUAUGUGUAUGCGUACAUAAUAAUUUAUAGAGUUUGGUAAUACACCACACAGUGUGCCAAUCUCCAUGUGCUCCAAGCCUCCCAUGUCCUUUGGGUAGUUUUAUUUCGGGGCCAUAGUCUGCCAAAGCCCUGCUCGUACUUGCAUUGUGUAUCUAUUUCCAUCGCUAGGGUGGACACUGCGGGACGAUUAGGGGAUUUCCAUGCUCUUGCUAUUAGUCUUUGGGCUGAUAAUAUGACAUGGUAAAUAAGCUUCUGCAGAUGCUUAGGGACAGUGGCGUACACACAACCCAUGGGGCCCCGGUGCGAAAACUGACCCGUGGGCCCCCCCCGCUCGCUUACUCUGCAUGGGCUGGGGCCACAACACAUGGUGGCGGGCACCUGGUCGCAGGGGUCGCAGGGCUGCGACCGCGGUAUGUACACCAGUGCAUGCAGAUACACAUACACUUAAAGGACCACUAUAGACACCCAGAUCACAUCAGCUCAAUGAAGUGGUCUGGGUGCUAGUUUUAACCCUGCAGCUGAAAACAUAGGAGUUUCAGAGAAACUGCUAUGUUUCACUGAGGGUUAAUCCAGCCUCUAGUGGCUGUCUCAUUGACAGCCGCUAGAGGAGCUUCUGCGAUUCUCACUGUGAAAAUCACAGUGAGAAGACGCUGAAUGUCCAUAGGAAAGCAUUGAGUAAUGCUUUCCUAUGGGCAGUUUGAAUGCGCGCACAGCUCUUGCCACGCAUGCGCAUUCAGAGCUGAGAGGCGGAUCGGGGCGGAGAGAUCCCCACCGCCAAGGGAGUCCGGCGCUGGAGAAAGGUACGUGCUUAAGACACACACACACUCAUGAACAGAUGCAUACACACUCACUAACAGACGCACACAAACUAACACACUCAGUAACAGACACAAACAGUAACACACUCACUGACACACACACACUCUAACACACACACACACACACUCACUUUUUUUUUUUAUUUAAUCCCUGCAGCCUCCCUACCUUUGGGAGAGUGGAGGGGAUUCCCUGGGGUCCAGUGGUGUCACCCGGCGGGCGGGCAGGCUGGCGAGCACGCGAGGGAGCACUCUCCCCUGAGUGCUUUCUGUUCAGCUCCCUCGUGCGCCGCGUACUGAUACCGGAGCCGGAAGAUGACGUCAUAUUCCGGCUCCGGUAUCAGUAUGCGGUGCGUGAGGAAGCUGAAGAGGGAGCACACAGGGGAGAGUGCUUUCUCGUGCACCCGCCAGCCUGCCUGCCGGGUGACACCAGGGCCAGCCUCGGGGGGCCCUGAGGUGGCCGGCUUCUGGGCCCCCCAGGAGAAGAGGCUGACCACAGUGGGUACAUACCGGGUUGCAGGGCGGCCGGGCCCGCUGGUGGGCCGGGCCCGGUCACAGCCGUGACCCCUGCGACCACGGUAUGUACGCCACUGCUUAGGGAGACCGUCUUGCAGGAGCAUGGUUAGAUACGUGCUAGGUUGUAGGGGCAAUUUGGUUGCAGUCAAGGAGGUCAGCAUGGUGUGAACCCCUCUCCAAAAUGGUUGGAUAUUCGGACAUUGCCACCAGAUGUGGAGCAUUGUUCCUUCUUGGUUGUCACAACUCCAGCAAUUUGGCAAGCUAUCGGGGUAUAUCUUUUAGAUGCGCGUUGGUACCAUGUACCAUCUAUAGAUUGUUUUUCUCUGCUGUUCCAGUAGGGUAGCAGACUUAAUUAGGGAUUUAGUCGUGGUGAACAGUUGGUCCCAUCUCUGCUGGGAGACCUCAAUCCCUAGGUCCACGCUCCACUGCUGGGAAGGUGGCGACAUAUGGAAAGGGAGGUUGCUUAAUAUUAACCCCUUAAGGACACAGCUUCAGAAGCUUGACUUACGCUUAAUGACACAAGCAAUUUUUGCAUUUUCUUGCUGUUUGCGUUCAACUGCAAUUUGCAUCUCUCUCAUUUAUUGCACCGACACAUAUUAUAUACUGUUUUUUAAAGGACAGAAAGGGCUUUAAUUUGGUAUAACAUAUAUAUAUAUAAAUGCUUACUUAUUAUAAAAAAAAUACAGAAAAAUGCAAAAAAAAUGAAAAAUAUUGGGGUUUUUUACAGUUUUUGCAAUAAUAAUGUGUGCAUAAUUAGUGCAGGUUAAGGAAAGUAAUUAAAAAUAAAUUUAUUUAUUUGUUCUGAUUUACAGAAUAUAUAAUGUGUCUGGGAUUUUAAGUUUUUUUUGGUAGUUACAGGUCACAAAGCACAAGGAGUAAAAUAAACUUUUAAUGUGGAGCGAUUUUAGAAUUUGGUAUGUUUGUCUUGUAAGCUUAAUAGCCAUAAAAGAAAACAAAAUUGCCACACAAAAGUAUAUAUUUAUAUAAAGUAGACAUCACGGGCUAUUUACCUAAGGUUGUUUUGACACUUUCUACGUAGCCAUUUCACCGCCAACCUCUGCUAAAUAUUGGAGUAAAAUUGUGUUCUUUUUGGUUUUUGGCACACAAACUUAUAACAGAGAAAUUCUCGUGUAUAUUUUGUAAAGUUGGUGUGUGCUAUUCCUGUACAAAGUUUUAUUUUGUGUUCAGUUACAUCUGCUGAGUAAAAUGACACCCCCAUUGUAUGUCUUUUGCACUAUUUCGUGAAGUUACAGUGCCAUACAGGAUACCUGUCCUUUUCAGUAUUCACAGUAGAAUUUUGAGAGAUGGAUUUAAUGAGCCUUAGCUUCCAUUUUGGGGUAUUAUAACAGUUUGACUGUUCAAAAAACCCCCACAAAGGCCUACCAUUUGUAAAAGUAGACACUCCAGGGUAUCUUAUAAGGUGCAUAUUGUGCCUUAACAUGCCCCCAUUUUUUCACCAAUAUAUGCCAAAGUAUGUGGUAAAAAAUAAUUUUGUGCAUUUUUUACAUACGGAUUGCAUUUUUGCUGGGCGUUUUGUAUAUUUCAUAUGUGCCACUAAGUUCAAACCCCCCAAAUUAUGCUCAGCUAAGUCUUCUGAGUAAAAUGACACCCCAUAUGAAUGUCUUUGGCACUAUUUCGUGAAGCUACAGUGCCAUAUAGGAGACCAAGCCAUAUCCGUUUUUACCAAACUUUGAAUUUUGACGCUGGGCCUAUGUGCAAUUUCCAAGCAUCUUCGCAGGUUUUAAAUUCUACCCCACAAAGGCCUACCAUUUCUUAAAGUAGACACCCCAGGGUGUUUCAAAAGGUAUAGUUUGAACCUUAGCGUGGGAUCAUUUUUCCGCUAGCUUGUACCAGAUGUAGUGGUAAUAAGCGUUUUUUCUGCCUUUUUGACAUACAAAGUGAGUUUGCACAGUAUAUUUUGCAAACCUUAUGUGUGCUACGACUGUAUAAUACUUCAUAUGUUGCUCAGCUAUGUCGGCUGAGUACAGCAAUACCCCCGUAUGUACCUUUGCCAGGUAUGUGUGGACAUCGGAGGGGCACAUUUGGGACACAGCCAUUCCAGUUUUUUUCAAACUUUGAAUUUUUAUGCUGUGCCUAUGUCCCAUUUUAGAGUAUUUUACCAGGCUAUAUAAUCCAAAUUCCCCAUAAAGCCAUACCAUUUCUUAAAGAAGACAUCCCAGGGUAUUUCAAAAGGCAUAUUUUGAACCUUAGCGUGGGAUCAUUUUUCCGCUAGCUUGUACCAAGUGUAGUGGUAAUAAGCAUUUUUUCUGCCUUUUUGACAUACAAAGUGAGUUUGCGCAGCAUAUUUUGCAAACCUUAUGUGUGCUAUGACUGUAUAAUACUUCAUAUGUUGCUCAGCUAUGUCGGCUGAGUACAGCAAUACCCCCGUAUGUACCUUUGCCAGGUAUAUGUGGAUGUUGAAGGGGCGCAUUUGAGACGCAGCCAUUCAGUUUUUUUCUAACUUUGAAGUUUUACGCUGUGUCCAUGUUCCAAUUUGGAGUAGUUUAGACGGUUGGUUAUUGAAACUUCCCCACAAACACAUACUAUUUAUUAAAGAAUACACCCUGGGGUAAUUCAAAAGGCAUAUUUUGAACCUUGGCGUGGGAUAAUUUUUUCUCUAGUUUGCUCCAGGUGUAGUGGUAAUGAGCGUUUUUAAAAUGUAUUUUUUUACUUUUUAUAACUUUUUUACUUUUAAAAACUAGUUUUUAAACUUUUGUUUUGCUUAUAAAUUUUUUUUAAACUUUCCUAAACUUUCUUAAAACUUUUUUACAGAUUUAACAUUUUUCUAAGCUUUUUUUUUUACCGUUAACCCCUAACUAGCAGUACGCAGCAGUAACAGUAAAUUCCCCAUUUUCCCAUAACUCCCACCCACCCCAGCUAGCAAAAUAUAUAGUUAUAAAAUAUUUAAAUUAAUUAAUUAAAUAAAUUGAACCCCUGAGGGUUAAAAAAAUAAAUAAAAGUUAAUCCUCAGGGGUUAAAAAAAAUUAGAUCACAGUAUAAUACUGUGAUCUCUAUUUGAUCGCUGUAGGCAGUGAUCGACUGGCAGGGAAGGGGUUAAUUUUUAUUUGGACUAGGUAAAGUGUGUUUUUUUUGUUUUUUUUACUUAAAUGUUAUUAAAACAUUUUUUUAAGCUUAAUUUGUAACUUUUUAAAGUUUCUUUUAAAACUUUUUUUUAACGUUAACCCCUAGUUAGCCUAACGCCAAAUCCCCCAAUUCCCCACUAACUUCCACCUACCCCAGCUAGCUAAAUAUAUAAUUAAAAAAUAAUUUAAUUAAUUAAUUUAAUUAAUUUAACCCCUGAGGGUUAAAAAAAAAAAGAAUUAACCCUCAGGGGUUAAAAAAAAAAAUCAGAUCAUAGUAAAAUGUAAUCCCUGCCAAUUGAUCACUGUAGUCAGUGAUCAAUUGGCAGGGAAGGGGUUAAUUUUUUAUUAAAAUGGGUAAGGGGGGGGGACUUUAAAUAAACUUUAUUUUUUUUUACAGCAGGGGGCAGGAUCAGCACUGAUCCGGCUCCCUGCACUUCACACAGAACCCGGAAGUGCAGGGAGCCGGUAGGUGAGUAUAGAGAGCACAUGUGCUCGCUCAGACUUGCGGUCAGAGUGAGCACAUGUGCUGGGCAGACUGACCGGGUGCUCCCGGUAUGCCUCUAAUGCAGAGGCAUACCGGGAGCACCAUUAACCCCGCGAUCGCCGCGAUAGCGGCGAUCCGGGGUUAAUUUUACCGCGUGACGGACGAGGUCCGUCACCCGUCGUUAAGGGUCUCCCCUCUGUGACGGACCUCGUCCGUCACCCGUCCUGAAGGGGUUAACUUGUAGCACAUGGAGAUUGGCUUAAUUUGCGGAGGUAACCUUGUGUUUAUACAUAUCUGUUCCCACACAGUGAGUGUUUGUGUGGGAGUGGUUGCAGGGGGGCUAGUGCCUGUCCUCGUGUGAGGAAGGAUUUUAGUUGGAGAUAGGAGAACUGUGAGAUACUCGGCAGGUUGUGACUGUCCUGCAGGUGUUGGAAGUCUAUGAGUUUCCCCUGUGCCUGAGCUUGCCAAGGUUUAUCGUGAAAGGUGGGGAUGCAGUAUGAAAGGGCCCCAAUAGGGGUGGCCAAGGAGAGAGUCAGAGAGUCAGGGUGAUCUGGGGUGGUGCUGAUAGCAAGGGUGGUCUGAGCUGUUUUGGCAGCCAGAACAUGCUGGGGAAGUCGAAGGGCUGUAGCCAAUUGCUCUCUAUGUUUACCCACUGGGGCCAGGGACCGGUGAGGAAGUGGGGUAUCGCCAAGGCCAGUACCGAGACAUGGAAAUAGGCCUCGAUAUCUGGAGUCCCCCUGCCUUUGUUGGAGGCCGGAGCAUUUUCAUGGUUACUCUCGGUUGGAAGCCUGCCCAUACGAAUGUGGACAUGUCUUUGUGAACCGCUUUAAAGUAGGCCUGAGGGAGCUGUAUGGGUAGUGUGCGGAAAAGAUAUUGUAGUUUUGGUAGAAUGGACAUUUUGAAUGCAUCUAUUCGCUCCGUCCAGGUCAUGUACAGCAAGCCCCAACGCUGGAGGAUGAGUUUGCAUUUGUUCCAUACCCUUAUGUAAUUCCCCGAGUAUAAGUAUGUCGCCUGUUUAGUGAAUAACACUCCUAGGUAUUUAAUAUUGUCUCUGCACCACUCAAACGGGUAUUUGGUGCGGAGGGCCUCUCGAACAGGGUUUGGUAACCCUAUAGCUAAAGCUUGAGUCUUGGUUUUAUUUAGGGAGUAGUAUGAAGUAGGCCAUAUUCCCGGAUGAGAUCCAUGAGCGGUGGUAUGGAGGGCUCGGGGCGGGAGACGUAGGAGUAUGUCAUCUGCAAAUGCACUUAUUUUGGUUUCCUUUCCGCUUACUUCUAUUCCGCAGAUAUCUGGGUAGUCCCUAACCGUGCAUAAGAUGGGCUCCAAGGCUAGGACAUAUAAUAACGGGGAAAGUGGGCACCCUUGCCUAGUUCCAUUGCUUAUCGGAAAGGGUCGGGACAGAAAACCUGCUUGCAUGACUUGGGCUGUUAGGGCUCAGUACAGGGCAAAUAGUUGGCCAGUGACUUGUGGGGUGACUUAGUUAAUACGUGUUUCAGGAAGGACCAGCUGAGGCAGUUGAACGCUUUCUCCGCGUCUAACACCAAGAGCAGUCCGCCUCCGCCGGUCCCCCGGAGCUUCUCCAUUACCAAGGAGAAUUUGCGUGUAUUGUCAGAGCCUUGUCUGCUCUGGACAAACCCCGUUUGGUUGUCCACUAUCAGUGUCGGUAGUAUGGGGCUCAGUCUAUUAGCCAGAAUUUUGGCAUAUAUCUUCACGUCUGUAUUCAGAAGCGAGAUGGGGUGGAAGUUUUUGCAUAGGUCGGCAAGUUUAUCUGGUUUGGGGAUUGUUACUAUGGUGGCUAGUAGCAUCUCCGGUGGGAGAGAGUUGGUUUUGACGGCCUCCAGGUAUACUCUAAGGAGGUGGGGUGCUAGGUCUUCCGCUUAUGCUUUAUAAUAGGCAUUGGUAAACCCAUCAAUCCCCGUGGAUUUGCCAGGUGGCAGGGCCUUAAUAGCUGAGAGGACUUCCUCUAGUGUUAUGGGUUGCAGGAGCUGUUCUGUAUGUGCUUAUGAGAUGUUGGGGAGUUGGAUUCCGGAUAGGUACUGGAAGAUGCCCGUGUCAUUUGGGUAGUGUAUCGUGGUAUCCUGUUGGAGGUUGUAAAGUUUUGAAUAAAAGUUUGUGAACUCUUGGGCAAUGUCCUCUGUGUUUACAACUUUCUCACCUACGUCCGCUAAGCGGACAUAUAGUUUGGACAGUUUAUUCGCCAGUUCCUUUGAGGGUUGUAUUUUAUUCAGAGAGUUUACUAGUGCAAUUUGCUUGUGGCACUCUAGGGUGCUAGAGAUUUGAAGUUUUUUGAGGAAAGAGGAGUGGCGUAUCAUAUGGCCUCUUAUGACCGCCUUAUGAGUGGACCAGACAGUUGAGUCAGACAUUUCUGCCGUCGCAUUAGUCCUAAAGUAUUCCUGGAUUUCCCUUCGGAUAGUGGCUGCGAAUUCUGGGUCCGAAAGCAGGGAGUCAUUGAGACGCCCCGUCCCUUUCCCUUUAAAUUGGAAGAGAUCAAAUAGUUCAAGGGUGACUGGGGCAUGGUCUGACCAGGUAAUCUCUCCUAUGGAGCAUCCAGAGAGUUGUGCUAGUGAGGCUCUAUCUACUAAGAAAGCGUCUAUCCGCUAGAGUAAAACGUAUAAUCUCGCUCAGUGGGGUGAAGUGUCCUCCAGGCGUCAUACAGGUCGUAGUGGGAUAGGAGUUUAGUGAGAGCUUUAGCGACUCUUUCUCUAGUGCUAUGUGUUCGGCCUGAAGUGUGGGUCGAUGUAUCGAGGUUAGUCUGUGAAAUUUAAAUCGCCACAUAGGAGUAGGUUGCCCUGUUUGUAUUUGUCAAGUUUGGUGAGCAUGGAAUGAAGAUAGGACUUGGAAUUGUCAUUGGGGAAGUAGGCUGUAGCCAACAUAUACUGUGUGUUAUUAAUCAGCCCCAUGAGGAUGAAAUAUCACUCGUUGGGGUCUAUGUGUUGUUGGUGGAGUUGUUGAGCUACAUCUCUGUGGAUGAAAAUGGAGACCCCUCGGGUUUUGCUGUCCGACAGCGAGUGGUAUUGGACGGGGUAAUGUUUAGUGAAUAGGGCCGGUGUGUGUCCUUUCUUAAAGUGGGUUUCUUGUAUGCAAGCUAUUUGGUUUUUCUUGAGGUCUCUGAGUAAAAGCCUUUGUUUACUAGGGGUAUUCAACCCUUUAACAUUGUAAGUAAUGAUUUUCAUACUCUAGGAUAAAGGUUAAGUGGGGUUCCUUAAGGUUCAUGUUUGCAAUCUCAACCUGUAUCGGGGUCAACUGAUUUUCCCAGAUCUGGGGAGGGCCUUGGACACUCUCCAACUGCGAUUUCCAGCGGGCACAUGUUGUCUGCAGUACAUUCAGGAUUGUAGUGAUUCUGUCUCUGAAUGUGGUAGGGGUCGGUACUGUAUCUGUUUUAUAGAAGUUUUGGGAGUUGCUAGUAAUGCUGCACUUACGGGGGGCAGGGACAGAAUGGGUGGAGGGGGGAAAGAGGGUACAUGGGGGGGAAGAACUUGGGGGUAAGAUGCCCAACUAGGUUCACCUAGAGUGAACCAAGGAGCGCCAAGUGGGACUUGGCCGCCGAUACCAGGGGACGUGGUGGUGAGCAUCGGCUCAAUAUUGAGAGCUCACCUUGGAGGAGCAAGUGGAGAACUAUUAAACAAUAACAUUUAUUCAGGGUAAUAGGUACCUAUUGUGUUUGUUUAUUUAUUUAUAUAUAUAUACACUUUUUUUUUUUUAAUGAGCUUCAGGGAUGGGCUUACGUAGCCAAGCUUUAAUACCUGGGAGGGGACUCUGUGGCUGUCAUAGUCAAUACAUGACUUCGGAGUGGUAGUUACUGUUGUGUAUACAGUAAGCAAUAAAACAAGGGGGAGCGCGCCCACCUUAAAGGCUCUUGAGGUCUUGGGCUUAGUGGUUCGGGAGGAAGUUGUAGCCUUACUGUCCACAUGAGGCCGGGCGAGACUACCCCUUGUGUAGAGGGGUCAGGGCAUGUGUUUACUGGAUCUCUUGGAUCUAGAUGCCUAUUAGCCCUGGGCUAGUGUGGGUAGGGCAGUUGGUUUAGCAAGGCAGUAUUCAUAUCAUGGGAGUUAUCUUUGGGAGUAGUAGUGCGAGUGACAACUAGCCCGUAGUACUUGGCCCCCAGUGUCCGAACCCAGGGUUGGUUUGAGGGUCCUAACUAUGAGGGAAACAGCGGGUCCAUAGUGCGAUAUGUCUAUAUAGCAUACCGGGGACCUAUUGUUAACCGGGCCCAAUGGGAGAAAUAGCAGGUACAUAACAUUAAGUAACAACAUAUAUAGCAGGUGAAUUAUUAUAUCGUUCGUGAUGGUUUUAUACUUGCUGUGGUCAGGCCGCUUCAGGUAAUUGUCCACUCCGGCACCAUCCGUGGCAUGUUAUGGGAGCGAUGUUCCGUGGCAGCAGGUAGUACCAGGCCUUAAGCUUCUCGAUGCCUGCCGCAAGAGANNNNNNNNNNNNNNNNNNNNNNNNNNNNNNNNNNNNNNNNNNNNNNNNNNNNNNNNNNNNNNNNNNNNNNNNNNNNNNNNNNNNNNNNNNNNNNNNNNNNUGAGAUUCUAUGCAGUGCAUCCUUGUGGCUGACAAGCAGCUUUGCGGGGAAUCCCCAUCGUUACACUACUCCCUGUGCCCUUAGUGCGGUCGUCAUUGGUGACAUGCUCUUUCUGAAUUGGAGGGUUGCGGCUGAUAGAUCCGUGAAAACCUUCAGCUGUUGGUAGGGUUCCGGCAUCUCCACCGCUCUGCGUGGUCGCACUAGCCUCUCCUUAGCAUGGAAAAAAUGCACUCGGACAAUGACAUCCCUGGCUGUUGUGCUGGAGGGCGUCUGAGUCGAUGGGCCUGUCAAUGAGGAGCUGGUCUGGGUGGGUCUCAGGCGUGAGAGCUUGGAAAAAAUCCAGCAGGUAGGAGUUAAGUGCAGAGGGGUGGACCCCUCUUAUUCGCAGGUUAUUCCUCCGAGUCAGGUCCUCCAUAUCUGUGUAACGAGAAUAUACCCCUACACGCAGGAUCCAGCUAAACAGAGGCAGAUACAGAGGAGAGAUACGUCUACCGGACCUUAGAAUGGCCGGACUCGACGUAUAUGAGAGGAGACAGAGCCAGGAACAAACCGAGGUCAAGGGCACAGAGAGACAGCGUAAACUAGGACAAGCCGGGGUCUGGUACACGGAAAACAGCAAGCCGGCAAACAGUACAGAUAAGGAUAAAGCGAAAACGAAGUCAGAAUACGAAGCCAAAGUCAAUACGAGAAAACACAACUGAACACCACAAGCGCUAAAGGGAACUGAAACAGAAACCACGAUAGGGCAACGAGCUAAGGGAAAAAGGUAAGUUUAAAUAGCCUUUAAACGAAAGUGAUUGGCUCCUGUCACUUCCACACCCCCCAUAGGUAAUUGUAUAGGGAGUGUGGUAUGACAGGAGCCAAUGGGAGCCUUUUGGCAAUUAGGCUCCCACUGUCUCUUUAAGAGCGCGCCCGAGACUCGCGGCGCGCUCUUAGUUUCAGGCGGGACACGUGACCGCUUCACGCGGUCACUGCCCGCCUUCCAUCCAAAGCAGUCGGAUGAGCCGCGCGCGGCUCGUGCAGCCGCAGGACCGCGCGCGGCUUGAAGAGAGGACCGCGACCGGCCCCCGGUUAAGGUAAGUAACGCUACAGUACCCCCCCCUGAGGACACGCCCCCCGGGCGGGUAGGACCAGGCCUGGCAGGAAAACGAGAAUGGAAAGAGCGCACAAGACGGGGAGCAUGGACAGCAUCAGCCGAAAUCCAACUGUGCUCCUCAGGCCCAUAACCCUUCCAAUGUACCAAGUACUGAAGUCGACCCCUAAGGAAACGAGAGUCAAGAACAGCAGACACUUCAAACUCCUCAUGACCCUCCACCGAGAUAGGAGGGGGAGGAGGAGUAUGCCGGGUAUAGCGGUUGCGUACGAAAGGUUUCAACAAAGAGGUGUGAAAAACAUUAGGAAUACGUAGAUUCUUAGGCAGGCCUAAGGCAUAAGAAACAGGAUUAACUUUAUGUAUAAUACGAUAAGGUCCAAUGAAGCGGGGAGCCAAUUUCAUAGAAGGCACCCGGAGACGAAUAUUCCGCGUGGAAAGCAAAACCCUGUCCCCCACAACAUAGGACGGAGCUGCUCUGCGAUGCUUGUCAGCCUGAGCCUUCUGGCGAGUAGCAGAGUCCACCAAAGAACGCUGAACCUGCUCCCAAGUAUUACGCAAACCAAUCAAAGGUUGCCUCUUUUUACAGAGGAGUGUGUAUAACAAAAGUGCUCAAAAGAGUCAAAAAGUGAUUUACAGGCAGCUCAAUACACUAGUGUGGAAAUAUCCUCUAUUCCACUGAAUAAAUUUAGUAGAUAUUGGUGCGGUGUAAGUGACAAGGACCUACACCUAUAAGUGGAGCGCUCAAACACAGAUAAAUCUUACCAAAACGUAGUCUCAUUCAAUGGUAAAAUAUGGGGUACAUGUCAACAUAAAAUACAGAAAAUACAAUAUAGUGUAGACGGUACUAAAAAAUGGCUUCACAGUGAUUAUGAUAAUAUUGUGUUGAAUAUUACACUCACAUUUCAAGGAGCCUGUAUAUAGAAAACACUGGCUCCGUAUAAAGGCUUGUGUGCUGUUAUGGUAGCACCACCCUCCUACUUCGGCUUGAAGAAUUUCUCAGGAACACGAAAAAAAAGAGAAGAAAGCAAACCAAUGUGUAGACUUAUGGUGAUAGAUGGCACAGAUAUGUGUUCAAUAAAUGGGGUGCUCACCUGGUCCUGAGCCUACGAAUCCCGGCUCUAGGUAUGUGGAUUUUGUGCCAGUUUGAAUGGGGAUGGCACUACCCCUGUGAGGAUUCCUUGGAGGCUCCAAAAGGAACUUGGAUGAGGUAUUAAAUAAAAAUGGUGAAUUUAUUAGUUUAAAAUAAACAUAAAAACAAAGAUGAUAAAAGUCCUCAAAUAAAAGUCCUUUAAAAAUGGCCAAUACGCGUUUCACUCUCAAAUAGAGCUUCUUCAGUCAGCUGUAAUGUUGGUCCUCUGAAUCCUCCAUUUUAAAUGUCAUCUGGGUCUUCCCCUUUAAUGAGUUAAGUUCAUUCUGUCCAAUCAGAUUCAAUUUCACAUAAUGUGUGUGUAUGUGUGUACCUUUAAUAGGUUAAUGAUGUUGACGCCUUUAUUUGUCUAUUUUUUCAUUGGUAGGCAGCAUUGGUUGGCGGAAGUGCUUGUUUUCAACUGGGUGGUUGGCGGAAGUGACGUCAUCUAAUCAUGUGAUCGUCAUCCAGCCAAGUUAAAAAAAAAAAACUGCAAAAAGCAAAUAGGGCUGCAGAAUUGGAAUGACAGUAAAAUUGCAUGAUGUCAAAUAUUAAAUUCCUAGUGAUAUAAUAUAAAUGUUGGUGCAUAUAGACUAAUAUAUUUACAUUGUUAAAGGUGCAUACAGUGCUGUUUUUUUUUUGUUUUUUUCUUUUUUCAUUGGUGGGCAGCAUUGGUUGGCGGAAGUACUUGUUUUCACCCAGGUGGUUGGCGGAAGUGACAUCAUCUAAUCAUGUGAUCGCCAUCCAGCCAAGUAAAAAAAAAAAAAAAGCAAAAAGGGCUGCAGAAUUGAAAUGACAGUAAAAUUGCAUAAUGUCAGAUAUUACAUUCCCAGUGAUAAAAUAUAAUUUGUGGUGCAUAUAGACUAAUAUAUUUACAUUGUUAAAGGUGCAUACAGUGCCGAUGGUACAUAUAUUUUUAUACAUUAAAAAGGUGAUAUUACAUACAUAUGUGCUGGAAUAGAUAUCCUUAUUGGGUAUUUUCCCAAAAGGUGGUUAAAUCAAUAUUCUUUAAGUGGUAUUCACAAUGUUUAUAAGUUUGGGCAUAAAUAAUAUGCCACUGAUUGAAAAUGAAUAAGAAAAAUGUAUAAAAGAAAAACAAGGGUACAAAAAGAGUAGAGUGGAUUACAAUGGAUAAAUUCCAUUGAACCCCAAAAAAAGGGAGAUACCCAUUUAAAUGAAAUGGCAGAGUUCGAAGUCUAUAUUCAAACCCCGGGGCUUUAAAGUCCCGAGGUUGAAUAUCCACCUCAUCUCACUCUGUCCCAGUAAUUUAUUAAGGUCGCCUCCCCGCCAAUUCCCCUUAACCUUUUGUAUACCCAUAAAGAGUAAUUGAGUGGGAUCACUAUUGUGGGCUAGGGUGAAGUGGUGUGAUACACUGUGUCCUUCAAAUUUUUUCUUUAUAUUUCUAGUGUGUUCCUCAAUCCUAGUGUGCAAAUUCCGUUUGGUGCGUCCCACAUAUUUUAAACCGCAAGGACAUUCCAAUAAAUAUAUUACGUUGUUUGAGUAACAAGUUAUAAGUUCUUUAAUAGGGAAUUCCUCAUCGUUAUUGCAGUUCUUAAAAGUCUUAAUAUGUCUCUUUUUAUUGUUGGUGUUCCUACACGCAAGACAAGUACCACAUCCGUAAAAACCCUUUCCUUUAUUUAGGAAGGUAGUAGUUUUAGUUUUUUUAAUGUGGUUCUUUACCAAAAGUCGGUUUAAAUUAGCUGCACCCCUAAAUAUUAUCUUGGGUUUUGGUGGUAGAAUCUGGGAUAGGGCAUGGUCCUGAAGUAAAAUAGGCCAAUGUUUAUUUAGGAUUUUCCUUAAUGCCUUAUUGUUAUGGCUGUAAUUACAUACAAUAGGUAAAUUGACCUCACAUUCAUUUUGCGUUUUGUUUUUUUCUUGUAAUAAAGUGCUCUGUGAAAUUUUUAAAACUUGUGUAUAAGUGUCGUUGAGGGUCUCCUUUUUAUAGCCCUUAUCUAACAAGUCGGUAAUUAAUUUGUUAAUGCUCAUCCAGAACUGGCAUGCCCUGUGAGGAGAAUGCAGCCGGAAGAACAACGGGAUGCUGGCCAUAGACAACGUAAAAAGGGGUCUUGCCGGAAGAAUCAUGAGUGGCGUUAUUCCGAGCAAAUUCAGCCCAAGGAAGCAGGUCAGACCAAUUGUCCUGAUGGUGAGACACAAAACAACGGAGGUAUUGCUCCAGAGACUGGUUGGCACGUUCAGCAGCCCCAUUAGACUGGGGAUGAUAAGCGGAAGAAAAUGAGAGAGAAAUACCCAUUUCUGAACAAAAGGCCCUCCAGAACCUGGAAAUAAAUUGGCUACCCCUAUCGGAUACAAUAGAUACGGGAAUCCCAUGUAAUCGAAAUACUUCUCUAGCGAAGAUAUGAGCCAGUUCCUUGGAUGUGGGCAACUUGCGAAGAGACACGAAGUGAGCCAUUUUGGAGAACCGAUCCACUAUCAUCAGGAUCACUGUGUUACCAUUUGAAGGGGGUAAUUCAACAAUAAAAUCCAUGGACAGGUUAGACCAAGGUCUCUCGGGAACGGGUAACGGAUGCAACAGCCCACAAGGAACUCUACGGGAGGAUUUCAUACAGGCACAAGUAGUACAAGCACUUAUAUAGUCAGUGACAUCCUUUCGUAAGGAAUCCCACCAAAAAUACCGAGAAACAGCUGACACCGUUUUGGAAAUACCAGGAUGUCCAGCAGUCUUAGUAUCAUGAUAUAAUGACAUAAUAUCCCGUCUCUCAGGAACAUCAACGAACAGUUUAUCAUUAGGCCUCUCGCUAGGUGCCAUGCUUUGUUUCGCUUGUAUGGCCUGCAAGAGGGACGAGGAAAUAGACAAAAUAGUAGUAGCUAUUAUCCUGUCUGGGGGAAUGACAGGAGUAACAUCAAUCUCCUGUUUGUCAGUAGUUUCGAACUGUCUGGACAGAGCGUCUGCUUUAGUGUUGCGAUCACCUGGCCUAUAGGUGAUAAUAAAAUUGAAACGGGACAAAAAUAGUGACCACCUAGCCUGCCUGGAAGACAAUCUUUUGGCUUCGCUAAGGUAGGAUAGGUUCUUGUGAUCCGUAAAAAUGAGGAUAGGAUCCUUAGUUCCUUCUAACAAAUGUCUCCACUCUUUAAGUGCUAAAAUAAUAGCAAGGAGUUCGCGAUUACCCACAUCAUAAUUUUUCUCUGCUUUGGACAUUUGUUUAGAAAAGAAGCCGCAUGGAUGCAAUGGCUUCUCAGGCGACUCUCUUUGGGAUAAGACAGCACCUACCCCAAUAUCCGAAGCAUCAACUUCAAGAAUAUAGGGCAGUGAGGGGACAGGAUGCUGUAAAAUAGGUGCAGAGGCGAACGUAGUUUUAAGAAAUUCAAAAGCCUGAAGUGCCUCGGUAGACCAAACACGAGUAUUGCCAUCCUUUUUAGUCAUACGGGUAAUAGGUGCUACAAUGGACGAGAAACCUUUGAUAAAACGUCUAUAAUAAUUGGAGAACCCAAGAAAACGCUGAAUAGCUUUCAGACCUUGCGGUAGAGGCCAUUCUAUUACAGCAGCUAGCUUCUGGGGAUCCAUACGAAAACCUUUAGCGGAAAUCAAAUACCCCAAGAACUGGACUUCGGUUUGGUCAAACAGACAUUUUUCUAGCUUGCAAUAAAGACCAUUAGCAAGAAGGGUCUUCAAAACUGUCGUAACAUGUCUGUGAUGAGUGUGUAUAUCUGUAGAAUAUAUUAAAAUGUCGUCCAAGUAUACGAUAACAAAUGUGUGAAUAAAAUCUCUCAAGACAUCAUUAAUAAAUUCUUGGAAUACUGCUGGGGCAUUGCAAAGCCCAAAUGGCAUAACAGUAUAUUCGUAAUGACCGGAUCUAGUGUUGAAUGCAGUCUUCCAUUCGUGAUUUUCCUUUAUACGUAUCAAAUUGUAUGCACUCCUAAGGUCUAAUUUAGUGAACACAGUGGCAUGUUUCAGCCUGUCAAACAAUUCUGUAAUUAAAGGUAUAGGGUAUGCAUUUUUGAUAGUGAUUUUGUUUAGACCUCUAUAAUCUAUACACGGUCUUAAAUCACCUUCUUUCUUCGAUACAAAGAAGAACCCUGCUCCAGCUGGAGAAGAGGAUCUCCUAAUAAACCCUUUUUCUAGUGAUUCCUUGAUGUACUCCUCCAUGACACGGUUUUCUUGAACCGAUAAGGGGUACACCCUGCCCUUUGGAGGUAUAGUGCCAGGCAACAAGUCAAUAGCGCAAUCAUAGGGUCUGUGAGGCGGUAAUUUCUCAGCCUCCCUUUUAUCGAAAACAGUCUUUAGAGAUAAAUACUGAGGGGGUAUAACCGUAGACAAAGGAGGACUGGUAGGUACCUCAAUAGAAUUCAAAGGUGUGACUUCCAACGUACAAGACUCGUGGCAGGCCUCACUCCAUGAUUUUAUUUGCCCUGUCUCCCAGUCAAAAAUGGGAUUGUGAGCACGUAACCAUGGAUACCCUAAUACUAACUGUGAAGAGGGAGAGGUGAUGACCUGGAAUCGAAUGGUUUCAUAGUGUAAAACCCCUGUGUACAUGUGUAAUGGUACAGUCUCAUGAGUAACAACUGGAGAACUUAAUGGUCUACCAUCUAUGGCCUCAACGGCCAAGGGUAUCUCCUUCUCUCUGAUGGGAAUGUUGUUUCUCUUUAUAAAGCCAGAGUCUAUAAAAUUUUCAGCUGCCCCAGAGUCAACCAGAGCAUAUAUGUUGUCAACUAUACAAAUCUCUCCCAUAUAUAAAGAAACCGGGAGAAGCAAGCGGUUAGGAGGCAAUUUAGGAGACUUAGAUAUCACACCCAAGGCCAGUCCCCUAUAAGGUCUUAGGUGCGAGAGUUUUCCGGGAGUAAAGGACAUUCCUUUACCAUAUGGUCUCUCCUACCACAGUAUAGGCAGAGUCCCUCCCUUCUCCUAUGUAAUUUCUCAGUAUCAGAGAGUUUGGCAACCCCUAAUUGCAUAGGUUCCUCCUCAGACACUUUAACACUCUCUGGUAUAUUAACUCUGGGGUUAAUGGGUGUAACAAAACGUCUAUUCCUGUUCUUGGUAUAGAGCCUGUCACGAAUUCUAUUAUCAAUAUCAAUGAGGUAAUCGAUAAGGUCCUCUAAGGCAAUAGGAAGCUCCUUAGCUGCUACCUCAUCCAAUAUCGUAUCUGACAAACCUUCCAUAAAGGCAGUAGUUAACCCAUUGUUGGUCCAAUCUACCUGCGAAGCAAGAGUGCGAAACUGAAUAGCAUAAUCAGCCACAGACCUAGAACCCUGUUUAAUUCUCAUUAAUGCUCUCGCGGCAUUCUUUGACCUUUUCAUUGUGUCAAAAGUUCUACGAAAAGCCGUAAGAAAACUGUUGAAAUCAUGUACCAUAGGUCCAUUAGCUUCCCAAAUAGGAUUUGCCCACUCAAGUGCCUUAUCGGUAAGUUGGUGCAUAAAGAACCCAACCUUAGACCUCUCUGUGGGAAAUGAACGUGGAUACAUUUCGAAGUGAAAUUCAAUCUGAUUAGUAAACCCUCUGCAAGUCUUAGAGUCCCCUCCAUACCUAGGAGGAGGUGUUAAAUGGGCCGAAGUAUUAGGCAAAGUAGAUACUUCAGGGAGAAGGGGCGUAGGAGGGUUAGGUGUGGUUGCUGGAACGGUUCUAGCUAGGAGCGUCUGGAGAGCCUGAGCUAUCUGAUCCAUACGGUGAUCCUGCUCUACAAAUCUUGCCUCAUGGGACGCCAUCUGUUGAGCUAAAUCUGCGGGGUCCAUGGCCCUAUCGUAAUGUAACGAGAAUAUACCCCUACACGCAGGAUCCAGCUAAACAGAGGCAGAUACAGAGGAGAGAUACGUCUACCGGACCUUAGAAUGGCCGGACUCGACGUAUAUGAGAGGAGACAGAGCCAGGAACAAACCGAGGUCAAGGGCACAGAGAGACAGCGUAAACUAGGACAAGCCGGGGUCUGGUACACGGAAAACAGCAAGCCGGCAAACAGUACAGAUAAGGAUAAAGCGAAAACGAAGUCAGAAUACGAAGCCAAAGUCAAUACGAGAAAACACAACUGAACACCACAAGCGCUAAAGGGAACUGAAACAGAAACCACGAUAGGGCAACGAGCUAAGGGAAAAAGGUAAGUUUAAAUAGCUUUUAAACGAAAGUGAUUGGCUCCUGUCACUUCCACACCCCCCAUAGGUAAUUGUAUAGGGAGUGUGGUAUGACAGGAGCCAAUGGGAGCCUUUUGGCAAUUAGGCUCCCACUGUCUCUUUAAGAGCGCGCCCGAGACUCGCGGCGCGCUCUUAGUUUCAGGCGGGACACGUGACCGCUUCACGCGGUCACUGCCCGCCUUCCAUCCAAAGCAGUCGGAUGAGCCGUGCGCGGCUCGUGCAGCCGCAGGACCGCGCGCGGCUUGAAGAGAGGACCGCGACCGGCCCCCGGUUAAGGUAAGUAACGCUACAAUCUGCCAUUUUUAGCUUGUGUUCCUGUACGGUUGAUUCAAGCUCUUGGAGCUUGUCCGCGAGGCUGUUGUGGGCCUCUGCAAAUUCAUCCAUCUUCUUUUCCAUGUGGGAGGUACGCUGGCCCACUUUGUGGAGUUCCUUUCGGAGGUCUGUGGAGAGUGUAGUUAUUUGUUUUUUUAGGUUUGCUUGUAUAUUUUCCGCAAAUUCCGGCAUCAUCAGACGCAUUGUCGUCGCUGUCAGAGGUCUCUCUUCCGACACCGAGCUGGGGGAGGCAGAGGGGGAGAUUGAGUCAUCUCCGGUACAUAGCACUCUGCCAUUUUUGAUCGGGCUGCGGCCCUCUCGUGCUUUGGGUGCAGAUGUUUUGUUGAGGAAAAAGGACGCUCUGUCCGCCUGAGGUAGUUCCGUUCUUAUGGGGUAUUAAAUUUCUUGUAGACCGAUUAUUUUUGCUCCUGUUACUCCAGGUUCAGGAACCUCACAGACUUGCGUCCAUGCGGUUCAGAUGCCAGGCCACGCCCCCUGCUUCUGCUUUUUUAAUGGGAAAGCAUACAAGGCUAUAUAGUAAAUACCUUUGUGACUUGCGCGACAAAAACAGGAUGCUUGAAGGCACUUUAUACCAUAAAAGGAAUUUACAGAACUAAGCAUAUUUCAACAGUUAUAUAUAUAAAAAAAAUGAAGUUACUUAGGACAUAAGAAGUGGGGGCUGAGUCUGACAGCUGCAAUCUUCACAAGAAAGAUUGUGCUUACAUGUCAGGCACUAAAACUAGGAUAAAGUUCAAAGCACAUCAUGAUCCAAGUUAGCCAGUUUUAAACAGACUGGUCAUCCGGUCACCUGUAACUUGAGCCUUGGUUCAGGUAUAAUCCUCCACACCUCUAAAGCUGAUUGUCAUUGUGUGCCAAUUGUAUGCCUCUAAAACUGAUUGCCAUGGUGCCAAUGGUAUACCUCUAAAUCUGAUUGCCGUGGUAUGACAAUGUUAUGCUUCUAAAUCUGAUUGCCAUGGUGUGCCAAUUGUAUGCAUCUAAAUCUGAUUGCCAUUGUGUGACAAUUUUAUGUCUCUAGAAAUGAUUGUUAUGGUGUGCCAAUUUUAUCCUUAUUCAACUGAUUGCCAUGGUGUGCCAAUUGUAGGCCUCUAAAUCUGAUUGCCAUGGUGUUAAAAUAUGCAUUAAAAGCAAGUGGGUCUUGUACCAUUUUUAAAAGUGGGUCUCGAUCCAUAAAAGUUUGGGAAGCCCUGCAUUAGAGGAAACGUACAAUGCAUGAAUAGUUUUGUUUGGAAAGUGUAUCAAUUUUCAGAUUUAAAAAAAUACCUUUUCAUAAAAGUAUUAACAAACAACAAUUACUUGUCUAAAAACAUUUUUCAUAGAUAACAUGCAUAAUUGUACAUACGUAAUAGUAAAAUGUUUUGGUUGUAUGUUUAAAUAUUACUUACACCUUUGAUAUCUGAUUCCCAUAUAAUAGAUCUCUCUUUGAUGUAGAGGUUAGGCUCUGUGUUUGCAGUCAAAAUGUAAUCUCCAACGUGGGUUGUUUUCAUUGUGUUAUUUAAAUAUAUGUAUUGUAACAGCUCAAAAUGUGUCUUUGAAUUUCUCGUCUCAUGAAAAGUAAACUCAUUACCAGAAGACAUGUUAAAAUGCAGACUUCUUAGAUAUUUUCUCAGCUGAAAUAGUUUACAAAGAAUACAACUUUAGUUUUGCAAACAACUACAAAGACAAAACACAAUAAGUCUGGCUUGACAAACACACAUAAGGCUAAAAUGCCAUUAGUAUGAUAAACUAACCAACUAGUAAACAAAAACUACUACUACAUCAUAUUUAGAGCGGCAGAGUUAUUAUGUGUUCAUUUGUAUGUGCUGAACGUUGUAUCCCCAUUCUUUUGAUUGUGCAUCAUAUUUUGUAUAUGUCACCAUUCUGAAUGUUUAACCUCCUAAGAACCAGGCUUCCAUUUGCUUUUUUUCUGUACAUAAAGGUACACUUCACUGACCAAAAACAAAAAAGAACCAUUACUGUGUAGUAGAUAUACAGAUUAACCCCUAAUGAAAACAUGUAUGCGUUUUUUUAAUUGAGUCAAUAUAUAUAAACAGCUUGCAAAGGCUGUAGAUCUCUGGUCUGCUGCCUUUGCAAGCCCUCCUCUUUUUGCACAGCCCAGACUCUGUGUCUGUCCAAUCACAGACUUUCCAAUACAGCUCAAUAAGAAAUCUUUGCAAGAUAGGGCUAUGAGCAAUUGCCUGCCUUUAGGAGAACAAGAGGUUAAAGGAACUGUUGUCUGCUUGAAGGCCAUGGAGUGUAACAUGGAUAGUUAAAAAAACUUUCAAUAUCUCUUGAAACCUGCACUUUUUAAAAUGAAAAAAAGGACACACUCUUUAUACAUAACAUAUUUCAGUAAGCUAAAGUGCUACAGGGGUCUUGACUGCCCCUUUUCAGCAAUAACUGAAGAACAAAUGUUUGCACAAUUAAUAUUGUGUGCUUAAGUAGUGGAGCUUGAUAAAAUGUAAUUCAAAAUAAAUUCAUGUCUUUGUCCUGAUUUACAGAGUAUAUCAAAUAGCUAGUAUUUCAGUUCAUGUUUAGAAGUUAUGGGUCACAAACUACAUGGAGUAAAAUAUAGUUUUAUUGUGGUAAGAUUUUACAAUUUAGUAUGUGUUCCUUCUUUAAUAGGCACCACAGAAAACAAAAUUGCCACACAAAAGUAUAUGUUACUAAAAUAGACAUUAAAUAUCACACACCAUUUACCUAAGGGUAUUUUAACAAUUUUUACAUGGCCAUUAAUCUGCCAAUAUCUCCUAAAUAUUGUAGUAAAGUUGAGUUUUUCUGAUAUUUAACACACACACAUUACAUGCUUUUUAUGUGUAUUUCUUAAACCUGAUGUCUGCUACUUCAUUACAAAAUCCCAUAUUGUGUACAUUCGUUUGAUUACAAAAAUACCCUGCUGUAUGCCUUUGUCACUGUCAUGUGAAGCCACAGUGUCAUAUAAGAGACCUGGCCAUUUUAGUUUUUACAGUUAAAAUUUUGAUAGAUUUGAUGGGCCUAAGUCUAAUUUUAGGGCAUUACAGCAGUUUGACUGCUCAAUAUAACCAACAAAGGCAGUAAUUUCAUAAUUUGUGAAAAUAGACACUCCAGGGUAACGUAUAAGGGCUAUGAUGUUCCAUAAAAUGAUGCCAUUUUUUCAUAAGUUUAUGUCAAAAUGUGUGAAGCAUUUUUAAUUUUUUUUAUUNNNNNNNNNNNNNNNNNNNNNNNNNNNNNNNNNNNNNNNNNNNNNNNNNNNNNNNNNNNNNNNNNNNNNNNNNNNNNNNNNNNNNNNNNNNNNNNNNNNNGCAUGAUGUAAACCAGCAGAAUAUUAAUGUCCACUACACAUUAUGUAAAUAAUUAAUUCACACAAAUAGUGUUUUUUUUAAAUUUUAAACAAUUUUCAUAUUUAUCAUUAAAGAAUUUGAUUCUGUCAUCCCCUCCUACCCUCACUCUGACCCCUGUCACCCUCUCCCUCUCUGACACUGCCACCUGUCAACCCCUCCCUCAGCCACCUGCCCACCCUUCACUCUGCCACCCCUAACUCUGUCACCCCAUCCCUCCCUCAGCGACCUGUCACCCCCUUUCACACUCUGUUAAUCCCUUCCACAAUCUGUCACCCCCUUCACACUCUGUCACACCUCUCCACACUCUGUCAGCCCCCUCCACUCUCUUUCACGUCAUUUCACACUCUGUCAUCCCCUCCACUCACACACACAGUCUCCCCUUUCGACACCCUGUCACCUCCCUCCACACACCCUGUCACCAUUCCCCACACACACUGUCACCACAGACAAAAUGCACAAAGGCCACAGUCCAUAUACAAAAAAUACCGCAAGCAGCUACCACACACACAUACGGUCCUAGACACAAACAUACACAUGCUCACAGAAACAUACAUUCACAUACAAGGGUACUCACUGUCAGACGCACUCUCAGGCACAUACACAGACAGACAAUGCCAGACAAUUCAGAAAUACACACAGCCAGAUAAACACAUUGUGACUGUAUGUCUGUAUUAGUCAAUAUGUGUGCAUCAGUGUGUUUGUGUGUGUGUGUGUGUAAAUGCAUGUGCAUGUAUCAGUGUGUAUAUGUAUUUGUGUAUUAGUGUUUAAAUGUGUGCGUGUGUCUGCAGUGUGGUUGUGGUAUGAUAUGGGCAAUGCAAAGAUAAAGUUGCUAUAUAUAUAUAUAUAUACAUACAUACAUAUAAAAUACAUAGGGAAACACAUAUAUGAUAAUAUACAUGUUAAGGAAUUUAGAAUAUGUGGGGAAAUGUCAGGCUAUACAACCAUACCCAGCAAUCGUAUACAAAUGAUUAGCAAUUUAUGUCAUAUCUACAGUAAAAGUGCUCACAACGCAGCGGCAUAGGGAGCUGCGGCAAUUUUUUUCACUAAUGGUGUAAAUGGGGGGCCUCAUGUUUGACUUUAGCCUAAGGCCUUGCAAAGUCUAGAGCUGCCUCUGCUGAACAGCACCAAACAAAGUGCUAAAGGUUGGUGAAACCAAUGUUUAUUUUGUUGAAUUGUGUAGUUUAUUACCCUGGUUUAGAAAGGGACAUUCCUUUAUGUUUAGUUAGUGCUCAAAUUUGAGCUAGGAUUUUGUUUGUAGACUUUCCUUUCUGUUUUGCUGAAGUUUUGAACAAACGGAUUGCUGCAUGGAUUUUUGUGCACGAUGUAAAUAAACCACACCAUUUUUGCAUAAGAGACUGUUGUUCUGUACCUGUUACCCUAGAGGACUGUGUUGCUUUGCCCUUAAAGGUCAAAAGAUGGUGGAGAAUGCGGGCAAUUAAAGCACAUUCAUACAGUCUGUGGGUAUAGAGGCCUAAGGUACUGUGACUCUGCAAACGGAGACGGUUGUUUGAAACAGAGGCCUGCAGGUGUGGUGUGUGUGGUAUUUACCAGGUGGCUGAAAAAAAAAAAGGCAAGAUGGAAGAGUUAGUAAAAGCCUUGAUACAGGCUACUGCCACCCAGCAAGACACAAACCGUGUAACAGCGGCUCAGAUCAGUAGCCUCAUGGAGUCACAGCGACAGGCUGUUGCGGCCCAACAGGAGACAAACCGAUUAUUGGCUUUACAAAUGGACUGCAUUAUGGAAACACAGCGGGAAGACAGAGUAAAGCUAACAAGUGCUUUGCAACAAACCAUACUGUCAAGUGUGACUACUCCUACUAUGGAUAGGGGGCGCCGGAUUAGAGUUACUGACUUUUUACAUAAAGUGAGUGAGGUUGAUGACAUGGAAGCUUACCUGACAACCUUUGAAAGGAUUGCUACCCGAGAAGGACGGCCUCCAGAUUAGUGGGCAGGAUUGUUAGCCCCUUGCCUCAGUGGAGAAUCCCAAAAAGCAUAUGAUGAUUUGCCUCUCAGCCAAGCACAAGGCUAUGACAGAUUGAAAGCAGAAAUCCUAACACGGCUUGGAGUUACGCCUGCAGUGCAAGCCCAAAGAUAUAAUGCAUGGGUUUAUGAUACAGAGAAAUCUACUAGGUAGCAAAUGUAUGACCUCUUGAGACUUGCCCAGAAGUGGCUACAACCAGAAAUCAACUCUGCUGCAGUAAUCAUUGAAAAGGUGGUUAUGGAUCGCUUUCUAAGGAGUCUGCCGAUAGCGCUACGGAAAUGGGUCAGUCAAGCGGAUCCAAAGGACCCAGAAGAAAUGAUGAACUUGACAGAGAGAUACCGGUUUGCUAACGAAACUCAGAGUAAAGAGCCUUACCUCAAUGCCAAAUUGCAAAGGAACAGGAAACCUGCAAAGAAUUCUGGUGGAUUUAAAGAAACAGAUGGAAAAAAAGAUUCUGUAAAGACUGAGAGACAGAUAAAGUGUUAUAGGUGUCAGGAGAUUGGACAUAUUGCACGUAACUGUCCACAGACUGAUGAACCUAUGGAAUGUAAUUUGGGGAGGGGGGAGAAACAUGGUGCAUUGUUGGUAUACACACAAAUGUCUGCUUUAACAAGUACUGGUGGUAUUAACCAUGUCAAGUUUGUAAAUUAUGGAGGGGAGGAGUGUGCAAGCACUCUUAGAUUCUGGGAGUGAGGUUUCAUUGGUAAUGAGAUCUUUACUUCAGAGUGAGCAAGUAGAUAAAAUUACGUGUUGGAUAUAAUAUGCAUACAUGGUGACACCCACACGUACCCCACGGCCGAGGUGGAACUUGCUACCGCGGUAGGGGUGAUAAAACAUAGAGUUGGGGUGGUACCAUCAUUGCCUUAUGAUGCUGUAUUGGGGCGUGAUUUUCCCCUCUUUCGUAAAAUGUGGGAAGAUACUGCAAUAAAACAGGAUAAGUGUACAGAGGUAGAGGCAGAAACAGUGGGUUUAGAGAAUGUUUUCCCUUUUUCUACGAUUGAUUUGGGGCAGUAUAUUGAAAAUGAACCCACUGUAGUAUGUUUCGGCGAGGAAGGGGAACACAAUGAAAGUGAUUUCUCCCAAGUAGAAAAUCUAAGGGAAGAGGUGGAGUUCCAUCAUCUAGGUAUUAGUUCAGGAAAUUUCCGGGCUACCCAAUGGGAGGAUCAAACCUUGGUAGCUGCCCGUAACAAUGUUCAGGUAGUGGAAGGUACUCCUGUUAACCCGGAAACCCAAUUGUCCCUUCCCUAUUUUGCAGAAAGAAAUAAUUUACUUUACCGAGUAGAGAGGAGGGGGGUUGAAGAGGUUGAGCAAUUACUGGUACCUCAAUCCCACAGGAACCUAGUCUUAAAACUAGCUCACAGCCAUGUAUUAGGGGGGCAUCUUGGCAUGGAGAGAGUACUAAGAAGAUUUUACUGGCCAUGAAUCUACUCUGCUAUAGAGCGAUUUUUGCAAGUCAUGCCCAGAAUGCCAAAGAAAGGCUCCAUUCCAAGCUUUCCGUAAUCCCCUCGUUUCUCUUUCCAUUAUGGAAGUCCCAUUUGAAAGAAUUGCUAUGGACCUGGUUGGUCCUUUACUUAAAUCCGCUAGGGGGCACCAAUAUAUAUUGGUAGAACUAGAUUAUGCUACCCGCUAUCCCGAAGCUAUACCUUUAAGAAAUACCUCAGCUAAAACCAUUGCCAGAGAGUUAAUGUUUAUGUUCAGCCGGGUUGGAAUACCUAGAGAAGUACUUACAGACCAAGGUACUCUUAUGUCAUGAGUGAUGAAAGAGCUAUGUAACUUGUUGAAGAUUAGACAAUUGAAAACUUCAGUGUAUCACCCACAAACUGAUGGGUUAGUGGAAAGAUUUAAUAAAACCUUGAAAGCAAUGCUCUGUAAGGUAAUUGAUAAAGAUGGUAAGAAUUGGGAUUGGUUGCUCCCAUAUCUAAUGUUUGCUAUCAGAGAAGUUCCCCAGGGUUCUCACUCAUUGUUAUAUGGCAGACAUCCUAGAGGUCUCCUUGAUGUUGUGAAGGAAACAUGGGAACAGGAACACACGCCUCAUAGGAGUGUUAUUGAACAUGUGGCACAAAUGCAGUAUCGCAUUGAGGCCAUAAUGCCAAUUGUCAGGGAAAAUAUGGAGAGAGCACAGAAAGCUAGUUAUAAUAGGAAUGCUAGACUUAGGGUCUUUCAACCCGGAGACAGGGUUCUGGUACUAAUCCCCACAGUAGAAAGUAAAUUCAUUGCAAACUGGCAUGGCCCAUAUGAGAUCAUUGAACGAGUCAAUGAGGUGAAUUAUAAGGUGAGACAACCUGGUAGAAGAAAGCCUGAACAAAUAUACCAUAUAAAUUUGCUUAAACCCUGGACAGACAGAGAGGUCGUGAUGGCCACGACAGACAAAGUUCCUCUGACCAAAGUAGACAAAGUACCAGAGGUUAACAUUGCUGACACUCUAGCACCUCAUCAGAAAAAUGAGGUCCGAGAGUUUGUUGCUAGAAAUCGGGAUGUGUUUGCUCCAGUACCAGGAAAGACUCAUGUUAUUAAACAUGACAUAAUUACGGAACCUGGAAAAAGGGUUAACUUAAAACCCUACCAAAUCCAAGAGGCCAGAAAAGAAGCCAUUAAAGCAGAGGUCCAAAAGAUGCUUGAACUAGGGGUUAUCGAGGAAUCCCAUAGUGAAUGGAGUAAUCCUAUAGUGUUGGUACCCAAGCCAAAUGGAGAAAUCAGAUUCUGUAAUGAUUUCAGAAAAUUAAAUGAGAUAUCAAAAUUUGAUGCUUAUCUCAUGCCUAGGGUUGAUGACCUAAUAGAGAGAUUAGGACGAUCCAGAUAUCUGACUACAUUAGAUCUGACUAAAGGUUAUUGGCAAGUUCCCUUAACAGAGCGGGCCAAAGAAAAAACUGCUUUUUCCACACCAGAAGGUUUUUCACUAUAAAGGAUUGCCUUUUGGGUUGCAUGGUGCACCUGCCACCUUCCAAAGAAUGAUGGAUAGAAUCCUUAGACCCCAUAGUGAAUAUGCGGCUGCCUACCUUGACGAUGUGGUUAUACACAGCACAGAUUGGGAAACACACCUUCCCCGAGUUCAGGCAGUAAUAAAGUCUAUACGAGAUGCAGGUCUAACUGCCAAUCCAUCCAAAUAUACGAUAGGUUUGGAAGAGGCUAAGUAUUUGGGCUACACUAUUGGGAGGGGUCUCCUGAAACCACAGAAAAGUAAGGUAGAUGCUAUUUGGGAUUGGCCACGUCCUGUGACAAAGAAACAAGUCAGGGCAUUUCUAGGUUUAGUGCGCUACUACCGUAGAUCCAUACCUAACUUUGCUACGAUCGCAAACCCGUUGACAGAGCUAAAUAAGGCAAAAGGCCCUGUUAUGAUAAAGUGGACUCCCGAGGCAGAGAAGGCAUUUAGUACCCCGAAGGAGGUUUUGUGUGCUGACCCAAUUUUGGUUGCCCCAGAUUUUACGAAAGAAUUUGUGGUACAGACAAAUGCGUCUGAUGUGGGCCUAGGAGCGGUUCUUUCUCAAGUACACAGAGGAGAAGAACAUCCCAUUAUGUACCUGAGCAAAAAGCUGAAUCCCUAUGAACAGAGAUACUCGGUGGUUGAGAAAGAAUGUUUGGCCAUAAAAUGGGCACUAGAAACACUUAAGUAUUAUCUAUUGGGGAGAAGGUUCAAACUUGUCACAGAUCAUGUGCCCUUGACGUGGAUGAGACAAAACAAGGAAACAAAUGCCAGAGUAACUAUGUGGUUCCUUAGUCUUCAGCCAUAUAACUUCUCUAUGGAGCAUAGAGCUGGUAAAGACCAGGGGAAUGCAGAUGGUUUAUCCAGAGUCCAUUGUUUGUGGUCAAAGGUCGCUACGACCGAUGGGUCUAAGCUGGCGGGGAGGAUAUGUGACAGAGUCUAUGGGAGAGUAAUAGAAGGAAGGUAUUUAGGACCCAGACUCCUCCAUAGACUGUACUCAGUCACCUUCCCAAUUAGCAACUGCUGAGGCUUUAAUUAGCAAGUCUCAGAGCAGAAAGGGGGAGAUACAAUCUGACCUGCAGAGAGAGAGCAGGUCUGUGCUGAGCAGCACCAAACAAAGUGCUAAAGGUUGGUGAAACCAAUGUUUAUUUUGUUGAAUUGUGUAGUUUAUUACCCUGGUUUAGAAAGGGACAUUCCUUUAUGUUUAGUUAGUGCUCAAAUUUGAGCUAGGAUUUUGUUUGUAGACUUUCCUUUCUGUUUUGCUGAAGUUUUGAACAAACGGAUUGCUGCAUGGAUUUUUGUGCACGAUGUAAAUAAACCACACCAUUUUUGCAUGAGAGACUGUUGUUCUGUACCUGUUACCCUAGAGGACUGUGUUGCUUUGUCCUUAAAGGUCACAGUGUAUAUAUCUGUGUGUGUGUGUGUGUGUGUGUGUAUCUGUGUGCGUGUAUAUCUGUGAUUGUAUAAAUGUUACAUCCCCUGAUAGCCCUGAUCUGGGUGACCAAUAUAUCCAAAAAUCACCCAGAUCAGUUCAGGGGUUUUGGAAUUUAAUUGAAGUUCAAUUUUGACCGACCGAACACAAGGGCUCCUGCCCAGAAACCGUUCCAUGAAUUUAGGUUGAGCGGCCGGUCUAUUUCAACAAGUCUUAAAAAUGAACAAAAGCAUGAACUGCACUCCCUGGCUCAUAGUAGCGAUUGUUCCCCUGGUUCGUGGGAACAAAACUACAGAACAGCGCUCUCCUGUCUGUUCGGGAAAAGGAAGCAGUUCAUACAGUUUGACCAGUAAUCGGGAAGUUGAGUGUCCGAUUUUAGUUACAGACACUCAAGAGAACUUGACUGUUCUCUUUGAAAAUAAUGAGGCGGGGGGGAGCGGGGGUUGGUGUUCGGUAGUUACAGCUACCGAAUGAAAAAAAGUCAAAUAACCGAAAUACCACUGUAAUUUCUUCACACUGCCUUCUAUCAAUAUAAGUUUGUAAGUGCAAUACUUACCCAAUUCCCAGUUAUUGUUUUAUGCUUACAGUAUUACACUACUUUUUUUUUAUCUAUUGUAGAUAUGUGGUGUUUUAUAUGCUUUUGAAGCCUGAGAUGAGUCUUUUCUCUACAUUUUAACAAGGGGUAAUUACUAUUUUAUGCAUUGUAUAUUUUUUCACCGGUGGUGCUUAAUUGUUUGGUUUGCUUUUUGUGUUUGUGGUGUAACAAAAUAACCUGCCUGCUUUAGAGUGCGUCUAAUGGCCAGCAUGGUUUCCUCUUUUUGAUAGACACUGUUGGAGAAUAUCCAUCCUUACUGGCAACCAUGUUUGAUUGUUGCAGGAAGAUUGCAGGGUGUGACGGUCUGCCAAGGUAUUACCGCCAUGCAUACUCUUUUCCCAUAGUAAUCAUACUCCAGUAAUCCACAGGUUACAGUAUCGCAUAAUAGCCCACACAUGAGCCAAAGCUUAAUGCUGNNNNNNNNNNNNNNNNNNNNNNNNNNNNNNNNNNNNNNNNNNNNNNNNNNNNNNNNNNNNNNNNNNNNNNNNNNNNNNNNNNNNNNNNNNNNNNNNNNNNGGACAAGACUGGUUUAAUGGAAAACAGAUGUUCAAUUUAUACAGUGAAGAAACUCCUCCUCUGAGCCAGGGAGAUAAUUGAGUCAGAGAAAGUACUAAACUCAAUUAUCUCCUGGUACAGAAAAAGUUAACAUUUUUAUAACCCCCCAAAAGUACCCCAUAAAAUGCAUGGGAACCCCACAAAAGUCACAUCCCUGUGUAGCCUGAAUCUGGGGGAACAAUAUAUUCGAAAAUCAGCCAGAUCCAUUAGGUAGUUUAUGAUCGGAACCGCAGGGAAGAUUUGACCGGUCUGCCAUGAGGUCGAAGCCCAGAAAAAGUUCCAUGAACAGUGUGGCAAGAGACGGUCUCCAUUUGUGGGGUUUUGCAUGAAAACCACAUAAGAUUGAGUCUAGCUGAUUCAUGGAGAAUGCUCCCUGUGUUCGGUAUUCUGAAACUCCCGAACGCCGUUCAUCUAAGUGAAUGGGAAGGAGAAUGUAGAGUAGAUCCAUAGAGACCGGUGUUUGCGAGAGUGCCUGGCCAAAAUGAGUUCCGGGCCCUCGAUGACCGGGAGACAAGAUGGCCUCCAUCCAUUGUUCCAACCACGUGUAUUUGUAUGGACGAAAUGGCGGCAACCCUGUGGAGCCUUCAAUUAUCGAUUUUCUCAGUGGUUUUCAUACAAGAUACACAACGUUCCAUGUUCUAAUUAGUCUCUGGGGUGGUCUCAGUUUGGGAACUGAACAAAAUAACGAACAAACUGGAACAGGAUGACAAAAACUAACGUAAGUAGCCGAACAGUGAUGGGGCAUUCCUUCACAUAGGGCAUAUCAACUGUAGUCAGGGCCGCCAUCAGAAAUUUUGGGGCCCCUAACACAGCUCAAGGUCUGGCCCCUUGGGUGCCUGCAUCCAAGCCCACCCACAGGGCCUGCCUCCAAGUCUGCAGUGUACAGGGUGUGUUUGCAUAUUGGAUGGUGUGUGUGCGCACAUGCGUACGUAAAUGCAAAAUACAAAAGUCCUUGCACACUUGCUUAAAUUAGUGAUGUUUGCCAGGUGCUCACUCUUGGCUUCAUCAUUGGCACUCAUUGACUUAUGUAGAAGUUCCAGUAUUUCUUUAUUUCUUCAUAUUAAUAAUGAAAAUCCACUAUACUGUGUGGGAACAAAACGAGUUUAGGAGCCAGUCGACGUUUCAGUCCUCAGGUGGGACUGAAAUGUCGACCGGCUACUAAACUAAUUUUGUUCCCACACAGUAUAGUGGAUUUUCAUUAUUAAUAUGGAGAAAUAAUGGAACUUCCACAAAAAAAGAGUGUGUGUGUGUGUGUGUGUGUGUCCAAAACGUAGGACGAUCGUUACGAGGAGGGUAUAUAUAGGCUGGCAAAUGUUUUGUGAAAAAUUAGUUUUUUCUGUCUGGAGAUAAUGGAGUUAUUACAUUAUCUGGCUCAAUUAUCUCACAGGCAGAGAGGAGGGAAUUAUCUGUUUGUAUUUGGAGAGUCACACUUUGUCACUGUAUUAUUAUUGGCUGUAACCUUUGUGUCCCUGUCCCCCACAAGGUCCAUGUGGGAGUGCCCCUUGCAUGGGGAUUUGCAUAAAAGCCAGUGUGGCACCCAUUAAAACCAUUCCUGUUACACCCUUCAUCAAGUUUCAGCUGAUGUUUGGGUACCUGUCUGCUUUACAGGGAGAAUAUACUUGGGAGACUGUCAUUUGUAUGGAGAAUUGUUCGACUCAGCACCCGAAAUAGACGAAUGGGUUCCGGUUAUACCAGAGUUCGUUACAGGCAGUAUAAUCAUAAACAAAAGCAAUCUUCACUCUGAGGCUCCCAAUUAGCAGCACCGCAUCUAGAGGGAGAUAAAAAUGGGACACAGAAUAGAUCUUAAGACAUAAAAUUACUAAAUAAAUUUCGGUUGCACUUACAACAUUUAAAAUAAAUGAUAGCUUGUCAUCAUCUCAACCAAAGAUCCCAACGAAUUGGAAAAGCAAAAAGAUGAAAUGGCAUGAAAAACAGGAUAUAACAUAACCAUAAUCAAAUAAUAGCCCAACGGACUUUUAUUAUUGACUUAUUCUGUGUUUCAAAGUGUACAAAUGCUACACUGCAAACAGCACACACACAAUAAAAUACAAAUAUGGUUUCAAAACUGAUUUUUUUUAUUUAUUUUUUUUUUAUUUAGUGCAGCUGCUGCAGCACACUGAACUGAAAAUAUUAAAUACUUUCUGCAAACAAUUAAAGAAAAAAGCCCAGCCACACUGUAAAUCAGUGACUUAAAGAUGGUGUAAGUGGUACUGGCAGUGCCUAGGUUCAGCAGUAACCUAAUCACCACACGAGGAUCAAUGACACAGGCGCAGCAAUGGUAAAACCAAUAACUGACUUCUGGUCUGAUCCCUUAAAGGGACACUCCAGUGCCAGGAAAACAAUCUGUUUUCCUGGCACUGCAGGUCCCCUCUCCCUCCCACCCCCAUCCCAAGUUGCUGAAGGGGUUAAAACUCCUUCAGUGACUUACCUGUAUCCAGCACCAAAAAUGUCCCUCGGUGCUGGUUCAGGGUCCGCCCACGCUCCUCCCCAUCAUCCAGCGGGGGAGACCUAUUGCGCAUGAGCUUAAAUGCCACACACUACACCUCCCCACAGGAAAGAAUUGAAAAAUGCUUUCAAUGCUUUCCUAUGGGGAUUUCAACGACGCUGGAGGUCCUCACAUAGCGUGAGGAUGUCCAACGAUGCUAUAGCACAGAUAAUCUGUGCUUUAAACCCGGACGUGCACUCUAGUGGCUGUCUAGUAGACAGCUACUAGAGGAGGAAUUAACCCUGCAAUGUAAAUAUUGCAGUUUAUAAAAACUGCAAUAUUUACAUUGCAGGGUUAAGGGUAGUGGGAGUUGGCACCCAGACCACUCCAAUGGGCAGAAGUGGUCUGGGUGCCUGAAGUGUUCCUUUAAUGACUGAAGUCAAAGUGCUUUGAAGAAUCCUGCUUGGAAACAUAUGUACUCUUUACUAUUCCCCUAUUUCCCCUUUCGUGCACUUCUUACUUUAUCUGUGUAUAAUAUGUAAAUGUUGUGGCUAUCCCUUAAACAAACAGAUGCAUCUGGUGUAAUAUUCAUUUAUUAUUAUUUAAUCACUUUCAUGGUUAAUACUUUGCAGAUUAAUAUAUUCUUGCUAGUUUACAACACUUUGCAUUUUAUAUUGAUUAGUACUUAAAUUAUUGUAGGUAUGUAAUUUGUGUUUCUGAUCUUACUGUUAAUUUUAAUUAGUAAAUAAAUAGAUAUUUACUAUGUCAGUUUUUUUAAGGACUUUCUUCAAAUUGCAAAAUAACAGUCUGUCUCCAGACUCAUAGAGCUCAUAGAGCUCAUAUUAACCUUAUUGAUCCAUUGGUGGUAACUGCAAUCCCAAAAAUCUUGGAAUUAGGGUCUUCUUCUGGCAUAGUAAUGAGAGGUCUGGUGAAGCCAUGGGCAUGGAUAUGACAUUAUACCUCUAAGCACAAAUUCACAAGGUCCUUUUGCAGUGACCUGGUGGCGUUUUGUUUGUCAAUAACUGCUGUGUGUACCUCUCUGCAUAUACAUUUACCCCAUGUGCUGCUGGAUGAAGAAUAGUAUACAGAGCAGAGGCUAUGGAGGUGCACCCCACUUCACCUCCCAUCCCAUGGGCUCUGUGUUUCAAACCUAAUACUUAGCAAUCAUCUUUUUAUUCACCUCUUACUUGGACAAGAGAUACUUUCCCCAUAAUUGGCCAACGCUCUUGUCCAUUAUGCAAAAAUUAUGAUAUACUACUAACUUUCCAAAUAAUUCAAUACUGUUAGAAAACAUUUCCAAAUUAUUUAUCUGCAGCAGUUGUGAUUAAAGCCUAUGGAAAUGUUUGUAGAUAAUUCAUUUAUAAAGUUUUUCUAACUGUAAUAAAUAAUUAAGGUUUUUUUUCUAUGCUGUAUUUAUUUGUAGCAGCUGUGCUCUUUUAAAUUAUGGAUGAUAGGGUGAGCGUAGCUUUUCUCUUUUGUGUUGUAUUUAUAUGUCUAAAUCUAGAUUAUGACGUGUUCCAUUUAACUUCCAUUGAUUACUUUUCUGUAUUUCGUAGAUCAGUUAUGGAGCUGUAAAUGACAACUUCUAUGACCAAGCUACUUAUCCAUUAGUUUUCCAUACCGGCCAUGGGACAAAUGCUUAUAAUAAGGCCAUUAUUGCACUGCUGAAACACUAUGGUUGGACAUGGAUUGGCAUACUGCACUCACCAGCAGAGAGUAGUGAGAUGGCAAGCCAAAGUUUUAAAACAGAGAGUAUUAAAAAUGGAAUUUGUGUUGAAUUUAUGUUAAAAUCUGAUUCAGAUUAUCAAGAAAACAAUGUUUUGAGAUACACAGCAAAGGUUAUUGUUAUAUUUUCCACUGAGGACCACCUGACAAACAUAUUCAUGAAAUUUUUUUAUCUGAUUAAACUUCGUGAGAAAACACUAAUAUUAUCAUCAGAGAUAUCAGCACAUAGCACAGGAUAUUUAAACCAACAUGCAUUAAAUAAAAUAAUGAAUAGAUCACUUAUUCUUGUGGCAGCUAAAUCAUAUAUUCCAGGUUUUCAAGAAUUCCUCUACAGAACUAGCCCCACGGUGUAUACGAAUAACACAUUCUUGCAAAAUGUAUGGUUAACUUAUUUCGGGUGCCUACCUGCAGAUGAUCAUAGUGAGAGGCAAGUUUGCAAGAAGAAAUUCUCUCUUAGUUCUCUACCUAAGUUCGCGUUUGAUGCUGAAAAUUUCCGUACAACUUACAAUGUUUAUGCUGCAGUCCAUGCAAUAGCUCAUGCUUUGCAUAUGUACAUCUCUGAAUCAAAAAAUGGGAAGAUUAAACAGUUUCACUCAAGAGAGGUAAGUGUUUGACGUAACAAAAAUGUUAACAAUUCCUUAAAAAUAAUAUUUAGUUUUAAAUAAUAAGCGACCCAUGAUGGAAUUAUUCCGCCAUGAUGUAAUUCCCUCAAGGAUGGUCAGGAUAUGAAUAGGAUCCUUAGAAAGGUACAGGCUACAACCUAGCAACAAAGCACAAGAGGAAAUAUAUAGAGAAAAUAAAUAUUUAUUAGAUAGAUAAUAAAGAUGAAGUUGAUAGCAAAACUCAAUGCCAGAAACAAUUGAGGACUGGUGCAUGGUCACAGGAUAAACAGUAGCAACGGACCAGACCAAGGACAAGGAAGGGUCUGGAGUGCAGGUAAUAAUAUCAGGAGCAAUGUAAAGUGCUUAAGUGGAUACUAUAGGCACCCAGAUCACUUCAGCUCAUUGAAGUUGUCUAGGUGCAGUGUUUCUGUCACUCUUAGUCCUGCAAUGUAUUAUCUACCAGACAGCCACUAGAGGUGCUCUUAGGAGUUUACCUGACUCUAGGUUCCUUAACUGAUGCCGGACAGCCAGCAUCAUUGAAAUCCUCGUAGGAAAGCAUUGAGGCAAUUCUUUCCUAUAGGGAGGGCCUAAUGCGCUUGCAGCACAUGUACAUUAGGUUCCCCUGUCAAUUGAUGUGGGAGGAGGCAGAGCACCAACCCAGUACUGAGGGAGAUUGAAGCUGGAAUUGGUUAGGUAACUAACCAUUUAUGUGUUGAUGUGGGAGCCACGAGGGGAUCAGAGGGCACUACAGUUUUUGAAAUACAACUUUGCAUUCAUAACACUAUAGAAGCUCUUUAAGGAGUCAAAAUGCCAUAAAAGGGCAUUGAAUCACAAACGGAGAUAGUUUGUAUAGAGUGAGACCCUUUGCAUCAUUUCUGUGUCAUUGACACAUGCACACUGUAACAAUUAAGAUGCUAAGGUGACGGUAUUAUAAAUGGCAAAAAGAUGUGAGAUGCUAAAAUGCCCUAAGAUACUCCAUAGACCCAUCUUCAAUUUGCCAUUAAAAAAAACAAAAAAAACACACUGCAGGUUAUACAUUCAGCCCUAUAUUUUAAAGAAACAUUCAGAAGUGUAUGUAAAAGUGGUCAUUCUAUACUCCUAUAGCUGAGCACAAAGUGAUUUGUUUUUGUCAGGAUCUUAUCUGAUGUGGAGUCAGAAGUGCAGAGUAAUAUACUCACCCUUGCAAAUAAACACAGACCAAAGUGACCAGAUAAGAAGCCACCUGGGCUGUGUGUCUAUGCACAGGGUUUGUGCAGGAUAUAGCUCCAAGUUGCAGUACAGGUAAGGAAAAAAGCAGGAGAAUAGUCGAGGACAAGCCAAAGUCAGAGGAUGCCAGAGGUCAGGAUAAAUGAUGAGAAAUAUCAAGAUCAUGAGGCAUCUAUCUGGAGAACACUUGAUCAAGAACACAUACAGGAACCAGAGUCAAUGAACUGACAAAGUUAUCAGCGUGAGGCAUUGCUUAUUUACCCAGCUAAUUAAUGAUCUGCUUCAGGUGGGCUAGACAGCCACGGGUAAAGUCCAGCCCCCAGUGUUGGAGACAAGGCGAGGAUAAACAUUAAGCAGACACAAGGACUGAAGUGUGGCCCAGAGGCAAGACAGCAGAACUAAGGCAGAAAAAUGUCAUGAUGAGAACCAUGACAGUUUUACAGUAGCACACUUUAAGUUUACAACAUAAAUCUAUAAAUUUCAAUGUGCUCGUAAAACAACCUUCUAAAAUAAAAUAUUGCUUAAAACUUUGAAACAAACUUGUGCUAAAAUAGAUGUACUAAAAUACUCAAAAUCUACCAUGAUAUACUCUUUCAGAAAUGGAAUAUAUUUAUGUAGUAAUUUGAACUUUCACACUGUACAAUGCCCCGAAAUGGGCCUAUUAAAUCCAUCUAUAAAAAUUCUAACUGUAAAAACAAAUAGUCAGGUAUCUUAUAUUGCACUGUAAAUUCAUUUAAUAUUGGCAAAGAAAUUUAUUGGGAGUAUUUUUAUUCAGAAGAGUUUGCUGAGCAUAAUAGGGCGUGCAGGGGUACAUAGUGACACAUAUUCGAUUUGCAAAGUGCCCAGCAAAAAUGUAAUUUGUAUGUGAAAAUAAAAACAAAUUUAAAAUGCUUCACACAUUUUGACAUAAACUGGUGAAAAAAAAUGGCAAAAUUUUAUGGAACAUCAUAGCCCUUAUACGUUACCCUGGAGUGUCUAUUUUCACAAAUUAUGAAACUACUGCCUUUGUUGGUUAUAUUGAGCAGUCAAACUGCUGUAAUGCCCUAAAAUUAGACUUAGGCCCAUCAAAUCUAUCAAAAUUCUAACUGUAAAAACAAAUAGUCAGGUAUCUUAUAUUGCACUGUAAAUUCAUUUAAUAUUGGCAAAGAAAUUUAUUGGGAGUAUUUUUAUUCAGAAGAGUUUGCUGAGCAUAAUAGGGCGUGCAGGGGUACAUAGUGACACAUAUCCGAUUUGCAAAGUGCCCAGCAAAAAUGUAAUUUGUAUGUGAAAAUAAAAACAAAUUUAAAAUGCUUCACACAUUUUGACAUAAACUGGUGAAAAAAAAUGGCAAAAUUUUAUGGAACAUCAUAGCCCUUAUACGUUACCCUGGAGUGUCUAUUUUCACAAAUUAUGAAACUACUGCCUUUGUUGGUUAUAUUGAGCAGUCAAACUGCUGUAAUGCCCUAAAAUUAGACUUAGGCCCAUCAAAUCUAUCAAAAUUUUAACUGUAAAAACUAAAAUGGCCAGGUCUCUUAUAUGACACUGUGGCUUCACAUGAUAGUGACAAAGGCAUACAGCAGGGUAUUUUUGUAAUCAAACGAAUGUACACAAUAUGGGAUUUUGUAAUGAAGUAGCAGACAUUAGGUUUAAGAAAUACACAUAAAAAGCAUGUGAUGUGUGUGUGUGUUAAAUAUCAGAAAAACUCAACUUUACUACAAUAUUUAGGAGAUAUUGGCAGAUUAAUGGCCAUGUAAAAAUUGUUAAAAUACCCUUAGGUAAAUGGUGUGUGAUAUUUAAUGUCUAUGUUAGUAAUAUAUACUUUUGUGUGGCAAUUUUGUUUUCUGUGGUGCCUAUUAAAGAAGGAACACAUACUAAACUGUAAAAUCUUACCACAAUAAAACUAGAUUUUACUCCAUGUAGUUUGUGACCCAUAACUUCUAAAAAUGAACUGAAAUACUAGCUAUUUGAUAUACUCUGUAAAUCAGGACAAAUACAUGAAUUUAUUUUUAAUUACAUUUUAUCAAGCUCCACUACUUAAUCACACAAUAUAAAUUUCAAAAUUAUGCAAAUUUUUUUUCUUCAGUUAUUGUGCUGGAUCAGUUUGUAAUCCUGACAACUAUAGCAUUAGGAAUACAGAUUUUAUUCUUAACACCAUAUUGCUCCUUAAAAGGGGCACCCAAGACCCCUGUAGCACUUUAGCUUGCUGAAAUGUGUUAUGUAUAAAGAGUGUUUCCUUUUUUCCAUUUUAGAAAGUGCAGGUUUCAAGAGAUAUUGAAAGUUUUUUAACUAUCCAUGUUACACUCCAUGGCCUUCAAGCAGACAACAGUUUCUUUAACCUCUUGUUCUCCUAAAGGCAGGCAAUUGCUCAGAGCCCUAUCUUGCAAAGAUUUCUUAUUGAGCUGUAUUGGAAAGUCUGUGAUUGGACAGACACAGAGUCUGGGCUGUGCAAAAAGAGGAGGGCUUGCAAAGGCAGCAGACCAGAGAUCUACAGCCUUUGCAAGCUGUUUAUAUAUAUUGACUUAAUUAAAAACACACACAUACAUGUUUUCAUUAGGGGCAUAUCUGUAUAUAUAAUGCACAGUAAUGGUUCUUUUUUUGUUUUCGGUCAGUGAAGUGUACCUUUAUGUACAGAAAAAAAACAAAUGGAAGGCUGGUUCUUAAGAGGUUAAACAUUCAGAAUGGUGACAUAUACAAUAUAUGAUGAACAAUCAAAAGAAUGGGGAUACAACGUUCAGCACAUACAAAUGAACACAUAAUAACUCUGCUACUCUAAAAUAUGAUGUAGUAGUAGUUUUUGUUUACUAGUUGGUUAGUUUAUCAUACUAAUGACAUUUUAGCCUUAUGUGGUUUUGUUGUCAAGCCAGACUUAUUGUUUUUUGUCUUUGUAGUUGUUUGCAAAACUAAAGUUGUAUUCUUUGUAAACUAUUUCAGCUUAGAAAAUAUCUAAGAAGUCUGCAUUUUAAUAUGUCUUCUGGUAAGGAGUUUACUUUUAAUGAGACGAGAAAUUCAAAGACACAUUUUGAGCUGUUACAAUACAUUUAUUUAAAUAACACAAUGAAAACAACCCACGUUGGAGAUUACAUUUUGACUGCAAACGCAGAGCCUAACCUCUACAUCAAAGAGAGAUCUAUUAUAUGGGAAUCAGAUAUCAAAGGUGUAAGUAAUAUUUAAACAUACAACCAAAACAUUUUACUAUUACGUAUGUACAAUUAUGCAUGUGAUCUAUGAAAAAUGUUUUUAGACAAGUAAUUGUUGUUUGUUAAUACUUUUAUGAAAAGGUAUUUUUUUAAAUCUGAAAAUUGAUACACUUUCCAAACAAAACUAUUCAUGCAUUGUACGUUUCCUCUAAUGCAGGGCUUCCCAAACUUUUAUGGAUCGAGACCCACUUUUAAAAAUGGUACAAGACCCACUUGCUUUUAAUGCAUAUUUUAACACCAUGGCAAUCAGCUUUAGAGGCAUACAAUUGGCACACCAUGGCAAUCAGUUGUAUAAGGAUAAAAUUGGCACACCAUAACAAUCAUUUCUAGAGACAUAAAAUUGUCACACUAUGGCAAUCAGAUUUAGAUGCAUACAAUUGGCACACCAUGGCAAUCAGAUUUAGAAGCAUAACAUUGUCAUACCAUGGCAAUCAGAUUUAGAGGUAUACCAUUGGCACCAUGGCAAUCAGUUUUAGAGGCAAACAAUUGGCACACAAUGACAGUCAGCUUUAGAGGUGUGGAGGAUUAUACCUGAACCAAGGCUCAAGUUACAGGUGACCGGAUGACCAGUCUGUUUAAAACUGGCUAACUUGGAUCAUGAUGUGCUUUGAACUUUAUCCUAGUUUUAGUGCCUGACAUGUAAGCACAAUCUUUCUUGUGACGAUUGCAGCUGUCACCCUCAGCCCCCACUUCUCAUGUCCUAAGUAACUUCAUUUUUUUUAUAUAUAACUGUUGAAAUAUGCUUAGUUCUGUAAAUUCUUUUUACGGUAUAAAGUGCCUUCAAGCAUCCUGUUUUUGUCGCGCAAGUCACAAAGGUAUUUACUAUAUAGCCUUGUAUGCUUUCCCAUUAAAAAAGCAGAAUCAGGGGGCGUGGCCUGGCAUCUGAACCGCAUGGACGCAAGUCUGUGAGGUUCCUGAACCUGGAGUAACAGGAGCAAAAAUAAUCGGUCUGCAAGAAAUUUAAUACCCCAUAAGAACGGAACUACCUCAGGCGGACAGAGCGUCCUUUUUCCUCAACAAAACAUCUGCACCCAAAGCACGGGAGGGCCGUAGCCCGACCAAAGAUGGCGGAGUGCUAUGUACCGGAGAUGACUCAAUCUCCCCCCCCCGCCUACCCCAGCUUGGUGUCGGAAGAGAGACCUCUGACCGCGACGACUAUGCGUCUGAUGAUGCCGGAAUUUGCAGAAAAUAUACAAGCAAACCUAAAAAAAACUAAUAACUACACUCUCCACAGACCUCCGAAAGGAACUCCACAAAGUGGGCCAGCGUACCUCCCACGUGGAAAAGAAGAUGGAUGAAUAUGCCGAGGCCCACAACAGCCUUGCGGACAAGCUCCAAGAGCUUGAAUCAACCCUACAGGAACACAAGCUAAAAAUGGCAGAUAUGGAGGACCUGACUUGGAGGAAUUACCUGCGAAUAAGAGGGGUCCACCCCUCUGCACUUAACUCCUACCUGCUGGAUUUUUUCCAAGCUCUCACGCCUGAGACCCACCCAGACCAGCUCCUCAUUGACAGGGCCCAUCGACUCAGAUGCCCUCCACACUUACCCAGCACAACAGCCAGGGAUGUCAUUGUCCGAGUGCAUUUUUUCCAUGCUAAAGAGAGGCUAGUGCGACCAUGCAGAGCGGUGGAGAUGCCGGAACCCUACCAACAGCUGAAGGUUUUCACGGAUCUAUCAGCCGCGACCCUCCAAUUCAGAAAGAGCAUGUCACCAAUCACGACCGCACUAAGGGCACAGGGAGUAGUGUACCGAUGGGGAUUCCCCGCAAAGCUGCUUGUCAGCCACAAGGAUGCACUGCAUGGAAUCUCAUCUCUUGCGGCAGGCAUGGAGAAGCUUAACCCCUUAAGGACCAAACUUCUAUAAUAAAAGGGAAUCAUGACAUGUCACACAUGUCAUGUGUCCUUAAGGGGUUAAGGCCUGGUACUACCUGCUGCCACGGAAGAGCGCUCCCAUAACGUGCCACGAAUGGUGCCGUAGUGGACAAUUACCUGAAGCGGCCUGACCACAGCAGGUAUAAAACCAUCACGAACGAUAUAAUAAUUCACCUGCUAUAUAUGUUGUUGCUUAAUGUUAUGUACCUGCUAUUUCUCCCAUUGGGCCCGGUUAACAAUAGGUCCCCGGUUUGCUAUAUAGACAUAUUGCACUAUGGACCCACUGUUUCCCUCAGAGUUAGGACCCUCAAACCAACCCUGGGUUCGGACACUGGGGGCCAAGUACUGCGGGAUAGUUGUCACUCACACUACUACUCCCAAAGAUAACUCCCAUGAUAUGAAUACUGCCUUGCUAAACCAACUGCCCUACCCACACUAGCCCAGGGCUAAUAGGCAUCUAGAUCCAAGAGAUCCAGUAAACACAUGCCCUGACCCCUCUACACAAGGGGUAGUCUCGCCCGGCCUCAUGUGGACAGUAAGGCUACAACUUCCUCCCGAACCACUAAGCCCAAGACCUCAAGAGCCUUUAAGGUGGGCGCGCUCCCCCUUGUUUUAUUGCUUACUGUAUACACAACAGUAACUACCACUCCGAAGUCAUGUAUUGACUAUGACAGCCACAGAGUCCCCUCCCAGGUAUUAAAGCUUGGCUACGUAAGCCCAUCCCUGAAGCUCAUUAAAAAAAAAAAAGUGUAUAUAUAUAUAAAUAAAUAAACAAACACAAUAGGUACCUAUUACCCUGAAUAAAUGUUAUUGUUUAAUAGUUCUCCACUUGCUCCUCCAAGGUGAGCUCUCAAUAUUGAGCCGAUGCUCACCACCACGUCCCCUGGUAUCGGCGGCCAAGUCCCACUUGGCGCUCCUUGGUUCACUCUAGGUGAACCUAGUUGGGCAUCUUACCCCCAAGUUCUUCCCCCCCAUGUACCCUCUUUCCCCCCUCCACCCAUUCUGUCCCUGCCCCCCGUAAGUGCAGCAUUACUAGCAACUCCCAAAACUUCUAUAAAACAGAUACAGUACCGACCCCUACCACAUUCAGAGACAGAAUCACUACAAUCCUGAAUGUACUGCAGACAACAUGUGCCCGCUGGAAAUCGCAGUUGGAGAGUGUCCAAGGCCCUCCCCAGAUCUGGGAAAAUCAGUUGACCCCGAUACAGGUUGAGAUUGCAAACAUGAACCUUAAGGAACCCCACUUAACCUUUAUCCUAGAGUAUGAAAAUCAUUACUUACAAUGUUAAAGGGUUGAAUACCCCUAGUAAACAAAGGCUUUUACUCAGAGACCUCAAGAAAAACCAAAUAGCUUGCAUACAAGAAACCCACUUUAAGAAAGGACACACAUCGGCCCUAUUCACUAAACAUUACCCCGUCCAAUACCACUCGCUAUCGGACAGCAAAACCCGAGGGGUCUCCUUUUUCAUCCACAGAGAUGUAGCUCAACAACUCCACCAACAACACAUAGACCCCAACGAGCGAUAUUUCAUCCUCAUGGGGCUGAUUAAUAACACACAGUAUAUGUUGGCUACAGCCUACUUCCACAAUGACAACUCCAAGUCCUAUCUUCAUUCCAUGCUCACCAAACUUGACAAAUACAAACAGGGCAACCUACUCCUAUGUGGUGAUUUAAAUUUCACAGACUAACCUCGAUACAUCGACCCACACUUCAGGCCGAACACAUAGCACUAGAGAAAGAGUCGCUAAAGCUCUCACUAAACUCCUAUCCCACUACGACCUGUAUGACGCCUGGAGGACACUUCACCCCACUGAGCGAGAUUAUACGUUUUACUCUAGGGUACAUAAUACCUACACGCGGAUAGACGCUUUAUUAGUAGAUAGAGCCUCACUAGCACAACUCUCUGGAUGCUCCAUAGGAGAGAUUACCUGGUCAGACCACGCCCCAGUCUCCCUUGAACUAUUUGAUCUGUUCCAAUUUAAAGGGAAAGGGACAUGGCGUCUCAAUGACUCCCUGCUCUCGGACCCAGAAUUCGCAGCCACUAUCCGAAGGGAAAUCCAGGAAUACUUUAGGACUAAUGCGACGGCAGAAAUGUCUGACUCAACUGUCUGGUCCACUCAUAAGGCGGUCAUAAGAGGCCAUAUGAUACGUCACUCCUCUUUCCUCAAAAAACGUCAAAUCUCUAGCACCCUAGAGUGCCACAAGCAAAUUGCACUAGUAAACUCUCUGAAUAAAAUACAACCCUCAGAGGAACUGGCGAAUAAACUGUCCAAACUAUAUGUGUUGGAAAAAACUUGGAAAAAAACAAACACAUGUUACAUAAAUUACGAGCUACCACAUACCACAAUAGUGGUAAGGCAUCAAAAUAUCUGGCCUCUAGGCUGCACAGCCACUAUUCCGCUAACAAAAUAACCCACAUUAAUAAUGACGUAGGUGAGAAAGUUGUAAACCCAGAGGACAUUGAUCAAGAGUUCACAAACUUUUAUUCGAAACUUUACAACCUCCAACAGGAUACCACGAUACACUACCCAAAUGACAUGGGCAUCUUCCAGUACCUAUCCGCAAUCCAACUCCCCAACAUCUCAUAAGCACAUACAGAACACCUCCUGCAACCCAUAACACUAGAGGAAGUCCUCUCAGCUAUUAAGGCCCUGUCACCUGGCAAAUCCCCGGGGGCUGAUGGGUUUACCAAUGCCUAUUAUAAAGCAUAAGCGGAAGACCUAGCACCCCACCUCCUUAGAGUAUACCUGGAGACCGUCAAAACCAACUCUCUCCCACCGGAGAUGCUACUAGCCACCAGAGUACCAACCUAUGCAAAAACUUCCACCCCAUCUCGCUUCUGAAUACAGACGCGAAGAUAUAUGCCAAAAUUCUGGCUAAUAGACUGAGCCCCAUACUACCGACACUGAUAGUGGACAACCAAACGGGGUUUGUCCAGAGCAGACAAGGCUCUGACAAUACACGCAAACUCUCCUUGGUAAUGGAGAAGCUCCGGGGGACCGGCGGGGGCUGACUGCUCUUGGCGUUAGACGUGGAGAAAGCGUUCAACUGCCUCAGCUGGUCCUUCCUGAAACACGUAUUAACUAAGUAUGGCAUCCCCCCACAAGUCACUGGCCAACUAUUUGCCCUGUACUCAGCCCUAACAGCCCAAGUCAUGCAAGCGGGUUUUCUGUCCCGACCCUUUCCGAUAAGCAAUGGAACUAGGCAAGGAUGCCCAUUUUCCCCGUUAUUAUAUGUCCUAGCCUUGGAGCCCCUCUUAUGCACGGUUAGGGACCACCCAGAUAUCUGCGGAAUAGAAGUAAGCGGAAAGGAAACCAAAAUAAGUGCAUUUGCAGAUGACAUACUCCUCUUUGUCUCCCGCCCCAAGCCCUCCAUACCACCGCUCAUGGAUCUCAUCCGGGAAUAUAGCCUACUUCAUACUACUCCCUAAAUAAAACCAAGACUCAAGCUUUAGCUAUAGGAUUACCAAACCCUGUUCGAGAGGCCCUCCACACCAAAUACCCAUUUGAGUGGUGCAGACACAAUAUUAAAUACCUAGGAGUGUUAUUCACUAAACAGGCGACAUAAUUAUACUCGGGGAAUUACAUAAGGGUAUGGAGCAAAUGCAAACUCAUCCUCCAGCGUUGAGGCUCGCUGUACAUGACCUGGACGGAGCGAAUAGUGGCAUUCAAAAUGUCCAUUCUACCAAAACUACAAUAUCUUUUCCGCACAAUACCCAUAUAGCUCCCUCAGGCCUACUUUAAGAAAGCGGUUCACAAAGACAUGUCCACAUUCGUCUGGGCAGGCUCCCGACCGAGAGUAACCAUGAAAAUGCAUCCCGGUUCCAACAAAGGCAGGGGGACUCACAGUUCCAGAUAUCGAGGCCUAUUUCCAUGUCUUGGUACUGGCCAUGGCGAUACCCCACUUCCUCACCGGUCCCCGGCCCCAGUGGGUAAACAUAGAGAGCAAUUGGCUACAGCCCUUCGACUUCCCCAGCAUGUUCUGGCUGCCAAAACAGCUCACACCACCCUUGCCAUCAGCACCACCCCAGAUCACCCUGACUCUCUGGAUCUGGGACAUCCACAGAGCUAGAUUAAGCUCUUCGAACCUACUCUCCUUGGCCACCCCUAUUGGGGCCCUUCCGUACUGCAUCCCCACCUUUCACGAUAAACCUUGGCAAGCACAGAACCUGACGCACUUAUACCACACUCAUGCACAGGGGAAACUCAUAGACUUCCAACACCUGCAGGACAGUCACAACCUGCCGAGUAUCUCACAGUUCUCCUAUCUCCAACUAAAAUCCUUCCUCACACGAGGACAGGCACUAGCCCCCCUGCAACCACUCCCACACAAACACUCACUGUGUGGGAACAGAUAUGUAUAAACAAAAGCUUACCUUUGCAAUGUAAGCCCAUCUCCAUGUGCUACAAGUUAAUAUUAAGCUACCUCCCUUUCCAUAUGUCGCCACCUUCCCAGCAGUGGAGCAUGGACCUAGGGAUUGAGGUCUCCCAGCAGAGAUGGGACCAACUGUUCACCACGACUAAAUCCCUAAUUAAGUCUGCUACCCUACUGGAACAGCAGAGAAAAACAAUCUAUAGAUGGUACAUGGUACCGACGCGCAUCUAAAAGAUAUAACCCGAUAGCUUGCCAAAUUGCUGGAGAUGCGACAACCAAGAAGGAACAGUGCUCCACAUCUGGUGGCAAUGUCCAAAUAUCCAACCAUUUUGGAUAGGGGUUCACACCAUGCUGACCUCCUUGGCUGCAACCAAAUUGCCCCUACAACCUAGCACGUAUCUAACCAUGCUCCUGCAAGACGGUCUCCCUAAGCAGUGGCGUACAUACCGGGGUCGCAGGGGUUGCGGCUGUGACUGGGCCCGGCCCACCAGGGGGCCCGGCCACCCUGCAACCCGGUAUGUACCCACUGUGGUCAGCCUCUUCUCCUGGGGGGCUCAGGAGCCGGCCACCUCAGGGCCCCCCGAGGCUGGCCCUGGUGUCAUCUUCCGGCUCCGGUAUCAGUACGCGGCGCGCGAGGGAGCUGAACAGGAAGCACUCAGGGGAGAGUGCUCCCUCGCGUGCUCGCCAGCCUGCCCGCCCGCCGGGUGACACCACUGGACCCCAGGGAAUCCCCUCCACUCUCCCAAAGGUAGGGAGGCUGGGGGGAUUAAAUAAAAAAAAAAGUGAGUGUGUGUGUGUUAGUGUGUGUGUGUGUGUGAGUGAGUGUGUGUGUGUUAGUGUGUGUCAGUGAGUGUGUUACUGUGUGUGUCUGCUACUGAGUGUGUUAGUUUGUGUGCAUCUGUUAGUGAGUGUGUAUGCAUCUGUUCAUGAGAGUGUGUGUGUCUUAAGCACGUACCUUUCUCCAGCGCUGGACUCCCUUGGCGCUGGGGAUCUCUCUGCCCUGAUCCGCCUCUCAGCUCUGAAUGCGCAUGCGUGGCAAGAGCCGUGCACGCAUUCAAACUGCCCAUAGGAAAGCAUUACUCAAUGCUUUCCUACUCAUUGCUUUCCUAUGGACAUUCAGCGUCUUCUCACAGUGAGAAUCACAGAAGCUCCUCUAGCGGCUGUCAAUGAGACAGCCACUAGAGGCUGGAUUAACCCUCAGUGAAACAUAGCAGUUUCUCUGAAACUCCUAUGUUUUCAGCUGCAGGGUUAAAACUAGAGGGACCUGGCACCCAGACCACUUAAUUGAGCUGAUGUGAUCUGGGUGUCUGUAGUGGUCCUUUAAGUGUAUGUGUAUCUGCAUGCACUGGCGUACAUACCGCGGUCGCAGCCCUGUGACCCCUGCGACCAGGUGCCCGCCACCAUGUGUUGCGGCCCCAGCCCAUGCAGAGUAAGUGAGCGGGGGGGCCCACGGGUCAGUUUUCGCACCGGGGCCCCAUGGGUUGUGUGUACGCCACUGUCCCUAAGCAUCUGCAGAAGCUUAUGUACCAUGUCAUAUUAUCAGCCCAAAGACUAAUAGCAAGAGCACGGAAAUCCCCUAAUCAUCCCGCAGUGUCCACCCUAGCGAUGGAAAUAGAUACACAAUGCAAGUACGAGCAGGGCUUUGGCAGACUGUGGCCCCGAAAUAAAACUACCCAAAGGACAUGGGUGGCUUGGAGCACAUGGAGAUUGGCACAAGCCAGAUCGCGCAGAUUGUAACUACACCAGAAGGAGAGAUUGGCAGGAAUCUGCAAGAGACCCGAUGAGGGCUGUGAACAGGAUAAUGUGUUGCAAUAUAAAGUUAUGUACACCAUUCAGUCUAAUUCUGUCUAUAAGAAAUGUCAGAUAUGAACAUGAUGCAUUCCCCCCCUUUUUUUUCCUUUCUGUACCCCACCCCCGUGUUAACUUUUCUACAAAAAUAAAAAUUGUCAAAAAAAAAAAGCUGAAGCAUCUUUUGAUUCACAAACAAUUGUGUGUGUCUGAUUGCUUCUUUGAGUGCUCAAAUUUACAAUUUGGUUUCCCUUGAACAUAUCGUUGGGUUAUUUUUGUCCACAAUUUCGGUGCCUAAAAAGAGACAAUCCAUUCCAUUCGGACGAACUACUGGGAAACCGGAAGUUGUAGACUGUGAGUCUUAAGCUUCAGCAGGUGAGAAAAAUGUCUUUUCUACCUAUCUAGAUUCACUCUCUAUGUAGCUCUCUGAGUCCUAUGUCCAGGUGAGUAAGGAUUUAAAUAGGUCUCCUCCUAAAGAACUUUUUUUCUGUAGUAUAGUAUGUUCAGGUGGAAUGUCUUGUGAAAGAAUUUUUUUUUUUCAAAUCUUUUUAUUGUAGAAAAGGCAGUAAGAUGCUUAAAGCCAAUCUCUUACCCAUUUUUAAAAAUGAUAAAAACCCCACUGACAUAAAAAAUUAUCGUCCGAUAUCUUUAAUAGAUGUAGACACUAAGCUAUAUGCUUCGGUUUUGGCUGCCAGAAUAAAAAAACUUCUUCCAUUAAUUAUUCAUAGAGACCAAAUAGGAUAUGUUCCAGGUAGAAAUUCCUACACAAGUAUAAGGAAAAUUAUCAAUAUCUUGGAAGAUGCAAAUAGAAAUGAUGUUCCAGUUCUGACUCUGUCGAUCGAUGCUGAAAAAGCAUUCGACAGAGUCAGCUGGAAAUAUUUAGAAGCCGUUUUAUCACACUAUGGAUUGGAAGGUUGGAUUAAAAAAGCCAUAAUGGCGUUAUACGUCAAUCCAGUUGCACGGACUAUUGGACCUAAUAUUGUUGCCCCAUGGUUCCAACUAUGGAAAUGGUACUCGGCAGGGCUGCCCCCUUUCACCAUUACUUUACUUGCUGACUAUCGAACCAUUGGCUGAAAAUAUUAGGAACAAUAAAGAGAUUAACGGAUAUAAAAUAAUGGAUGAAGAUCAAAAAAUUAGUCUAUAUGCUGAUGACAUUUUAAUUACUCUCACAAAUCCUAAAAAUUCUUUAGAGCAUAUAAUGCAAGAAAUAGAGCGAUAUAGUUUUAUAUCAAAUUAUAAGUUAAAUACAAAUAAAUCUUUGAUAUUAGAUGUCAAUUUCAAUAAAAAGAUGCAACAAGAGAUUAAAAACAAAUAUGAUUUUAUUUGGGUUAAAGAAAGCAUGGAUUAUUUAGGAAUUAAAAUAACUAGAGAGAUAAAUAAGAUUAUGGAAGUAAAUUUUUUAACAUUAUUAUUAGACCUUAACAAAUGGUGAAAAGACCGUAGAAAUCUAGAGAUUACUUUUUGGGGACGAAUAAAUGUCAUUAACUCAUAUGUUAUACCAAAGUGGAAUUAUAUGUUUCAAAUGCUACCUCUCCAUAUUCCAAUCCACUGGCUUCAAUCAAUACAAAGAAGUUUUACUCAAUACAUUUGGAAAGGCAAGAAGCCAAGAUUGAAACAGUCAAUAUUGGUGCAGAAAUUACAUAAAGGUGGACUCGACUAUCCAUUUAUAAUGAAUAAUUUUAAAGCAGCUACUAUCCUACAUGUUUAUAGAAUGCAAAUCAAAGAAAAUAAAGACGAAGGAUGGUAUAAAAUGGAAAUGAAGGCAGGAGAGUCUCUAGCUUAGACUGCCUAAUUUGUAAUAUAAAUAAAACGUUAAAGAAAAAAGAGUAUUCUAGUAUUAUUUUAACUCAACUACUGGAAAAUUGGUCAAAAAUCAAAAAAGCAAUGAAUAUAGGAAAAAAAGUUCCAAGCUAUUUAGAGUUAGAUAUUGUAGAAAAACAAGUGGAAGAUUUAAACUUAAACAAUUGGAAAAAAUUAGGGAUAACGACCUUGGAUCAAUUAUUGAUAGAAUGAUCAAUCAAAACUUUUGCUCAAAUAACAGGUGUAUAUAAUCUUCCUUCUAGAGAGGUGUUUAAUUUUUUAAGACUUAAAAGCUAUAUGAAUACACACCUUAUAAUACCAAAAUCUAAUUUAAGCAACUUGAUUGAUUUAUUAUUCACGUCAAAAAAAAUUAAUAAACCACUCUCUAAAGCUCUGAUAUUAAUUAAAUCAAUGGCUAAAGAUACAAACCCUACUGCCAUACAGGUUUGGAAACAAGAUUUAAAUAUUGAUAUUAGUCUGAACCAAUGGGGUUCUUCAACGAUGGAUGUUAAGAAAAAUAUACAUUUAUUAAACUUACUAGAAACACACUUUAAAGUUUUAAAUAGGUGGUACUUAGUACCAGCUAAAUUGAACAAAAUUUAUCCCUUAAUUAAUCCUAUUUGCUGGAGAUGUAAUAAUAUUAGAGGCAAUUUUAGACAUAUUUGGUGGGAUUGUAAUAAACUAAAGAAUCUCUGGUUGAAAAUACAGCAUUUUAUAUCCAUUAAUUUAAAACUCGAGUUGAACAUUUCUCCAGAGGUAGUUUUGUUGCAUUUGAACUGGCCACAUAUGACAUAUGAGCUAAAAGCAAUUCUUAUACAUCUUUUUUUAGCUGCUAAAAUAGUAAUUGUGAGAUGGUGGAAAAAAGAUUCAGAAGUCCCCUGGAAGAAAGUUAAAAUUCAACUCAAGUUUCAGAUUAAAAUGGAGUUGAUGCUAAGUAAACAAAGACUAAGUAAUAAGGUUUCUGUUUGGUCAAAAUGUAUUGAGAUGAUUGAUGUAGAAAAUAAUGCUGAUCAAUUAGAAGUAGACUAAUUCCAUGAACAUUGCAAAAAAUAUGAGAUACAUUUAAAUGAAAUUACCACUCUGCUAUGGAAACUUUUUUGAUGUAUUUUCCUUUUCUCUCCCCUAUUUUGCUGCUAUGUCGUUUUGUAUUGUAAAUUUGUAUGAUAUAUGUAUUUGUAUGAUAUAUGUAUUUAAUAAGAAAAAUAAAUAAAAAUAAAGAUUAAAUAUUCAAAAAAAAAAAAAAAGGCAGUAAGAAAAGGCUCGCAGGCCUCCAUAAGAAGCAUUGUGGAAAGAUGUAUCACAAAGCAUUUGUCAUUCCAUUUUAGAACACAACUUAACAGACUUUGAAACAGUGCUUGGUUACAAUGGUAGUGUAAAUGCAUGGUAUAGUUGCAGUGUAUACAAGUAUGACAUGAGGGCAUUUUCACGGUGGUCACUCUAAGCCUAUAACUAGGCAUGUAUAUACAAUUAUUGUUCCAUGCUCGGUGCGUUUUCUCCUGUAUGUGUAUUUACUGCUUCCUUCCACCAAGUAUGGAGCUUAUUUUCCUAAAUCAGGGAUGAUUUGAACAAAGAGGGGUAAAGGUUGUUGGAAAAAGAAAGAGUUGUGAAAGAAAUCUUGAAAUCUUGAGACAGUAGAGUAUAUCUGUAGGGCUCGAGUUUGUCUGCCUUGUCAUUUGUUUUAUAGUUAGAGUCAGAAUCCUCCAAGGCAGAUCUCUGAUCUGUGUUUAAAUUAAGAAGACAAAGACUAUGAAAAUUCCACUGCAGUGGUCCUAAGUGUUUAAACACUGUUUGUAUAGUAUUAUCUUGGUUAAGGACGUAAUUACUCCUUACAGGUGUUCGAGAUGGGUGACUCACAAAGUACCCAGGAGGAAUUUACAGCUCUGACUAUAGCCAAACAUCAUUAAGGACAAGGAACUACUAAGACAAUAAAGAAAUUACUUAAGAAAGCUGGCAUGCCCACAGAGGGCCCCCUUGAACCCAGAUAUGGAAAGAAUUUAUGGCAAAUUAUAGAGGGUGGUAAGAGGAUAAUGACUUAGAAGAAGUUGCUCAGAAAUGUCAUGAUAUAGCGGUUGAAUUAACUAAAUGUGGUUGUAGAGAAACUACCAGGGUCCAAUGUUUUGGACCCUUAGGCUCCUGCAAUAAAAAGAAUCCCAAAAGGAAACCUGAAUAUCCACCCCUUUACCCAGGAAGGAAGGAACCGUAUAUAAAUCGGUCCCUAAAGAGAAAAUGAGAUCUCAAGUCCCUGUAUCCACUGUAAAUCCUAUUACCCAAAAAGGAAUACAGAAUCCACGUUGUGAAUGGACACACUCAUGGUGGAAAGAAAAAAGAUAAAAAGAAAAAGAAGCAGUAAGCUUUUGAAAGUAGACCACUAGAGGUUCAAACAGGUCCAAAAGGGUAGGAAGAGUAUAAGCCAUGGACACCAAGUGAACAACUAGUUCUAAUUCAACAGUUGCCAGAUGUGUAAGAAGCUCCUUUAGCUUUAGUUCAAUCCCUGUCCACUAUUCAGGCUACUUACCAAUGCACUUUGGCAGACCUAAAGCAAAUACUUGACUUGCAGGUCCUGUCCUCACUCGAAUCAUUGCCCAUUACACAGAUGUACAUGAGGGGAAUUUAAGGAAAGGUGGACAAGACCAACCGCUAAAACAGACCAAUGGUUUAGAUAUAAAUCAGCCUCAGGAAAAUCCUAUGUAACUGCUCUUAAAAAUUGGGCUAAAGUAAAAACCGAAGAACUGGCCCACAAGCUAGGAGAAAUUAUACAGGGGAAAGAUGAUUCAGUGGAAAAAUUCUUUGUCAGACUGCAAAUAGCUUGGGAGUCACUGGGCUAUACUGAAACCAAAGUAACAUCCACUAGAUUGUUAAUUAAUUGUUUCAUAGAUGGUCUCCAUGCUCCUAUAAGAACAGGACUCCAGAAUACUAGACCAGAAUGCAAAAGCCUUAAUUACAGUGAUUUAGUUAAAGUGGCUAUGGGAGUAGAAGCCAACCUAAAUAAUAGAAGAAGAACAAUAUACAAUGGAAACAUCAUAGCAGCUUUAGAUGCAGAAAAUUAGCACACCAUGGCAAUCAGCUUUAGAUGCAUAAAAAUGGCACACCAUGGCAAUCAAUUUUAGAUGCAUAAACCUGGCACAUCAUAACAACUUUAGGUGCAUACAAUUGGCACAUCAUGGCAAUCAGCUCUAGAGGCAUAAAAUUGGCAAUCAGUUAUGGAGGCAUACAACUGGAACAUCAUGGCAGCUUUAGAUGCAUAAACUUUGCACACCAUGGCAAUUGGCUUUAGAUGCAUAAACUUGGCACACCAUGGCAAUCAGCUUUAGAUGUAUAAACAUGGCAUGCCAUGGCAACUUUAGUUGCAUAAGAUUGGCACACCACAGCAAUCAGUUUUAGAGGCAUAAACUAGGCACACCAUGGCAAUCAGCUUUAGAGGCAUAUAAUUGGCACACUGUUGCAAUAAACUUUAAAUGCAUAAAAUUGGCAUAUCUUGGUACUUUUAGAGGCACACUUUUGGCAUAUUAUGGCAGUUUUAGAGGCAGAAACUUGGCAUAUCAUGGCAGUUUUAAAGGCAGAAACUUGGCAUAUCAGGACAAUCGGUUUUAGAGGCAUACAACUGCUUACUCACAGACUCAGGCAGAAUCAGAAGCGAUGUGUUCCACUCUUUCAUCCAGGCACCUCAUGUUGAGUAUCCCAGUGGUGCAACUAAUGUAGAGAGGGUCCUGUUGCAAUUAUCUUUCCUGGGAACCCCUCUAGUGCAAGUGUGGCCAAAAAAUGAAUCCCCAUCUGUUGGAGAACUUCAACAAUGCUAUGCCAGGGGGAUCUACCAUUUGCUCAUCGUUGCAGGGUGGUAUUUGUGAGCAGUGUUUGAGCAUUUGAAUGUAAGCAUGUUUUUGUAUGAAGUAUAUGUGUACAUGUAUGGUGGUAUUUGUACUGUUGUCAUUGGAAUGUAGUGGUGUACUUGUAUGUAGUUUUUGUGUCUGAAUAUAGGGGUGUUUGUAUGUAGUGUUGGACUUUAAAUGCAGGUGCUCUUUUGUGUGUAGUGUUGUUGUUUGAAUGAAGGUGUGUUUGUAUAUAAUUUUAACGUUUUAAUACAGGGCUGUGUUUGUAUGUAAUGUUUGUGUUUGAUUGCAGUGCAUGUGUAGUGGAUGCAGUGUGUAUAUAAAAUAUACAUAUACACAAUGUGUGUUUGAAUGUAAGCAUGUUUUUGUAUGCAGUAUGUGUGUGAAUGUUGGUGUGCAUUUGUGUGCAGUCUGUAUACCUCCACACACUGAAACACAUAUACAUAUACACACACACACAAAAAUACACACUGACACAGCAAUACACACAGGAACACACAAAAUUACACCUAGUUUCCCACACACAGAUACACAGACACUCAUGUACACAGACACACAUGGACACACAGAUACACAUACACACAGAGACAGGAGGUGAGGGUGACAGUGUGUGGGAGAGGUGAGGGUGACCGUGUGGGAAGGAGUGUGUGUGUGCUGGUGACAGUGUAGGGGCAGUGUGAGAAAGAUUGACAAUGUGUAGGAGUGAGAAAGGGUAACGAUGUGGGGGAUGAGAAAGGUUGACAGUGUGGGGUAGGAGAGUGAAAAAUGGUUACUGUGUGAAGGGGCAGGGUGAGAAAGGGUUACAGUGGGGGAGGGUGAGAAAGGGUUACAGUGAUAGAUGGAUGAGUAUAGAUGAAUGACAAUGUCCAGCUGUCCAUUGCCCUAUCCUUUACUUACUUUGACAUUUACACUGUCCGCCUAUUUAAACCCACUCCUUUAAUAAUUGCUGUCAUUUACCACCCUCUGGUCAUCCUAGGCUAUAUAUUGAGCGCUUUUCUUCCUGGCUACCUCAAUUCCUCUCCUCUAGCACUCCUUUCCUUAUACUUGGGGAAUCAACAACCUCACCUGCAGUGAUGCCUCUCGUCUGCUCUCUGUAACCUCCUCCUUUUCCUCAGGCAAUGGUCUAAUUCAGCAACCCAUACAGUGGGAAAUACUCUUGAUCUCACCUUCACCAACCUCUGUACCACCUCUAAUCUCUCCAAUAUUACUUUUUCUCUAUCUGACCACCAUCUGCUGACUUUUGACAUCAGCACACCCAAGACCCACCUGACACCACCCUCAGCACAUCAAUAUCACAGAAAGCGUAGUCAGGGAUGGAACCAAUAGUCAGGACAGGCAGCAGACAGGCAAAAACGAAUGACGAGCAGAGGAUCAAAAACCAGGAGUCGGAUUAACAGCCAACAGGAACAAAACGAUCUGACAAUGUGUAACAACCAAGGCGGGGUUUAUAUAGGGAUAUGACAGCCACUUAUCAGGAACAGGUGUGCAUGGUCCAGGCUUAGACACUAGGAGAACAGGAUACCAGGAACAACUAGAAACAAACAAAGAUGCAAUCAUGUCCAAGGUAAGGUAACUGACUAUCUCACUACUGCCUUUUGCAUCCAAGAUCCUCAAAUGACUUGUGGAUGCGAGAUUGACAGACUUCCUCGAGUCCAAUUCUCUGCUCGACCCACUUCAGUCUGGUUUCGGCGCUCAGCACUCUGUGGUGACGGCCCUGACCAAAGUACCAAAUGAUAUACUCGCUGCAAAAUCUUAUGGUCACUACUCUAUCCUAAUUCUCCUUGACCUGUCCCCUGCUUUUGAUACUGUUGAUCAUUAAUAGCUUCUUUUAAUCCUUCGUAAUCUUGGUCUAAGAGAUAUGGCUCUCUCCUGGUGCUCCUCCUACCUCACACAGCGCUCUUUUAGCGUUUCUCUCUCUGUUGGUACCCCCCAAAGUUCAGUCCAUACAUUGGCUUCCCGUAAGAUAUAUGGCUCAAUAUGAAAUUCUGUUUCUUGCUUUCAAAGCUCUACAUAAUGCUUCUCUCACCGAUCUAUCAUCCAUAAUACACAAGUAUGUCUCAUUUAGGCCCCUAGACUAUCCUCUGUUCAUACCUCCAUCUCUGAUACUCACAUUCAAGACUUCUCUAAGGCUGCCCUGUUCCUGUGGAACUCCCUUCCCUUUUCCGUUAAAUGCUCACCCAGUCUCCACUCCUUUAAAAAAUCAUUGAAAACUCACUUUUCCCCAAAAGCAUAUCAAUUAAACUUUUAAUGGCUCCAAAAAAAACCACACUAAGUCUGAAUACUAUUCCAAUCUACUCCAAUCGACUUCCCUAAUACUUCCCUUACCUUUUGUGUCAGUUUACUCUACAGCCUCUAGCAUGUAAGCUCAUUGAGUAGGGCCCUUAACCCCUUUGUUUCUGUGUGUCAAACUUGUCUGGUUAUAAAUACAUGUUUGUUAGUCCACCCAUUGUAAAGCACUAUGGAACUUGUUGGCGCUAUAUAAAUAUUAUAAUAAUAUACCUUUUCCUUAUCUCAAAAAACCUCAUGACUUGUUUCCUUCUAUAAUGUAAUGUAUUGAAUAGUUGUAUCAGCAGAUACUUUACUAAGCACUGUCCUAUAACCAGCUCAAAAAAUGUAAAAGUAGGAUUUUAAAGAUGUCUUGUUGACUCUUUGAUUGACAGGAAACCUAUGUCUUUGUCCUAUGUGUUGUUUACAUUUUGAUUGACAGGCACAUGUGGUUUUUGCUAACUUAAGCCUUUAACCAUUCCAUUGCUGAGCUAACCUUGUAGAAUGUCAAGAGUCUGCAAGAUAUGCUAAAUUGUAUAUAUUGCACAUUAAAUAAUCAUAGUCCAUACUCCACAGGGGAAACAUUGAAAAACACCACUAGAUGGAUAGCACUUAUGCAGUAUCCUUGUACAGGGAUGAGUUCCAGAAGAGCACGUCAGAGGCAUUGGCUUUCUUUUGAGCAAAUGCAUCAGCAGAGAUGGUGCAACUGAUUUGGAGAGGCAGAUCUGCCUUGCCAGCCAGACCUGAGCAGUGGCAGAUUGAGGAGUGCAGAAAUCUAGUUGCUGGACCUUGCAGUGAUGACGACACUGUCUUUGGAAAUGGUAAGCUGGAUUUUAGGGACCAGAUUCAAAGCAACUCUGGGACAAGGUCCUUAAGGAGAUGCAGGUACUCUGGAGAGAAUUCCUCCCAACUCCAGAACAGUGACUUCAGGAUCAAAUGGAUCUGUGAAUACCUUUCUGGGAGAGCAACCCCUGAAAGAUUGGGUGGUUGAGCUUGAGAGGCUGGUCUGGAGGGAUUUAUGGGUGGACAUUUGUUAUGUGGUCCAGAUAGCCAAUGAUGACCCUUCAGAGGGUGAGGACUAUGAUGGUCCUGGCCUAUUGUAGGAAGCAGAGGACUGAGUUCAGAAAACCUGCGGUUUUCUUAUUCUGGGACAUCCAGGAACUUAGAAGAAACCUCAAGAAUAUUGGUCAGGUAGGUGUGGAGGGAACUAUGUGCUCCACACCUAAAUCACAGGGAUGCUGGGUAGCCGGUGUGGCAAAACCAACCUCGCCACUGGGCAUUGGAGAAGCCUGUUUGCCCACCUCCUGCCUGCUGACUAUGGCCCCUGGGAGGUUUGGCCCUUUAAAUACAGUAUUUGGGCAUAUUGUAAUUUAUUGUGCUGUUGCUGGCCCUUUAAGAACCAUCUGGGGACAUACUAUGACUUUUGGGAACAAUGCCCCUUUAAGACUUUGUCCCCAGUGUCCCCAGACUGUUAAUAUACUGUGUUCCUGGCUUUAUUCCACUUGGUUCAGUAAAUGGGGCUUACUGAAGCAAGUACCACACAGGCGGACCACCCAGAAGGGGAAGUGUGCAGGCAAUUUAUCUCCCAGGCUGGGAGCCUGCUAUAGGUGAAUUGCCGACUGCUGGGUGGCCGUAGUUCGUGCAAACAAACACGUGGCGGCGGCCAUCUUUAAUUCAGCUGAAGUUUUACCUUCUCCAGACUUCAAUGCAUUCGACAAUUCGAACCCCAUUCGACAGUUCGAACGCCGUUCGACAGUUAAUUCGACAAUUCGAAUGGUUGUCGUUCGUUUGUUUGAACUGAAUUUAACAUGGGAAAUAGACCGGCCGCACAGCUUGAAUCUCUGGAACUGUUUUGGGCAUGAAAAUGUGCGUGAGGUCGGUCAUAAAGGGACUUCCAGCUAACUUUUUAACCCCUGGAUGGAAUUGGCUGAAUUAAAGUGUGCUGAGUUUUAAUAUGUAAUUUAUGAAGAUUGAAUGUAUAUUUUUAAAGAUACAGUGUAUGUGUAAAAAGUAUAUUUUUCCUGCCUGUGAUAAUUACUCAGUAAUUAUAUCAGAGGCAGAGGGGAGUGUUAGUGUGCAAUUGCUGGGAGUGUUUUAUUGUAAUGUACGUAUUUUAUUGGUUGUUUUACAAAACCCUGUGGGCGGUACUAUGUUUCUAAAAUGGGCAUAAAAGCAGAGUGUUUGAUUAAAAGCUUCAGUUCUACUUCACCCUCAAUUUGGAGUGCCGUCUUUUAUUGGGGGAAUCUGCUACAAGGGAUUGCUAUGCUCUGCAUAUUCCCUUGCUAUAAUCACUCCUAAGCUCUUUUAAGAGCUUGUUCCUGUUGUUCUCUCUGAAGGAGUCUACGGUGGUUAUGGUGUUGGCUGGAGUGCUUGGAGACCUCAGGAAGCGCUAGGAGCAUCCUUCAACAGAGGUACCCAGUCAGGGUGCCAGGUGAUCCGUUACAGCCGACCUGCCCUGCAGCACCAGAUAAGGAUUGAUGGAGUGGAAGUAGCUGCCCCCAAUAGCAGCAGAUUGCAACCCUGCGAUAGGAUGUAGAGGCAGCUCUCUACCCAGUAGCAGAUUGAGCUCCCAGCAGGGGAGGUAUUUGGCCUCCCUCCCCAGAAGCAGAUUUCAAACCAUAAGGUGGAGGUAGAGUUAUCUGGCUUCCCUCCCCAGCAGCACUUCACAACCAAUGAAGCUGAGGUUGUCGACUUCCCUCCCCGGCAGCAGAUCACAACUAAGGGAGUUUAAGUUUUCAGCUUCCCUCCCCCACAGCAGCUGGCAACCCUGCAAGAAGAGGUAGAGGUAGUCAAGCUCCCUCCCCAGAGGUCGAUUACAACCAAGGGAGUGGAGGUUUUCAUCCUCUCUCCCCAGAAGCUUCUGGCAACCCUUAAAGAGGAGGUAGAGGAAUUCAACCUCCCUCCCCAGCAGCAGAUCAUAAUCAAAAGAGUGGAGGAUUUCGGCCUCUCUCCCCAGUGCAGAUUACAACCAAGGACACCGAGGUUGUCAGCCUCCCUAGUAGCAGAUCUCAACCGAGGGAGCAGAGUUUGUCGGCCUCUCUCCCCAGUGGCAGACCACAACCAAUGGAGGUAGUCGGCCUCCCUCCAGGGCCGGCGCUACCAUAAGGCGGCACGAGCGGCCACCUUAGGGCGCACGGUCUCGAGGGGCGCAAAAAUGUCAGAGUGACUGGCGGGAGCACGGAGAACUCGGAGAAGCUUCCGCCUGUCAAUUUCUGCAGCAAUCUAAUCAGCUGGCUGGGAAACGUGCAGCCACUGAGGGAAAGGGGGCAGAGCAGCGAGGAGCAACCGCGGCCAAUCUCUUCCUGAGCUAUAGGCCGCUGGGAUACAUGACAUCAUAUCCUGGUGGCCAACUGCUGUGGAGAGAGGAGGAAAGCUACAACAGUGCAGCGGGACCUCUGUUUAGCAACUAUAAGGAACAGUAAGUCUGUGUGUGUGUGUGUGUGUGUAAGAGUUAGUGUGUGUGUGUGUAACAGUUAAUGUGUGUGUGUUAGAGUCAGUGUGUGUGUGUGUAAGAGUUAGUGUGUGUGUGUGUGUUAAAGAGUUAAUGUGUGUGUGUUAGAGCCAGUGUGUGUGUAAGAGUUAUGGUGUGUGUGUGUGUGUGUUAAUGUGUGUGUGUUAGAGCCAGUGUGUGUGUAAGAGUUAUGGUGUGUGUGUGUGUGUGUGUGUUAAUGUGUGUGUGUUAGAGCCAGUGUGUGUAUGUAAGAGUUAGUGUGUGUGUGUGUGUGCGUGUUAGAGCCAGUGUGUGUGUGUGUUAGAGCCAGUGUGUGUGUGUAAGAGUUAGUGUGUGUGUGUCUAUAAGCUGUGUGUGUGUAAGAGACUGUGUGAGUGUAAAGCAGUGUGUCUGAGAGACUGUGUGUGUGUUACAGCCAGUGAGUGUGUAUAAGCAGUGUGUGUAAGAGACUGUUUGUGUGUGUCUGUUAGAGCCAGUGAGUGUGUACAAGCCGUCCAAGUGUGUAAGAGACUGUGUGCGUUAGAGCCAGUGUGUGUAUAUAAGCAGAGUGUGUGUGUGUGUGUGUAUAAUGGUCAGUGUGUGUGUGUGUAACGGUCAGUGUGUGUGUGUAUGAGCGAGUGAGUGUGUCAAGGGGGUAAAGAAAAGUAGGAUGAAGACACAAAACACAUAAAAAAGAAUGCAAAAAGGGACACGAUAUACAAAAAAGGAAAACAAGAGAAAAAGGUGGUAAGAUGCACAAAAGGGGCAAAAGAAUUGGUAAGAGUGGCAAAAGUGGGAAUAUUAGACAGACAGGUGAAGAUAAAUUUUGGGGGCAGCAAAAUGUGUCUUUGCCUGUGUAGACAGAAGUCCUUGCACCGGCCCUGCCUCCCUCCCCAAUGAUAGAUUGCAACCCUGCUAGAUGAGAGAGGUAGUCAGCCUCCCUCCCCCAAAUAAAUAUGAUGGGAGAAUAUGAUUGCAGACUAGGGGAGAGUCAUUGUUGAUUUUAUUAACUGAGCAAGUGAAAACUGAUACUGAAAAAACAAAAACAUGAAAAUACUGAGAAAUAAAAAACUCAUAGGGUAUUAACCACUAACAUAGUAACCACUAACAUAGUAACUAGCUACUUUUAAAAAUGUAGUCAUAAGAGAGAGGAAUAUAAAGGCAUUUCACUAUCUAUUGACAUAGGCAGUACUUUUCAUAUAGUAUCUUCAAAAUAUCUCAAGAUGCGAAUACAUAGAGGUGUAUUUCCAAAUCACCCAAAAUUUUUAUAGCAAAAUUUUUCAUGCACUUUUCAUGCUUCAGAUUCCAUAUUUCUAGACUAGAUUAUAUAAAAAGAAUGAUAUGGCCACAAUAGUGUAUUACAGUUAAUACAUUUACAUUUUUUUAUUACAAAUGCACUUGUCAAAGCAGGUCUACUCUCAACGCCUCCUGGUACACCUCAAGAUGUGCAGCAUCCAAACAGUAAAUAACAGAUCUACAUGCCGAUGCAUAGAUACAAAUGUUAACCCUCCCAAAAAAAUAACACCCCCAAAAAAAGAAAAAAAUAAGAAGCAAUCCCAGUCUUAUGCCUUUGUCUAUAUCAGUGGUCGUAAACCUGGUCCCUACCACCCUCUAGUGGGCGUUUCAGGAUUCCAGGUGGGCGGUAGUGGGUUCUAUGGCCCAAGAAGAAUACUCCCUCCAUCCAGAGAGAUGAACGCUCUAUUUAUGCACGUACAAACGCGUGUGCACGUACAAAUGCGUGCGCAUGUACAAACGCGUGCGCGCGCAUACAAGUGUAACACAUGGGUAGAGGAAGGGGAGGACUUGGAGUAGGGGGAUUCACAGUAGCAGGGAGCAGAGUACUUCUAAAAUAGGAGAAAGAAGGUGCAGAGUACUUGUAAAAUAGGAGAAAGAAGGAAAAUAAAAAAUAUAGGAAGGAGAAGGAGAGAAUUGUUGUUGGCUAAUAAUAAUAAUAAGUGGACUACCUAGCUCAGCCUUCCUGCUGGCUAUUGCUGUAAGGAAGGUAGAAGAAAAGAAUAAAGGAAAAGGAGAAAAAAAAGGAAGAAAAAUAGAAAAAAGGAAAAACAAAGGAAGGGGGUUGGGUGGAAUUGAGGAGGGAGAGGAGGGUAGCUGGUGCAUGGAUGAGAAAUCAUAUUAUCAGCAAACAGAGAAACCUUCUGAAUAUCACCGAAGGAGGAGAACUUUGUUUGUUCCUUAUGAAAAUCGAACCAGAUAUCAAGUAUUUAGUCUCGCAGCAUCAACCUCAAGGAUCUCAUUAAUCACUAGUUAAAGGUAAUUUCAAUUUACUUUAUUGUUUUCUCAUUAAACUUUACAAAGUUAAAAACAUUAUAAACAUGCAUAAAGUACAAAUAAAAAGAUAAUUGAAUUUGUUUUUGUUUUUAAUACCCUCCUUUCUAAAAAAAUGUCUGCACUUGCGCUAAAAAAAAUAUCGGAAACUGGUGGGCGGUAAGGAAAUUCUUCCUUGAAGAAAGAUGCAUUAGUGGGCGGUAGGUAGAAAAAGGUUGACUACCCCUGGUCUAUAUGAUUAAACUUUCCCAGGUUCAAUUAACUGCAGCACAGGUUCCAAUUGUGGCUCACAGUCUUUAUAUUCCUAUUACCCCCACCUACUCGGCAUGCAUGGUGUCCAUUAGCUGAUUCACAGCCCUAUGCAAGUUGACCCUUCUCUUCAAAACUUGCAAAUACACAUGUGCUUAUGAAAUGUUGAAUGGGUAAGCAAAAAAAUGAUUGGACACAUGGACUUGACUUAACAUUUUUAAUUAUGAAUAGGAGGAAUAUGAAUAUGUCUCUAUCACCUCCAAAAUAUGUGGACAAUCCCAGUUGUAUGGGAUAAACUAUAUAGACAGAUUCCUAUUAAGGAGUUAACCCCUUAAGGUUCUAUAGAACGCACAAGCCAUCGUAUGUACUUACCCGGUCUCCAGCAAUCCCACACUGGCGAUCGCGGUGUGGGGACUCACCUGGGAGCCCAGGGAGCCCCCCUCCGUCUGUUACGGCCCUCCUGGGCCAUGUGAUAGCAAGGUUCUUGCGGGGACCUCACGAUCACAUGGACGGCAUAGCCAUCCAUAGCAAUGCCAGCAGGGGGAGUGCCUGUAAUGACAGGUACUCCUCCUGCUGCCUGUAAAUAGUAAAAAAAAAGUUAAAGUUACAGUUAAAAAUAAAAUAUAUACUUAGAUCAUAUAUAUAUAUAUAUAUAUAUAUAUAUAUAUAUUUAUUAUAUAUAAGAUAUAAGUAAAUAUCUACACAUAUACAUACAUACUCAUACUCUGUCUAAGUGUAUUUUAAUAUUAAUAUAUAUAUUUAUAUAUAUUAAUAUCAAAAUACACAUACAAUGAUAUUGAUAAUAUAUAUAUAUAUAAUAAUGUAAAUACGUAAAAAAAAAAUAUAUAUAUAUAUAUGUGUAAAUUCGUUCUAACUGUAUUUUAAAAUGAAUAUAUAUAUUGAUAUCAAAAUACAUGUAGAACGAAAUAAUAUAUAUAUAUAUAUCUAUAUACAUAAGUAAAACUAGUAAAUGAAGGCUUGCACUCACGGUCUUUUUCUUGUAUAAAAGUUUUCUUUCUUUAUUCCAUAUUUCUUAAAACAUACUUUCUGGUAGAAUCAACGUUUCAGCCAUCAUCCGUGGCUUUCAUCAGGAUCAGUUCAGCUUUUUUUUUUUUUUUGCUGAACUGAUCCUGAUGAAAGCCACGGAUGAUGGCUGAAAUGUUGAAUGGGGUAUGUCCAGUUUUUUUUUAGUAGCCACUUAGUCACAAACACGGGCCAAAUUUGGCUUUCAAAUUAGUUUUUUGCAUUUUUCACACACAAACAAAUAUUAACACUAACUUUGGCCAGUGUUUGUGACCGAGUGGCUACUAAAAAAGACUGGACAUACUCCAGUAUUUGUAAUACCUUGGAUUGUCUACUUUUGCAAAUGGUAUGCCAUCAUGGGGGUAAUUCUCAUUCCUGGGCUUCCAUACGGUCUCAAAGGCAACGUAACCAAUCUGGCAAAUUUCAAUGUGAAAAAACAGAAAAAUGUAACAUGCUAUAUUUGACCCUGUAACUUCCCAAAACACCAUAAAACCUGUACAUAGGGGGUACUGUUUUACAUGUGAGACAUCGCUGGAUACAAAUAUGUGUAUUUUAUUGCAGUAAAAACAAACAGUAUUAUGACAUUAACAGUUAAAAUGUCAAGUAGAACUAAAAAUAUUUUUAAAAUACUUAUUUUCUCCCAUUUUUUAAAAUAUUUUAUUCAUAUUAAAUUAUGUUUCAUAACUAAAUAUUUGAUGUUAAAUGAAAGCCCUGUUUCCCCUGAAUAAAAUGAUAUAUAAUAAGUGUGGGUGCAUAACAUGAAAGAGGCGAAUUACGCCUGAACAGACAUAUAGCGCAAAUUCAAGUUUUUGUUUUGAUCACAACGUGUACAUUUGGCUCAGUCCUUAAGGGGUUGAACAAAAAAAAGUUAAAACUGUGUAAAUAUACAUAUAGUUAUUUAGCAGGCAUUUCUGAAACGCAAUAUAUACACACAAUUGCUCUUUUAUCCUACAUUCUUCUGCUAUUUGUGACAUCUUUCAAAUAAAUAAAAACAAUAAAAUAUAUUGUGCUAUACUUAUUUAAAAGCAAAUAUUUUUGUAGUCAAUGUGAUAAAUAUUAAAAUGAAAAUAAACACUUUUCAAGCAUUGAAAGUUAAUAUGUCAUAAUUGGACAUUUAUUUGUAGUCUAUUAUAUCUCUUUGUAUUAUUUUUUUUUUUUUAGAUCCCUGAAUCUAUGUGCAAUGAGAGAUGCCCACCUGGGUACAGAAAAGCAAAUCUAAGAGAAGAAAUGUGCUGCUAUUCUUGUGUUCAGUGCUCACCUGGUGAAAUAUCCAAUCAAACUGGUAAGAACGAAUGAUGAUAGGAAAGGGGAGAAAGCUACAACUGUACUGGCUAAUUUCAGAGGUGAAUGUAGGAGUAUUAUUUCUGUUUUAAAAAAUCAAACAAAUUCAGGAAUAAGGAGAGUGCUGGCCUAUUGUGAGAGUGGAGCUCUAGGGGACCCAGUUUAUAACUGUGAAAAACACUCAAGUCCAAAUUUCAUUUCACCUCGCAGCAAUAAAAUGCUAUGGGAAUAUGAAUUUUAAAAGAAGGUAAGAUAACAAACGUAAAGGAAAUAUAAACAAUAAGGCUGCAUGGAAAUUGUACAUUAGUCCAUAAACUAUGAGGAGGUGACCUAUAUCUUUCCAGAAUAAAAUCUGGAAAAGAGUGCAACUUUGCAGAGCCAUCAUCUAAAAUACCAUUCAAUUAAGCAGAAAAAACCUGCAAUAAGGCUUGAAAAAAUGAAUAAAUCAAAGAACAUGUUGACUAUAUUGGACAUAAGAAAUAGAUAGAUUAAGUAUUACAAGAUUGACUUAAAAUGUUAAUCCAAGUACCUUGACAAUAUCAGUGAUUUGACGCAGUCCUUGUUGCCUGGAUUCUGUACGUGCAAAAUGAACUCCACCUCCGGCAGCAUCAUUGGGGCAUCAGUAGCAAGCUCACCCUCAUUAAAAUCUCUCCCCUUCCAGUAAGGGUACUGAUUUUAGAAUAAAGGAUUGGGCUGAGGGGAGAACUUGGCCUAAAGUUUAGCUUAAAGGGACACUCCAUACCCCUAAUGCACUUUAGCUUGCAGACAAGUUUUAUGUGUGAAGAGUGUGACCUCUUUUUUCAAUUAGCAUAAAGUACAGAUUUCAGUAGAAAUUUACACUUUUAUUAAUUAAGCUGGCUACCCCUUCUUCCCCUCCCCCACCCCCCUCAAUUAAGAUAAACUCAAGAGGCAGCAAUUGAGCACCUGUCUUGCAAAGAUUUCUUAUUGAGCUUCAUUGGUAAAUCUGUGAUUGGAAAGCCACAUAAAAUCUAGGAGGGCUUAGUAGGGGAGGGCUUGCAAAGGCUACAGACAAGUUAACUGCAGGUUUUGCAUGCUGCUUUUACAUUAAACCUCGAUGACAAAAUUGCAUAAUUAAAUGCAUACAUGUUGUCAUUUGGAAUAUAUAUUCUAAACAGCGAUUUUUAUUUAUUUUUUAUUUUGGCCGUGGAGUGUCCCUUUAAUUAUAUCCAUAUUUUUUUUUUAAAAAGACUGACUAGCACAGCAAGUACUUUAUGAAAAAACUAUGUUUUGGUUGGAAUAACCAUUUAAACGUGAAACUAUCAAAUUCCAUGAAUCCUGGGAUGUAAAGCUCUGCGGAACUAGUUGGCACUCUAUGAAUACCAAUAAUAAUAGGAAUAAUAAUAAUAAAAGAACAACUGUAUCCUCCCAGCAAGGGAGAAGGUAAAAACAGGGAUCAAGAGUGAUUAGUUCCAAAAACCUGUACAUCCCACAGUUCCAAUGGGAGAAAAAAACAAAAAAAACAUACUGCCCUAAGAUAAAACUUGUCUCUACAGGGGUGAGACAGAAAGUUCUUGUUCUGAGGUUAAACAAUAUAUAUAUAAAAAAAUAACCAGACAUUACUGGUAUUACUAAGGUAUACAUGUGUAUGCAAGUAGUAGUAACUGGAAUCUAUAGUUACAAAGAUCCUUGUAAAAUAAUAAGAAAGUCCUUGAUAACGAUGAUAGUUGUAGUAGGUAGUUCAAUGUAUUUCACCGAUUAAAGGACCACUAUAGUGCCAGGAAAACAUACUCGUUUUCCUGGCACUAUAGUGCCCUGAGGGUGCCCCCACGCUCAGGGUCCCCCUCCCGCCCGGCUCUGGAAAGGGGAAAGGGGUUUAAACUUACCUUUUUCCAGCGCUGGGCGGGGAGCUCUUCUCCUCCGAUCCUCUUCCGUUCCGCCCCGCCGGCUGAAUGCGCACACGCGGCAAGAGCUGCGCGCGCAUUCAGCCAGUCGCAUAGGAAAGCAUUUACAAUGCUUUCCUAUGGACGCUGGCGUGCUCUUCUCUGAAACUGCUAUGUUUAUUAAAAAAUGGGUUAACCCUAGCUGGACCUGGCACCCAGACCACUUCAUAAAGCUGAAGUGGUCUGGGUGCCUAGAGUGGUCCUUUAAGAUAGGUUCCAAGAUAUGAAAUGACAAUAAAUAACAGAGGGAACAAAUAAUAGUUUGAUAUUGUUUAUAACCAGUGCAGAAGCAAUAUUAUUUAUAAAAAUACACUCACAAACAAGAAGCCGUCUGUUGGCUUGAUUGUAUCUGCUUCUGACAAUAUAAUCCUUGUCACAGGAUAUUAGCUGAAGAAUCACAGCAAAGUCUUUGUAGGGACACUGGUAUGUCUUACGUUAUCUUCACAACAUACGCAUCGGUAUAAUCCCCGCUCAAGGAUAUAGCUUGUAAAGGAUAUUCCUCCGUAUUUUCCAAUGGGUAUAUAGUAAAAUAUAGAAAAAAGGCCAUUCAGUUACCCAUUUGUUGUAGUACUCUGGUGAUUAUGUCAAUUGGAGGCAAAACAGCCUCCUCUUAUUCCACUAUUUCAUAACACUAUUAAUAGAGCUCUGAGUGGGCUCUGUCGUGAGAGAGUUCACGGUUACCUCUCACCAGGGAAAACAUAGAUGCUACAGAAGAUUAAUUAUACUUAAACUAAUGUAUAUGAGAGAAUGAGUAGUUUUAUUUAUGUAUAUGUGGGAGACUAAACAAAUACAUGCAUACAAUAAUGUGGAAGUAAAAGACAGUUAAGGGCUGCGCCACAUGUAAUACGAUAAAAAAAUAAAGUAAAAUAUAAAAUAAAAUAAAUACUGUGAGUCUUAAAAUUGUCUCUUAUUCAGGAGCUAGUUUCAACUGUGGUUCCUAGGUUCUUUAUACUUGGGGGGUCUUGUUGUCUUUAGGCUCUGUAUACAGAAUAACCUGAUAGUGCAGUAAGUCAGGGCUAAUUAGGCCUGUUAUUAAUAAUAAUAGUAUUCCACUCGCAUUUAAGAGAGCUAUAACCAGCUCUAGUGUAGAUCGCCUAUAGUGGUAUUAUCCCCAUUUAUGUGAUAUGGUGGUGGUAGGUCUCGACUGGUAGUUGUCUAGAUGCUCAGAGAGAAAAUAAGAAUAGCCACAGAUAGUGCUCUCAGUAAGACAAUAAUAAUAGUGUUGAAUAUAAAAAUUGUACUUACAAACGUAGAGCAGGCUCACUGUUCUGUGGUGACUGCGUUGGUGGUAUAAUCCCCACCUAGGGUUUGCUUGGGAGUAGUAGCAGAUGAAGUUAAAACUUUGGAGAUAAUAAUAAUAAUAAUAAGUAAUAAAAUAUAUUAUUAUUUAAAAAGCCAGGAAAAAAUGUAUAAAUACAGAGGUAUUGGUACAAUAAAAUGUUGUAAAACCAAAGUCCUUUAUUAUAUCAGAUAAAAAAACAUAAUUUCCAUAACGCGUUUGGUCAUAACAGACUUUUUCAAAUGGGUUAGAGCAUGCAUCCUGACUAAUAGGCUUUAAAUAAGGUUAAGAUCAUUUAAAAAUGGUGCCAAAAUUGUGUGCAUCAAUCAUAGUUUAGAAUAAUAAUAAUAAUAACAUAAAAUGAAUAAAUUAACCAUUGGCACUUUAAAGUAUAGGUAUAAGAAGUGUUAAGUGAUAAUUAAGAUAAAAAAACUAGGGUGUUAUAGUGUUUAAUAUGUGUGGGGAAGGUGGUCAUGUGAUUCGCGGCACUUUGCCGCAUGGGAAAUGUAGUUUCCGGCAUUUUUUAGGGGCUUAGGGUGGCUGUUCAUUACAUCACUGGUGUGGGCGUGUGCGGCCGUGAAACUAGUGGAUGGUGCGCACUUGUUGAGGGGCGGUCCAUGAUUCGAGGCAUCUUCCAGCUUGGGAAAUAGAGUGGGAGUGUAAACAUAGUAGGAAGUUGGCGGUACAUACUUGGCGAGGGCCGGUUCUUAAUUUGCGGCAUUUUGCCGCUUUAAAAAUAUAAUAGGAGGGGAUAUUAAAUAUAAACAGAGUGGAUGUGAGUAGGCUGCAAAUGCAUCAGCAAUAUUGGGGGUGUGUGUAUUUCUGAUGCAUUUGCAGCCUACUCACAUCCACUCUGUUUAUAUUUAAUAUCCCCUCCUAUUAUAUUUUUUAAGCGACAAAAUGCAGCGAAUUAAGAACCGCCCCUAAAUGAUCUAAACCUUAUUUAAAGCCUAUUAGCCAGGAUGCAUGCUCUAAUCCAUUUGAAAAAGCCUGUUAUGACGAAACGCAUUAUGGAAAUUACUUUUUUUAUCUGAUAUAAUAAAGGACUUUGGUAUUACAACAUUUUAUUGAACCAAUACCCUUUUAUUUAUACAUUUUUCCUGGCUUUUUAAAUAAUAAUAUAUUUUAUUACUUAUUAUUAUUAUUCUUAUCUCCAAAUUUUUAACUUCAUCUUCUACUACUCCCAAGCAAAUCCUAGGGGGGAAUUAUACCACCGAUGCUUUCACCACAGAACAGUGAGCCUGCUCUUCGUUUGUAAGUACAAUUUUUAUAUUCAACACUGUUAUUAUUGUCUUACUGAGAGCACUAUCUGUGUCUUACUGAGAGCUCUAUCUGUGGCUAUUCUUAUUUUCUCUCCGAGCAUCUAGACAACUACUAGUCGAGACCUACCACCACCAUAUUCCAUACAUGGGGAUUAUACCAUUAUAGGCGAGCACAAUAAUAUUAUUAUUAAUAACAGGCCUACUUAGCCCUGACUUACUGCACUAUCAGGUUAUUCUGUCUCUUUCUCACCCACAUACGGAGACUAAAGACAACAAGACCUCCCAAGUAUAAAGAACCUAGGAACCACAGUGGAAACUACCUCCUGAAUAAGAGACACUUUUAUAUGUGACAAUUUCCACAUCUGGAAUAAGACUCACAGUAUUUAUUUUAUAUUUUACUUUAUCUUUUUUAUCGUAUAACAUGUGGCGCAGCCCUUAACUGUCUUUUACUUUUGUAUUAUCCUAUAGGGUUGAGAGGGAUCCCUUUUUUAGGGUUGAGGUCUUUUUGUUCAUUCUUCUGUGUUACUGAACGCUGACCCAUCUGUGUAUUUUUACUAUAUAAUAAUGUGGGAAUGCUCUGUGUAUAUAAAGUAAUACAAUGUGAGCAAGAUAUUACUUUGCUGCAGAGGGAUUUAGAUAGACUGUUGGACUGGGCACUCAAAUGGCAGAUGAAUUGUAAUCUUGAAAAAUGCAAAGUUAUGCACUUCGGUUGUAAAGAAUGCACAAGCACUGUAUACCCUUAAUGGAAACUAAUUAGGGAUAACAACACACGAAAAGGACUUGGGAAUUGUUAUAGACAACAAACUAUGCAACAAUGUGCAAUGUCAAUCAGCAGUGGCUAAGUCCAGUAAGGUAUUGUCAUGCAUGAAAAAGGGCAUUCAUUCUCGGGAUAAGAAUAUAAUUUUGCCUCUUUAUAAAUCACUGGUAAGACCACAUAUUGAAUAUAUUGUGCAAUUUUGGGCACCUGUUCUAAAGAAGGAUAUUAUGGCACUAGAAAAAGUGCAGGGGCGGGCUACAAAAUUAAUAAAAGGAAUGGAACAUAUCAGCUAUGAAGAAAUGUUAACAAAUUUAAAGCUCUUUAGUUUAGAAAAUUUUGCCUGAGAGAGCAUAUGAUAACAUUAUACAAAUAUAUUUGCGGCCAAUACAAAUCAGUGUGUGGAAAUCUAUUCACAAACCGGACUUUACAUAGGUCACAAGGUCAUGCGUUAAGAAUGGAAGAAAGAAGAUUUUGUCUAAGGUAAAGAAAAGUUUUUUUUACGGUAAGAACAAUAAGGAUGUGGAAUUCUCAGCCUGAAAAGUGGUUUUAUCAGAGUCCAUACAGAUGAUCAAACAGCAACUAUAUGCAUACUUGUAAAAACAGACUAUUCAAGGAAAUAAUUUUUCAAUGUAGGGUAAUACCUGCCUGAUACAAGGAUAAAUCUGACUGCCAUUCUGGGGUCAAGAAGGAUUUUUUUCCCAGUUUGUUGCAAAAUUGUGAAAAAAAGUGCUUCAAACUUUUUUUUUUGCCUUCUUUUGGAUCAACAGCAAAAAACAAAUGUGAGGAAGGCUGAACUUGGUGGAUGCAAGUCUCUUUUCAGCUAUGUAACUAUAUAUGGGAGGGUGCGGGUAUGACUGUAUGUGAGAGAGUGAAGGCAUGCCAGUAUGUCUGUGUGUAUUGGAGAGUGCAGAGUAGGAACAGUUAUUGUUGACAAAGUACCAUGGUGAUCAGAUGGUAGAUCUUGUUAAGAAGACUUCCAAUAGAUUAUAUUUCAUCUCAUGUCUGACCACCCAUUUCUUAAUCAAUUUUUAUUUUUAAUUUCAGAUAUGGAAAAUUGUUUGCUGUGUCCAGAAGAUGAAUAUCCUGAUGUUGAUCAAGUCACUUGUCUGCCGAGAACCAUAGAUUUUUUAACCUACC